GAUAUUUGUAUCUCCCCUCCCACUUUCUUUCCUAUCCCAGAGACUUCUGUCCUUGGCAAAAAUCACAAAUUCCUUCCAUAAAAAUGGAUCGAUAUCUCUGUUUGUUUUUGUUCUUGUUUCUGACCUUGUUUGUGCAGAUGAGAGGGGGCCGAGAUGAGUGCAUGACAUCGAAUGGUUGUGGCGACCAGGGUCCACUCAUCCGGUUCCCUUUCCGUCUAAAACACCAGCCACACCACUGUGGAUAUCCGGGAUUUGAGUUAUCUUGCACUGAGAAUAAUCAGACCAUGCUAGACCUGCCAGUUUCGGUAAAGCUCUUGGUGAAGAAAAUAGUUUACAAAUCCCGGGAAAUCAUUAUCCAGGACCCGGAUAAUUGCAUUGCGAGACAGCUUCGAAACCUCAAUUUAGCUGCCUCCCCCUUCCACUUCAAAUUUGAACGGGACUUCAUCUUGUUCAAUUGUUCCGCAGAUAAAACAGAAUCAUCUCGUUUUCAGUCCAUCCCUUGCCUUUCUAUCCCUGGUAACCCAGUUUAUGCUGUUUAUUCCUCCAGUUAUGUCCAAUAUACGGAUCUAUCCUCUUGCCACAGGCUUUACAACGCUUCAGCUCCAGGUAAUCGAGAUUAUGGGGAUUUUAUAUUCAAUGGAAGUGCAUUUUCUUUGAAGUGGUCGAAAUCAGUAUGUGGAAGCUGCCCAGAAGGAGGAAAAAUAUGCAGACUGAAGAAGAGUAAUAGCACGGAACCAGAAACUGAAUGUAUUAAAGGUAAAGAGACUCUGCAUCUUAAUUCCCCAUUCAUCUUCUUUUCAUCUUUCAUGCUCACCUCAUAUCCUCUACUAUGAUUUAAUAUACAAAUGCUCCAUUUUGGAAUAAAAAAAAAAAAACCAUUGUAAAGGAUAUGAGCUGAUAAAUUCUGCUGAUUGAAUUUGCGUUUUAUUGGGAUUUUGAAAAUCUGAAAAAAAAAAAAGAAAAAAAAAAAAAGAAGAAGAAAGGAGAAUAAUUUGAUUACAAGGGAUAAAAUAAUCUCUAAAUCUGAAAAAAUAAUUUAAAAUAAUUAGUGAAAAUAAUUUUUUACAUUUUAAAACUCCUGUUAGAUGAAUUUUUGGUUAAAGUAAUAUAUUGUUUUUCUUGCAUUUCACCUCAAAACAUCGAGCUAAACUAAUGGAUCCAAACUAAGGCCUUUUCUUUUCUUUCUUUGAAUUUUUAGCGCUCAAUAAAAUUAAGGGAAAUUAUUGAACAAAGAGUUAAAUGUUUAUUUGGAUUUAGUUUUUUGAAAAAUUAAAGAAAUAAAAGAAAAAUGUUAAAAGUUCUUUUAUAAUGGAUUCUUUCCUACCUACUUACAAUUAAUAUUUUUCUUUAUUUUCUUCUUAUUUUUCCAAGGACGUGAACCUAAAAAUACAAAGUAAUACAAUUGAUAUUCAUUUUCUAGUUUUAAUGGUUAUCCACAUAGAUGACUUUUCCCUUAUACCUAACAUGAGAAGUUCGAUGUUAAUGGUCAAUCGAAUCGCCAAGUGUCAUCGUACCUACCAAUUGGAUCACUGUAUAUAAUGGUAUAGAAUAAGGAUAGAGAUUUCUUCACAUUCCUUUUACAUAGAGUUUCAUUUUUAUUUUUGUCAUAAAAUUGGAUGAAUUUGUGUUUAGGGAGUCAUGAAGACAAUACGGUAUUAUAAAACAUAAAACUAUGAUACAUAAUAGGGAUUAGAAGGGUAUGUUUUAAUUUCCACUACAAGUUAGGAUAGAGUUAGUAGUAGAAUUGGUAUUGCCUCAAAAAUGAACCAUAGAAUACAAGAAAGGGACCCAAAAAGAUAAGGUUGAAGCCUAGAAUAAAAUUAAUUAGAUUAAAAUCAUAUCACAUGAACAUGUAAUUUAGCAUGUUUUUAUUAAUUCCAAGAGCAUAACAAGCUAAUUACUUUUUUUUUUCUUAAUUUUUUAUAGGUGUAUCGAAGAAAAUAAUUGUGACAGGUAAUAUUCUAUUUAUACAUAUUUUAUUAUAGAGAUAAAGAUUUUUAAUUUGGUUAUUUUACCUAUUUAUUUAAAUAAAAAGUUUAAGUUUUCUUCUUUUUAUUUAUGCAGGUGCAAUCUUUGGUUUCUUUCUUCUCAUGUUAGUAAUUGUUGUGCCUUAUCGAGUCUAUAGCUCAAAUAAAGUAGAAAGAGAGAAUAGAGUAAAGGUUAAAAAGUUUCUAGAAGACUAUGAAGCUCUCAAGCCCUCAAGAUACUCCUAUGCUGAUAUUAAAAGGAUUACGAGUCAAUUCAAAAAUAAAUUAGGGGAAGGAGGAUAUGGAACAGUGUACAAAGGAAAGCUUUCAGAUGAAGUCUUUGUUGCAGUAAAAAUCCUUGACAAUUCUCAAGGAAAUGGGGAAGAGUUCAUUAAUGAAGUAGCAACAAUGGGUACAAUCCACCAUGUUAAUAUAGUUCGUUUAGUUGGAUUUUGUGCUGAUAGAUUUAAACGAGCUCUAAUUUAUGAGUACUUACCAAAUGAGUCAUUGGAGAAGUUCAUAUUUUCAAAAGUUGUCAAGAACUAUUCACUUAGUUGGAAGAAACUUCAAGAAAUUGCUAUAGGUAUAACAAAAGGAAUUGAGUAUCUUCAUCAAGGUUGUGAUCAAAGAAUCCUUCAUUUUGAUAUCAAACCUCAUAAUAUUUUACUUGACCACAACUUUAAUCCAAAGAUUUCUGACUUUGGUUUAGCCAAAUUGUGCUCUAAGGAACAAAGUGCAGUCUUUAUGACAAUUGUAAGGGGAACAAUGGGUUAUAUCGCUCCAAAAGUGUUAUCUAGGAAUUUUGGGAAUGUGUCUUAUAAGUCAGAUGUUUAUAGUUUUGGAAUGUUGUUACUUGAAAUGGUUGGAGGAAGGAAGAACAUUGAUGUUAGUGUGGAGAGUACUAGCCAAGUAUAUUUCCCAGAAUGGAUUUAUAAUCAUUUGGAUAUAGGGGAAGAAUUGCAUAUUCGAAUUGAAGAAGAAGGAGAUGUUGAGAUUGCAAAGAAAUUAGCAAUUGUGGGACUUUCAUGUAUUCAGUGGUGUCCAAUGGAUCGUCCUUCCAUGAAAAUUGUGGUUCAAAUGUUGGAAGGAGAAGGAGACAAGUUAACCAUGCCUCCUAACCCUUUUGCUUCAACAGUUCCAACAAACUUGAGCAAGCCAGGUAGAGUUUUUCAACAAGAGUUGGCAAUAAUUUCAGAACUAGAGUAAAAAUAAUUGUCUAUAUGUUCAACUUAUUAUGAAUGUAUAGUUUAAUAAAAAUUCAUAUUGUAGUUGUUCAUCAUCAUAGCAUCUUUAUUUAUAUUUCUGUUAAUUGAACAUAUGAUUGUAUAAAAUGAUUAUACCAGUGGCUCAAUUGAUGUUAGAUUCCAGAAGUUCUUAUUCCCAUGUAAUGUAUUUCUUGUGUAUUAAAUUUUAAUGAAUAUGUCCAAGAAUAUUCUCGCAACCCAAUUUAUAGUUCAGCUACACACAACUCUAUAGAUCACCUUUCAAUCAAGUAAGAGUAACUAAUGUCCAUCACAUUCAAGAUAGAAAGUAUUGCACGAAAUGGUAAUAGAAUUAGAUCUAGGAAACUUGAAAAUAAGAGUCCCAUCCACUACACCCAUAUAGAGUUUUUUUUGUUUUUUGUUUUUUGUUUUUUUUCUUUUUUGCCUUUACCACUUUUUUAUUGGACUGAGAAGUAAGCCUAAUUAGUUAUGUAAUGACUAAAUUAUACUGAAUGGUGAAGGCUCGUUGGAGAACUUUGCAUCGAAUAAAAUGGAGAUCGAUUUCGAUGUGUUUACUCCUUGCAUGAAACACUGGAUUUGCUGCUAGCUAAGUACCACUUUGGUUAUGACACCAUAUCAAUGGUGAAGAUAGGGCAGGUAUCCUAACAAUAAAGGAGUUAGAGAGUCAGGUGAAUGCUUGAUCUUGAACUUUAUCAAUACAAAUUACCAAUGGACCAUAUGUACUAGACCACAAAAAAUAUUAGAUUGUGGGAGAAAUGAACCAUAUGAUCUGUGACCAUGUAGUAAUCAUUGAGAAAGGAAAAAAACAUGGACUCAAUAGAUUAUGUAAUAAUAAUAAUAAUAAUAAUAAUAAUAAUAAUAGACUCAAACUCUCUCAAUAUAUGGCAUAUAUUGUUUAACCUAAACAAAAAAAAGCCCAGUGGUUGAGGACCUUGAUGCAAACAAGCUUGUCUUAGCCGAGAGGUCUGAGGGUUCCUCCAUGUGUUUAAGAUUAACUACAUUUAGGCAGAACAUCAAAUCAAUGGAACAAUCUACUCUGUUUCAUUGGGCCAGGCCCAAUGGUAGGUCCAUAGGCAGAGCUUGGAUCAUGUGCUAGUCAGGCUGGGUUAGGCCUGAUACAGACCUAAUUUGAUCAUGGCAGCCCAAUAAGAUAAUUAUUUUCCUUGUUUUGUGUUUUUCUAAUUUUUUUUGUUUGUAGUAAUUAAUUACAUUAUAAUCAUAGCAAUCAUUGUAACUAUUUUUGUUAUUAAAUUUUUUUGUUCCAUUAUUUCAGAAAAUCUAAUUUUAUUUGAUAAAUUAAUUCUUCUUUAUCAUCUAUUAAAUCUUUACUUAAACUUGUUUUAUUAUAAAUUUAUUUAUUUCUUUUUCUUCCAUUUUCUUCUUACAACUUUCGUGUCCUUAUUUAUGUUUUCCAUAAAUAUAACAAUAAUUUAAACAAAAAUAAUAAUUACUUGGAGAUAUACCAAACAAAACAUACACUUCUUCAAUGAAAAAAGUGACACAAAAUCAAGAUAUAAAUUCUAAAGAAUUAAGACUAAUUUAAAACAAAUUUAGAAUUGUAGGAUUUAAAAAAAAAUUAUUUGAUAAAUUUUAGCUUUUUAAGCUAUUAAAGUAAAAUGAGGGUUUAUCCCUUAUUCUUUAAUAAUAUAUGAAAAAUUAUUUAUAUAAUAAUGAAAAAAACUUUGGAACAUUUUCUUAGUUCUUUUAAAAAAUUUCUAGUUGAAAAUUAUUAAGGUAGUAAUGAAAACUAUAAAUUAUCAUUCUUUCUUCUUCUUCUUAUUCUUUACCCUAUUGCAAAUUCUUUAUCUCCAUAUCCAGUGAGUCAAUUCUUUUGAGGGUUUUUCUUUGCAUUUGAAGGACUUUAAUUCUUUUACAAUGAGCAAUGUGGAAUAGGCUAGACGAGGGAAGAGGUCAUGACCUUCUCAACUCAGCUUCAUCUUUAUGGAAAAGUAGGUAGUUUAUUUCUAGAAAGGGAGAAGGAAUUUUUUUUUUUUGCUUUUGUCUUGCUUAACUGACCAUAAAGGCCACCAAAUUGAAAAAUGAAGCACUACGUUUGAUGAUGCAUGUAAUGCCGUGAGUUUGCAGGAAAAGGAUAGCAAGGAAUUAAGCUAAAUUUAUCAAAAAUUAUAUUCAAAGGUUAAAUCCCGAAUAUCAUGUCUUUAUCUUCGUGUAGGAAAGGAAAAAAAAUGUAAAAUGAAUUUAAAAUAACAUAUAAAUAUAAUUUAUUAAUUUUAAAUUUAUUUUUAAAUUUAUUUUCUCAAUUUUCUUUUCAUCUUGUUCUCUCAAAUUUUCUAAGAACUAAAUAUUGCUUUAGUUUUAGGAGUUUCUAACUUUAGUUUUUAUCCAAAAACCUCAGAAGAAAUUGAGCACAUGAAAUAAUGUUUUUCUUAAAAAUUCCUCAUAUAUACUAAGUGGUCAUCAUAGAAAAUAAACUAUGACUUGUAACUGAAGCAUAAGCAUUCCAACAGUAGAAAUGAGCAAAAGAGGGGGACGGAAAUUCCCAACCUAAUCCUCCCCACAAAAAAAAAAGAAACAAUAACAAUUGUCCAAUUGCUUCCUGCUUUCUUACUUUUAGGGUUUGCCUUUCCUGAGAGGGCUCCAUUUGCAGACCAGAUUUUCCGUUUUUAAAGACAGGGUCUCUAGAAUUAAUAUGCAGUAUUUGGUCCUUAAAGGCCUAGUAGACCAAUGGGCUAGCUGGCAGGGGCAGGGCUAGCUAGCUUGGAUUUGGGCUAGCCCAGCACGUUUGAGGCCUUCCAUCAUCAGAGCCCAAUUUGGCCGAGGAGGGAACUUUAUGGUCAACACAAACUAUUUGGGCUAGAGCUUUUUGUUUAUAUGAAUUGCUAUUAUUACUAUGUCUAUUUGUGCAAUUAGAAAUCUUGUGCAUGAGAUUGAUGAAGACUUGACCAUUAUUGAUAUUGGAAUAUUAAUUGAAUUUAUAGAUAAAAUAGAAAUUUAAUGUUGGGGAUAAUCACGUAGACCACUUGUUCAUUCUUUUCGAGGUAGUUCCAUAUAUUAAGUAAGGAUUAAAAUAUCUGAAAUUAGAUAAAUAUUGGUUGUUGAAAUCUAUGUACAAAAAUAAAAAGUAUUUGUAGUAAUUUUGUUUAAAUUUAGAUAAAUUUUGAUAAUUAAUUUUUUUAUAUUUACAAAUAAUAUUUAUAUUAACUCAAGAAAAAAGAACAAAAUACAAUACUAAUGGCUAUGAAUGUUAAUUUCUUAUUUUAAACUUAAAAAUUAUUAAAAAGACAACUUAACACUACAACAUUAAGUUAUUGGAGAAAUACUCAAUUUAAAAAAAUAGCUUUCAAACAAGUCUUUCAUUUUCUUGUUUUAUAAAAGCAAAAUAGGGUAGUAGAGCAUAUGAAUGGAACUUUGUCAGAAAAAGUUCCAUGUAUGUUGUCAAAUGGUAAAUUGAGCAAAAAAAAAAAACAUUAUAAAUUCCCGCAUCAUUAUGGUUGAGGAAGGAAUGGAUCGCUACUAUAAAAGCUCAUAUAACUGGGGAAGGAAUGGGUUGCUGCUAUAAAAGCUCUUAUAGGAAUAUAUGGCCCAAUAGGCACAACCACAUGGGCUGGGUUUCUGCUAUAAAAGCUCUAAUAGCAAUAUAUGGCCCAAUAGGCAGAAUCACAUGGGCUUGUCCGCGACCAUAGAGCCACGAUAUAAGCACAAUCUCUCCUGCCCAAUUUAGACUACUGAACCCACUGAGAGCCAUGUCUUUUAUCGUUCACUCUUCUUAGCCACCAUUAGAGACCAUUGAACUCUUCUCCCAAAGCCAUAACACCCAUCCUCAUCACUGUAUAUUUCUCCGACUAGAUUGUUGUUGUCACUGACGUCCUCAUCACUAAUGGGGCUGAGAUCAAUGACCAACUCGCUCAACGACCAAUUUCUUUAGCCACUUCAUCGCCCACAUCUUCCAAGUAUUCUUUCGAUUCCUUCCACGGCUUCACACUCUGUUAUUUCUUUCUUUCUUUCUUUGAUUUCAAAUUAGGUUUCUUUUCAUCACUUCUAUUUCCCCCCAUCUCUCUUUUUCUGGUUAGGGUUAGGGUUAGGGUUAGGGUUUGUGUUUGGAUUCCCUGGUAUAUAUUUACUAAUUAUUAUGAGCAUCAAUCUCUCACCAUACUUUCACAUACCUCAUCUCUGCACUCUUAUUCUUCUUUCCAUUUUCAUGUGCAUCGAAGCUUAGCUUGGAAGCAAUGAUUGCUCGUGCCCCUUCUCUUUUGUGUUUUUUUGUCUUCCGUGCAUAGAGGAAGUUGAAAAUUUUAGUGAUAUGAAAUUCAAUGGAGUCUGCUAUUAUUAUAGUGCCUUGUCUGCAGCUAAUGAAAUCAAAGGCUAUGGAAGCUUCGGAUAGAGCAAAGCUCUUCAUUUUGCACCCUAAUUUGGAUUCUACACUUUGACUCAUCUUAAUCUUGUUUCCUUUUUUUUUUUUCAUUUUAUUUAUCUAUUUAUUUAUUUUUUAUUUUGAAUCCAUCAAAGUAGUAAACCCCCUUAGACUACUUUUGUUCUUCAUGUAAACACUCAAAAGAAAGGGAAAAAUGAAUAUUAAGUUUAUCGAUAUUAAUGGGUAUCAACUAGAAGCAUUUUGUCAAAAAUAUGAAAAUUCAGAUGUUGAAAUUCAUGUCAUUUAACUAUAUUUAUUUCAUGUAUAAUUGCUAUUCAGGAGAAAUAUUUGAUAGGUUUUGGGGUUUAUGCAAUUUUGAAGGAGGGAAAAGGCUUCCUAAUUUACCUCCCUCAAUUUUCAUUUCUUAGGAUUCAAGUGGUAAUCUAAAAUGGACUUCAACAUUUGUUUUUCACCAACCAUUCUUUUACUUCUAUACAAAUCCUGUUAUCUCAUGUAUGGGGCAAAUGCAAUUUUGUGAUUUUCUAACUUCUUAAAAAUCAGGAAUUGAUUUUUUAGGCUCAUUUUUUCAUUUUUAAUUCAGCUGAUUGACAUAAGCUUGAUAUUUGUUCUUUGAGUGGAAAUUUUGAUGCUUACAGGAGAGACACUUUACUAAUUUUAUCUACUAGGUUGAAGGCAUUUGCUUUUUCUUCCUGCCAAUUUACUAAUUAUCGAACUCCUUUUCUUUCUGGUUGGUUUUUCCCUUUCCUUUCUGUUUUCAUUUGAGGCCACCAUAUCUCAGGCAAUUCACAUCUUGAGAGAGUUAGCUACAAAUCAAGGUAUAAUAGCCAAGAUUGGCUUAUAAAUAUCUGAGAAUGAUAAUCUUACCAUUCUUUCAUUCUCUUUUAUUGAGCACCCCUUUUCCUUAAUGUAGAAUAUUUGAAACUCAAUGGUACAAAGAGAUACAAAAUUCAGAAGCAGUUUUAUAUUUCACAUAUGUCAUAGAGGUUUAAUUGAAAGACCAAUUGAAAGAAUCAAACUUUGAAUCUUAGGUGUUUAGUUAUAUGUUAUAACAUGUCUGACAGGUCUAAUCCGCCUAAUUUGGCAAAUCAGAUGUUAGCAAGAUGAGGGUUAGCUUAGGAGGUCCCACAACACAAGACAAGCCACUUGUGAGAUUAAGCAGUCUGAUUUGGAAUACAUUGUUUGGCUUCACAAGUUAAUACAAGGCAAAAUUAAAACAUUAAUAAUUUGAUUUUAACCAAAAUUGAUGUCUUAACCACCAUGUUUCCUUUCUAAAUGGAUUAAGAUGGUUCAAUUUGAAUGGAUCCUAAUUAAUUGGGAGAUUCAAAUAAGGUCACUUGUUGUUAGAAAUCGUUGCAAAGAGGAACUAACACAAACUUUUGAUCAAACUUUGCCCUACAUCAUGUUUGGCCCUCGAACCCAUAUUUCACCUAAUUGAUUUGAUGGAAGAGGCUUCAAUGUAUCUAUGCUAACUAUUUGGGGUUCAUCUUUCUUUUGUUAGAUCAUUCUCUUUUUUGCUUUUUUUUUCUUUGUUCCUUUUUGGUUUUCAAGUUACAAAUCAUUUAAUCAAAGAAAUGAUAAGCAAAUUUUUUUUUUUACUUUUAUUUUAAUGUACCUUCAUUUUUGGGUGCUAGGAGUCUUGUCUAGUGUGUUUUUUUUUUUUUUUUUUCCUGUUUUUCAUGUUUUUGGGUUUUCUCAAAAUAUAAUGUAAACUUCAAAGUUCCAUCAGAGAAAAAGAAAAAAAAAUGCAAUCCCCAUCAAAGAAACAAAGAUUCAUUUAAUGAUUUCAUCUUACUAGUCCCUCUAUCCAUAUAUCUGAAAGGGGUUUACUAUUAAGCUUUUUGUUUAGCUAUUUGCUAACAUCAGCCAAUUGCCAAUUGUUUAGAAAUUGGGGUUGCCAUCUCUCCAACCUCAUCAUACAAAGGUGGACAAUUUGAUAUCAGCUUACUGGUCUGGAAGAAACUCAAUUUUUUUUCCCUUUUGUUCCUUUUUUUCGUUUUUGAUAUUGAAUAUGCUAAAGCUAAAUGUGAUUGCUAUGAUAGUGCAUUACUUACAAUAAGCAUAAGAAAAUUUAAAAAAUGAAUUUGUUUAUUAACUUAAUCUGUUCUAUAGAGCAAUUUUAUCAUGUAAUGAUUUUUCCUUUCUUUCUUUCUUUCUUUUGAUCAUUGUAUGAAUUAUUACAAUAAUAAUAGUAAUAAAUAACAAGUAAUAGUUUUUAUAAUAUAAAGUUUUAUGUGAAAAGAAAUGCUUAAGAAAUUAAGUUUUUUCUAAGAAACAAAUGAAAAAAGGAGUGAAACAGAAAAUACUUUUUUUUUUUCUUGUAUUCACAUAAUUGAAGUAUCCUAAAAAGAUAAUGAAGUAUAUAGAGCAUCUUCUUGAGUCAAUUUUGGUCUUCAAAUAUUGAACUUGUGAAUUUACUUGUUGGCUUUGUAUUUAGUCUACCCUGAACUCGAUGAUUUGAAUCUGAAAUCCUAUUCAAAUUUCCAUGUAGGUAGUAGUUUGAUGCAUUUCUGUGAGGUUAUGAUCUUUCCAAAAUCCUCCCUAGUUAGAUCAUAAGUCGAAUGAAAAUUUUAGAGUCCUAAGUAUGGCCUUUCAAAGGUUCUCUUUUAAAAUACAAGUUAAUAGGUUCAUUAUGUUGCAUCACUAGUUUGUUAUCUCUUAAAUUCUAUUAUUAUUAUGUUUGCAUUCCCUAUUUUGACAAAUUGAAAAAUACCAAUAGACAUUGCUUUAUAUUUUUCUUAUAAAGCAACCAGAUUUUUUAUUAUACUAAAAACAAUCUUUAUAUUUUGGUUUUUUAAAUUAUGUGUUUAUUACAUGUUCUAGGCCUAAGCAGUUUAGUAAUUUAUCCUUUAAAGAUGGUUUGUACUUAUAAGUAGCUAUCCAAGUCAAAUAAUCAGCAAAUUAAGCUUAAGGUGAAAAUUUUCAAAUUACAAAAAUUUUACAUUUGUCAAAAGAAAUGAAAAAAACCAAGUUCUUAUGUGGAAUGUUUAUUUUUAUUGAUCUUAAAGGCUAAGUUCUUGGCCUGACUGUUGAAAAAAUUGUUGGACAGGUCUAAGCAGGUGAAGUUUGAAGCAUUUAAAAUAAAUUAGAAGACCUGCAGAAUGAUAAUUAUUUGCUAGUAAUAAUAGUUGUAGCCUCAACCUUCUUUUGUUUAUGAUAUUAAGACAAUCGGUUUUUGUUGAUCAAUAAAAACUUUAAACUUAAUUUACAAAUAUAUGUAAGAAGAUAUUUUAUGUAUGGGGAAAUUUUUAUGGUACUAAUAUUAUCAUUCUAAAAUUAUAAUUUUGGCUUUACCUUUGACUUCCAAACAAAACCAAGACCAAAAACUAACCCGAACUACAUUUACGUAAUUGAUUAUUACAAUACUAGAAUAUUAAAAGCCCAUUUAAAAAUGAUUUUGAAAGGGACUAAACACGCUUCUUAAUGUUAUAAGUGUUUUCUUACAAAAAUCAUAGGUAAUAUUUGGUAAUUGUUUUUUUAAAACAGUUUUCUAUUCUCAUGAACAAAACAACUGAAAAACAUAUUUGACAAUCAAAAAGCAAAAAACACUACUUUUUUGUUUUUAAAAACAAAAAUAAAGGUAUUUUAAAUAACAUCUUUUAAUUAUUUUUAUUUGUUUUUUGAGGAUCAUUUAAAAAAAUAAUCAUAUAAUGAAAAAUGAUUAAAAAUAAGAUAAUAAUAUACAUAAAGUUUAUUUUUUAAACAUAUUUAAAAAUAUAAAAAAUAAGUUAAAAAUAUUUCAAUUACUACAUAUACUUUUGUUUUACAAAACAUUAAAAAACAAUUUUUAAGAACUGUUUUUCAUGAAAAUACUUUUCAAAAUUAAAUGGGAUCAUUUUCCACGGCAUUAGUGUUGGAUUGACAUGAGACUUUUCACUGAGGAUUCAUUAAGUUAAUUAAUUUCCAUGGAACAAAGCUGAGGAAUGAAAACAUGAAUUUCCAUUCUUUGGCAUUAUAGCUAGGCAUGUUCACUUUGAUUUCAUUAAUCUCGUAGCAUUUUAUUAGAUUAAAGUAUGAAUUCUGCCACCGACAAUCAGAAAAUUUAGGCUGUCUUCAAUCAUCCAGGAAAAUUUCUUCACUCUUUUAAGAAAACAGUUCCUCUGUUGACUGACCUAUUAAUUCGUGUUAUAUUCAUUGCUUUUUCCAAGGAAGAACAGAUACUUGUUUAAUUGUGUGCUUUUACUGAUUCCCACUUUAGAUUCUGGUGGAAGAACUAGAUAAUGUAUGUAUGUCAAUGAAGAGGCUGCAUGUCUUCUCAUCCUGUUGUACUUAGCUGACUAAGAAGGCACUAAUCAAUGCUCUUUGGCAUCGUCUCCAAGUAGGUAAUGUUGGACCCAGACUGACCAAUUAUGAGGAAUUGCAGAACUGAUUGUUUUUAAUUUGAAGUCCAAUAAAAGAGCAGAAAAGAGAGAGACCAUCUUCAGGUAUGUUGAGAAGGAUCUUAUUUCCUGGUUUUGCAGCCCUUCUUCUACUUCUGUUAGUCCCUAUAACAUGUAAAGCCAAGCGGAAUCAUCAGGUCUGUACCUCUUCCUGCGGGCAUAUUACCCUUCCCCACUGAAAGAUGAUCCGCAGAGCUGCGGAGAAAGCGAGUAUGAGCUGGCUUGUGAGACUAACCGCACAAUCUUAUACUUGUAUCCAGGAAAAUACAAAGCAGAAGAAAUCAAGUAUUUUUGAAAACACAAAAAAAAAAAAAAAAAAAAAAAAUCUAUUUUUAAGAACCAUUCUAAAAACUGUUCCCAAAACACUCCCAAACAAAGCUAAAAUUAACCUUUGUCAUUUUGUUUCUUUAUUUUACAUAUUUAAUAUCAUAAAUGACAAGAAAACUAGUAUAUUACUGGAAAUCAACUCUAGCCAAAGAAGGGGAUGUGGAAUCGGUGGACAUCAAGAAGGGCAUUACUACAAGGGUAGGGCAUAUAAUUACUAGGGAAAGCUGAUAAAUAAUCUGUGGCUAACCUACCUUUCAAUGUUCAAGAACAACUAAAUACAUGGGUAGAGCUUUAUUGAAGUAUCAAUUUUCCUAAAAAUUUAAAGCAUGUAGAAUUUGGGUUCAUAUUGUAUAUCACACUCUCCAACAAAGCUUGCACUAUCAUAGAUGGGGAUGGACAUCAAGAAGGCUAAUGUGGCGUACUCUUUUGAGUAGCUACACCAGUAGUACACACUAACUGAUACUAAUUCAUGAUAUUUCUGUUGUGUUCGUUUUCUUUUCACGAUCAUCAACUUACACCUCUUGUGGAGUUAGAAAAGGCUUUGGAGGCAUUUGCAGUUGGUCAACCUUUCCUUCAAGCAUCUCUAUAACUUUGUGCAUUGAAGGACGUUCACUGGGCUUAAACUGUAUGCACCAUAAGGCUACUAGGACCAUCUUUUUUGCAAGUUUUUGUUCUUCCUCUGUGGCAUCUCCUAUUUCUAUGCCCUUUCCUUCAUUGAAUUGAUCGUAGGCCCAGGAAGGGAAGUAAAUUUGGCUUGAAUGCUCAGCAAACACAUUCAAAUUCCUCCUUCUGCCUGCCAUUUCCAUCAACAACAUUCCAAAACUAUAGACAUCAGCUUUGUAUGAGACUCCUCCAAUGUUUUUGUAGAACAGUUCUGGAGCCAUGUAUCCCCUUGUCCCUCUUGCUCCAGUUAAAGACACGAUGCUAUGAUAUGCUGGAUAAGAUUUUGCUAGGCCAAAGUCUGAAACCUUUGGAGUGAGAUUCUUAUCAAGAAGUAUAUUAUGGGGCUUGAUAUCAAAAUGUAGGAUUUGCAUAUCACAACCCCGAUGUAAGUAUUCAAUCCCGUGGGCCACUCCUAGAGAAAUCUGAUACAUUUUCUCAAAGCUCAAGGAGAUAUAUUCCUCCUUUUCAGGAAAUAUGUACUUGUCAAGAGAUCCAUUAGGCAUGAAGUCAUACACAAGAGCUCGUUUUGAUCCCUCAACACAAAAUCCAAUUAGUUGCACCACAUUGAAAUGAUGAAUCCUUCCAAUUGUAGCAACUUCAUUGAUGAAAUCUUGUCCAUUAGCUUUGGAAUUGGCCAGCAUUUUUACUGCUACAAGAUGGCCACUUUUCAGCUUUCCUUUAUAUACUGAACCAUAGCCGCCCUCACCUAACUUUUCUGUGAAGCCUUCGGUCAUCUUCUUAAUGUUCUAGUAAGAGUACCUAAUAGGUUUUAGAUUAUUGUGGGUCUGAAUGAACUCUUCGAUGGCAUGGUACAUGGAUAAGCUCCUUUUCCAUUUGUAGAUCAGAAAUAUUAACACACAUGGAACCCCCAAGAAAAUCUUGGCUGCAACAGCAAGAACUGGAAAGGAGAAAUACAGAAAAAUCAUUAGGGAAUCUUCAAUUAUUCUGUGUGCAAUAUCAUUUUGUUAAGUUAAACUUAAGGUUUUCUUUUGUUUUUAUUUUCCCUUUUAGUUCUUGGGUAACAGAAAGAUGCUUUUGAAAGGCUUGUGUUUUCUCCGUAGGUGUCCUAUCUUUCAAGACCCAAGUCAUCUUUCCUAGUCUGUUACAAAAUUCAUAUUACCGUAUUUCUUUGGUUCAGAACCCGAAUGAGGAAAAAUACAAUGUGUCUUACCAGUGAGCUGUUCAAAAUAACAAAAUAAAUUAAACCAAAUUAGAGGUGAUACUGAAACAUUCUAUAGACAAGCAUAUAAAAGAAGGAAGCAUUUGGUGGUGGAAAGAGAACUCUCACAUGCUGCAAUCCAUUGUAACUUCUCCAUUAAAUGGUCCUUACCAUCUGCAUCAGCAUGAUAAAAGGAGGAAUUAAAUCAUAAAGCUGGAAAAAGUAGUUCAAAGGAAACAAUACAUCAUGUUAAGGCGGCACACAGGUUUACACAAUGUGACAUUCAAUUACCAAAGGAACGGAUGCAACAUUUUUUAUAGUGCUUCUUUGCAAUUAAAAAAAAAAAAAAGAUUUAGAUAAACAAAAUAUUUAAAAAAAGUUCAUUAAUACAUAGAAAUUUUUUUAAUUCUAACAUCUCACCGCAUGGAGUGCAGAAGAAGAAUAGGACGCAAUUGCACCAUCUAAGGUCAGUCCCAUACAGCAGCCGGUUAUGGAUGUCCGGAAGAGAAUUAUCAAUCUUCUGUCCCGUGGUCGAGAAGCCAACCACCAAGCCUACGCUGCAAGAGUCCUCUAAAUCUGACAGGGCCAUGUCUUUGACUACAACAUAUGAAUAUGUUUGCAUCGAAGAUAAAGAAGAGUUGGGAGAACUGUUUCUUCUGCAAGGUGCCAUGUCGAUGUAGAGAGAAGAAUUUAUCGGAGCUUCACAAUCAACGAAAUUUACAUCUGAGGUCUCAUAGGACAGACGAUAUGGAUCUCCGUAACUGAAGUUUGCAUAAGUCAAAGAAUGAAGAGGCAGAGAAGAACAAUCAUCUUUCUUUAGGCCAGUAUCAACCACCCUUAUUGUCUCCCUAGUAUAAUUGAUCUCUUCUACAUAGUAUCUUCCAGAAUAUAAGUGUAAGAUUGUGCGAUUAUUCUCACAAGCCAGUUCAUACUUCCUCUCUCCACACCUGGGUCGGUCAUCUUUCAGUCGGAAAGGGUAGCGCAUAUCCGGAAUAUUCCCACAAGAAGAGUGACAGAGAUGAUGAUUCAGCUUGGCUUUGCAAGUUGUUGGGAGUAACAGAAGUAGAAAAAUGGCUGCAAAACCGGCAAAUAAGAGCCUCCUCAACAUAGCUGGAGAUGGUCUCUUUCCUCUCCGUCUCGCUCUUUUAUUAGACUGUAGAUUAAGAACAAUCAGUUCUGGAAAAAAGUAUCACCUCUUACCCACUGGGAGAAAGUGCUAAAAAACAUUGACUGGACACAUCAACCGCCCCACAAUGUUGGCGUCUUUGCAGUCAACUAAUAGAACGGGAUUUCUCCACUUACAUUAUCUAGUUCUUCCAUACAGGAUUUCUCCACUUCCUCAGAUAAUUUGCUUGCAUCCUUUGCCUCUAAAGCAUGUAGCUUUACCCUAAAGAAAGGCCCCAUAAAAGUGGAUAAACUUUCUAAAUGGUUAUUUAUAAAAUUUUAAUUUUCUAUAAUGCUGACUUUUCAACUUUGUGACCUUUAUAGUCAGUCAGGCAAGAUAGAACCAGAACAAUUAAGUUGUGCUCUUCCAAAAAUACGUACCUUGUCAACUUUUCUGCAUAAUUCAUAGUUGAGAAAUUCAUGGUGUCAUGCUCUAUCACAUCUAACUACCUCAUUGCAUUUUUGUAAUUGCAAAAUAAUCAAUUGUUGUAAAAAAGAAUUAACUCAGUGGUUCCUUAUUUUAAAAGUCACAUCUAGUCAUUAAAAAUUAAGUAAAAAAGAAGUGAAAUAUAACUUAGGGAGUUUAUUGAUCCUACAAAUUUUCAAAGAAUGUAUGCAAGUGAUUUUCAAAGAAUUUAUGCAAGUGAUUUUCAAAAAAUCUAUGCAAGUGAAUAACUUAGAUGACUUUAUAGAUCCUACAAAUUUUCAAAGAAUGGUUGGCAGUUUGCAUUGUUUGACUAAUAUAAAACUAGAUAUUAAAUAUGGAGUUGGGCUUAUAAGUAGAUCUAGAGAUUCUCAAUGUUAGUCGCACUUACAAUUAGGAAAAUAGAUCUUAUGAUACAUUAAAGGUUUAUAAAAGCAAUGAUAUCUAUUCUUCAUGCAGGUGCUAACAAAAUUGAGCUUAUUGGAUACAUAAAUAGUGAUUGGACCUGUGAUAUGGAUAAAUAUGGAUAAAUGAAAAAGUAUUAUGGGUUAUGUAUUUAAUCUUAAUUUAGAAGUUUUCUCUUGAUCAUCAAGGAAACAAUAGAUGAUUAAUGUUUUGUCAACAGCAAAAACAAAAUAUAUUGUAGCUACUAAUGGUGCUAAUUAAGUAGAAUAGUUGCAUUCAAUGCUUUUUGAUUUAAAGUAUACUCAAAAAGUAUCUAUAAAGAUUUCCUGGGAUAAUAAAUCAACAAUAACAUUGACCAAAAAAUCCAGUUUUUCAUGAAAGCAGUAAACACAUUGGCAUUACAUCAUGUACUAUAUUCAUGAAUUGAUGAAAGACAAAAAUUAUGUUUGAGGUUUGUUCUUUUCAAAAUUAAAUUGCAGAUGUCUUUACAAAAUCAAUCAAAGUGAAAGCAACAUAAGAGUCCUAAUGAAAUCAAGUUUAAGAUUUGUGAUAUUUAUCUUUAUUAUCAUGCAAUAUAUAACCAAUAUUUUCAGAAAAGUUAUCGGUUCACGAUUCAUUGGUCGGACCGACGGUCGAACCGGUGACAUUAUAAAUAAUUAAAUAUAUAAUUUAUAAAUUAUUAAAAUUUAAAAUAAUUAUAAAAAUAAAAAUAAUAAUUUAUAUAUUAUUUAAAAAUUAAAAUUUUAUUUGAAAAUCAAAAAAUUGGUUUCAAAUUAGAAAUAAAUCAAAUUAUAAUAAAAAAACACAUUAAAUAUAAAACAUAAAAAAUUUCACUUUCCAGUUACUGCCACUACUCGAAGUGGGGCUUACACAGGGGAAAUUUACGGUGGGUUGGGAAAAGGGGAAGAUGGGUGUUUUNNNNNNNNNNNNNNNNNNNNNNNNNNNNNNNNNNNNNNNNNNNNNNNNNNNNNNNNNNNNNNNNNNNNNNNNNNNNNNNNNNNNNNNNNNNNNNNNNNNNAAAGCAGUAAACACAUUGGCAUUCAUCAGUCUAUAUCAUGACUGAUGAAAGACAAAGAAUUUUGGAGGUUAUUCUUUUCUAAAAUUAAAUUGCAGAUGUCUUUGCAAAAUCAAUCAUAAGUUAAAGCUACAAAAAGAAGUCCUAAGAAAUCAAGUUUAAGAUUUGUGAUAUUUAUAUUUAUUAUCAUGCAAAUAUUAUCCAAUUUUUUCAGAAAAGUUAUUGGUUCUCGUUUCAUUGGUCGGACCGCCGGUCGAACCGGUGACAUUAUAAAGAAAUAAAUAUAUAAUUUUGGGGGGGGGGGGGGGGGGAUUUAUAUAAAAAGGGGUGGGCAAGGGGGCCUUACAUAGGGGGUGGCAAGAAGAGGGAGAUUUACAACUGCCGACCGUAGGGAGGAACUUCCAGCCAGUAUUGCAGGGGAGAGCUGGUGUCACAGUCGAGGAGGCUCACAGUCAGUGUCGGGGCGUGGGGGGCGUGACGGUGGCUUCAUAUUGAAAGAGGGAUGUGAUAAAACAAAGGUUAUGAAUAAUUAAGGAAAAUACCCAAAAAGGGGGAGGGGGGGGGGGGGUGAAAUGGGUUUUUCAAAAUCUUUUUCCACACAAUAAUAUAUACACAAAAUAAAUAAAGGAAAGAGAUAAAGUUAGAGAAUUCAAAUUCGGGUUUGUAGUGGUUCGGCACUUCCUUGCUUACGUCCACUCUCCUCAAUCUCCUAACCGAGUGAGGGUUCCACUAACUUGAAGCUUCAAUCAAGCUUUCAAUCUUCUUACACUUGGAUUCCAACUCCAAUGGGCUCUUACACAAUCUCUUCAAGAUUUGAACCACUUGAAGGCUUUCACCUCAGUUUACACAAAGAUGAAACUCUCAACCUAGCUUAAGGAUGGCUCAAGUACAAGAGAAAGCUAGGAUGAUUUACAAGAGUGCACUAAGAAAGAAAUGAGAGUUUUUUUUAUCAAGAACAGGUAGGUAGGCUUUGAAUGCAAUUGUUCUCUUGGUCAUAAAUGAAGUAGAGCUUUCAAUUUAUAGGUUUCUAAGCUCGGGAGUCAAAAACAGCAAAAGGCAACCUCGUCCGGUCGAGCUAGGGGUCGACCGGUUCACUAGCCGUUGGAGCAUUUAAUGCAUGACAGGUUACCGUUGCCUCAAUCGGACCUCGACCGGUAAAGGAAUCACCUCGACCGGGAAGAGAAGGCUACUGGGAGAGAGAGAAGGUUUUUAACCUUCCUCAACCGGUCCUUGACCGGACGACCUCAGCCGGUCGACCGGUUGGCCUUAGUCUCAACUGGUUGAGCCUUUUUAGCCCCGAAAAACCUAUUUUUUGAUUCCUUUCUUUUCUAACACUUAGGCAAGGUCUUUAGGUGAGUUAAUAUGCCAAUUUUGAAUCAAUUUGCCUAAGGUAUAUUUGAUAAAACUCGGGUUUUAAAGAAAAUCAAGUUUUAAAGAAUAAACCGAGUUUUCUAAGAUGCAUGAAAAGGUAUGAACAUCCUAAGUGCACUCAUGCUAUCAUCUUACAUUCAUUUCCUAUGAUCUCAAGUCUUCCAAGCAUCUCGAUCUUGUAUCCAUUUGGUCAUUUGAUGAAUUUUUGAGUUUAUACCUGAGAUUCUUGAACAUUAAACCAAUUAGUUACUUAACCAUGGUUUGUUAUCAUCAAAACCCGAUUAGGAGAACCCUUGGGCUAACAAUCUCCCCUUUUUUUAUGAUGACAAACCUUGGUUAUCUAGGAGAGAAAGAAAUCUCCCCCUCAAACCAAUCAUGGAUCAAUCAAAUGAUAAGCAAUGUAAAACACGAAGAAUCACUAGAUAAAAAUAUCAUAUCAUAUAUAUAUGGAAAUCUCACAUGUACAAUAAGAUAGAUAUGACAAUGAUAACAAUGACAUGCAUGAGAGACUCCUAGAUCCUAGAUCCUAUAAAUAUCUCCCCCUUUGGCAACAUAAAAAAGAAACGAAGGAGGAUCCCAAACAAACUCAAGGCUAAGGAGGUGGUGGUGGAAACACAGAACGGAGGUAAGCCAUCAUCUCCUCGUGCUGACUCUCCUGGCGGCUCUCAAGACGCUCAAUCCUUUGUACGAGAUGCUCAAACUGAGAGGUGAAGCCGACCUGAUACUGAUCAAGAUGCUCCUCUAUAGAGUAGAAGCGGGAGUCAUGGACUAAGGCAAACUCCUCCAUACGAGUCCCAAGAGAGCUGAUCUGCACAGAGAGAUCCAUCCAAGGCGCAUGAUCGGGAACAUGAGGUGCCUGAGAUGGUAGCUCGGUGAAUGAUGGCUGAGAUGAAGGGCCUGCUGUGAAGGACGACUCAAUCAUCAUAGGCUCGGAGAAGGUAGCCUCAACAUGAAUGCCCUCUGACCGAUGUGGAGGUGGAAUGUCAAUCUCGGGCCCUCUCUGCUCAAAGUCCCUCUGAGGGUCCAACCCAUCCUCCAUCUCUUUGAUCUCGACCUCCUCUUCUACUCCGGGGUGUAUCUGAUCAUGUCCCCGGGCCUGUCGCUCAGCUUUUCUAACCUAGGAGCCAUCGGGUGCCUUCUCGAACUUCAUGCGUCCUAGAGACUGCUCAUCAUACGUGUCAUAGGUGGUGGGGGCCUCAAAAUCUGUCUCUCUACUCAAGUCAACCCCGACAUCCUUGAAAGCACGGGUAAGGAAGCGGUCGUAGGGGAGUACACAUGUCGAGCUCUCAACACAGGAGAUCAUGUGCAUCAUCAUAAGGUAGCCAACAUUAAUCCGUCUCCCGGUGAGGAUAGAGUCAACAAUGAAAGCCUCGAGGUAGGAGACCUCGUCUCGAUGUCCUCCACGUGGCAAGAGAAUCGAACAAAUCAUAUGGUGAAGGACUCGGCUAGUCACUAUCAAGUUGUGAGCCAAUGGUUUGCCCAUCCCCUGAAGAUCAGCAAGUCUGCACAACCUCUGAACAGCCUCCCUAGGCUCAAAUCCCAGCAUAGUGGGCCACGCCUUGGCCUCAUAAACACGGAGUCCAACCGAGGGGAUGUCGAGAAUGCAGCAGAUGCUCUCGGGACUCAAACGGAUCUCAAUACCUCUCAUAGUGGAUAUUACGGGUCCUCCAAGCCCGUAGGUCGCCCAAGAAUAAAAAGCCCGCACCAGUGUCGGGAAGACCAGCUCAGAGAUCGUCACUAUGGGCAGCCAUCCCAUCCGUCCGAACAACCCCUCAAAGCCAAAGUGCUGAAGUUGGGAGAAAUUGACACUUCUCCCUAUGACGACUUCCUCUGAGCAAAUUUUUGCUUGUAGCGCUGAUAGUCCUCAUUCGAACUGAAGAGUGCGGUGUCGUACCUCGCCUUUCGGCGAGCCUCAGUCUGCUCGAGUUGAGAUGGCUCAACAAGGCGCUUGACCUGAGCCCUAGAAGUACCCGUCUCCUUUCGAGGAGCCAUCCAAAAUCCCAAAAAAAAAAUGGAGAUAAGCUCGGAGAACUGAAGCAAGCAAGCAAAGAGAGAAGACCAACCCGAAUAAGCCCUAGGCGCGCGGGAAAGGAACAAAACUAGAAGAUGACGCGCAAUCAGAAAGGAACCCGUCCAGAUCCGAAGUCCAAAUCCGUCCAGAGAUGAAACCCUAGCCUCAAAAUCGUGUAAAAAAAUCACUCCAAAGCCUGAAAUCAGUCCAAGGAAUAGCCUAAACUGGUCUCUGAAGGCGGAAAGAUGAAGAGUCUUCAAGGAACGGUGGAGAACAGUGGAAGAAACUGACGCACGAGGGCCUUUUAAAUUCCCAGUCCCGACGAACCGGUCGACCGGUCGACCGCCUGGUCAAUGGCAUGGUCAACGGUCAAAUUUUCCAAUUUUUCUUGCAUUUUCUUGUCUUGUGAUCCUCCCCCUGCCCUUUUCAGUUGAAAUCCCCAAUUUUUGAUGUCCAAUGCCACGGGAAUUUUGAUUUUUGGUCAAAAAUUGACCUAUUUCCUAAGGAAUUGCUAUAUGAUGCGUAUGAGAUGAAAUUUAUGCAAUCAUAAUGCAUUUCCAACAAGAAUUCAUUAUACAAACAUCAGAUCAAAGAGAAAUAACCCCUAGUUGUCUUCUAAUAUCGGAAAAUUGUUCUUCACUUAGAGGUUUUGUAAAAAUAUCGGCAAGUUGAUCUUUUGUGCUUACAAAUUCAAGUGUAAUGUCACCCUUUUGUGCAUGAUUUCUAAGAAAAUGAUGUCUGAUUUCUAUAUGCUUGGUCCUAGAGUGUUGCACGGGAUUUUUCGAAAUAUUUAUGGCACUAGUGUUAUCACAUUUGAUAGGAACAUGCUCAAAAGACAAGUUAAAAUCACUAAAUGUUUGUUCAUCCAAAGGAUUUGUGCACAACACAAACCGGCUGCUAUGUAUUCGGCUUCCGCCGUUGACAAAGCUACCGAAUUUUGCUUUUUACUAUGCUAUGAGACAAGUGAGUGUCCUAGGAAAUGACAAGUGUCACUAGUGCUCUUUCUUUCAACUCUACAACCGACAAAAUCGGCAUCCGAGAAACCAAUCAAUUCAAAGUUAUCACCCUUAGGAUACCACAAACCAAUAUUCAUUGCCCCUUUCAAAUAUCUAAGAAUUCUUUUAACGACACUUAAGUGAGAUUUUUUAGGACAAGAUUGAAAUCUAGCACACAAGCAUACACUAUACAUGAUAUCGGGUCUACUAGCGGUCAAAUAAAGCAAGGAUCCUAUCAUACCUCUAUACAUAGUUGAGUCAAUAGAUUUACCUUUUUCAUCCAUGUCAAGCUUGAUGGAUGAGCUCAUUGGAGUUUUCAUCACCUUGGCUUCUUCCAUGUUCAACCUCUUGAGAAGAUCCUUUAUAUACUUUGCUUGAUUGAUGAAGGUUCCUUACUUUAGUUGCUUGAUUUGAAGUCCAAGGAAGAAAUUGAGUUCUCCCAUCAUGCUCAUUUCAAACUCACUAUGCAUACACUUAGAGAAAUCUUCACAAAGAGAGUCAUUAGUAGCUCCAAAAAUAAUAUCAUCAACAUAUAUUUGAACUAGGAGUAUAUCCUUUUCUUUGGUUUUUAUGAAAAAAGUUGUGACAAAUUUUCCCAUUUUAAAACCCUUUUUCAAAAGAAAUUUACUUAGUCUUUCAUACCAAGCUCUAGGUGCUUGUUUCAAACCAUAAAGUGCCUUUUUAAGUUUAAAAACAUGGUUUGGAAAGUUAAAGCUUUGAAAACCAGGUGGUUGUUCAAUAUAUACUUCCUCAUUUAUGAAGCCAUUUAGAAAAGCACUUUUCACAUCCAUUUGAUAUAGAAUAAAAUCUUUGAAGCAUGCAAAAGCAAGCAACAUUCUAAUUGCUUCCAACCUAGCUACGGGGGCAAAAGUCUCUUCAUAGUCUAUUUCUUCUUAUUGAUUAUAUCCUUGGGCUACCAAUCCUGCUUUAUUUCUUACUAUGAUGCCAUCUUCAUCCAUUUUGUUUCUAAAGACCCAUUUGGUUCCAAUAACACUUUGAUUUGAAGGUCUUGGUACUAGUUCCCAUACUUCACUUCUUUCAAAUUGAUUUAAUUUUUCUUGCAUAGCAAUCAUCCAAUUUUCAUCAACUAUAGCAUCUUUUAUGUUUUUAGGUUCAAUUUGAGAGAUGAAUGCAAGAUUAUUACAAAUAUUUCGAAGGGAUGAUCUAGUUAUUACCCCACUUGAUGGAUUACCAAUGAUUUGAUCUUGUGGAUGGUUGAUAACAAACUUCCAAUCUUUUGGAAGGUCUUGGCUUGAUUCACCUUGCACUUGUUGAGGAGGAGGUAGUGCCAAAGGUGAUUCUUCUUUCUUGGGAUCCUUUCCACUUUCUUCUUGUUGUCUUUUGUCUUCAAUUUGCAAUUUUCCCAUAGAGGUCUCCAAUCCUAAAUCAUCAUCAAAACUUUCUCUUUCUUGAAGAUAAUUGUUAGAUUCAUAAAAAAUGACAUGGAUGGAGUAUUCUACAACCAUGGUUCUUUUGUUGAAAACUCUAAAAGCUUUACUUGAAGUUGAGUAGCCAAGAAAAAUUCCAACAUCGGAUUUUGCAUCAAAUUUUCCAAGAUUAUCUUUGGUGUUUAAUAUAAAACAUUUGCACCCAAAGACUUUGAAAUAGCUAAUGUUGGGUUUCUUGUUUUUCCAAAGCUCAUAGGGAGUUUUCUUAAGAAUGGACCUCAACAAUAUUCUAUUUAAAACAUAGCAAGAAGUGUUUACCGCUUCGGCCCAAAAAUACUUUGGCAAAUUGUUUUCAUUUAGCAUGGUUCUAGCCAUUUCUUGAAGAGUUCUAUUUUUCCUUUCAACUACCCCAUUUUGUUGAGGAGUUCUAGGAGCCGAAAAAUUGUGAUUGAUACCAUGCUUAUUGCAAUAUUCCUCAAAGUCAAAAUUCUCAAAUUCUCUCCCAUGAUCACUUCUAAUGCAAGUGAUUGUAAAGCCUUUUUCAUUUUGAACCUUGUUACAAAAUUUUGAAAACUCAUAAAAAGCUUCACUCUUUUGACUUAAAAAUAAAACCCAUGUGUAUCUAGAGAAAUCAUCCACAAUGACAUAAGCAUAAGAUUUUCUUCCUAGACUAGGUGUCCUAGAAGGACCAAAUAAAUCCAUGUGUAGCAAUUCAAGAGGUCUAGAUGUUGAAAUGAAAUUUUUGUUUUUAAAAGAGUUUUUUAUUUGCUUUCCCAUUUGACAAGCUUCACAAACUUUGUCUUUUUGAAAAUUAAUUUUGGGAAGGCCUCUAACGAGUUCAUCUUUGUUGAGUUGGGAAAUGAGGUCCAUGUUAGCAUGUCCCAACCUCCUAUGCCACAACCAACUUUGAUCAUGCAUGCUUGAAAAACAUCUAUCAUGGCCAUCAUAUUUUGAAAUAUUUAUAGCAUAUACAUUUUCACAUCUAUGGCCCAUGAAGAUGGUUUUGUCAUUUUGAAUAUCCUUGAUGAUACAAUGAGAUGCUUCAAAAAUUACUUUAAAACCUUUGUCACAAAGUUGACUAAUGCUCAAAAGAUUGUAUUUUAAACCAUCUACUAAUAAAACACUUUCAAUAAGGGAGGAUGUACCAUUACCUAUGUUACCAUGACCAAUGAUUCUUCCUUUUGCAUUGUCUCCAAAGGUGACAUAUCCUCCUUUUCUUUUUGUAAGGAAGGCAAACUUGGAUUCAUCCCCGGUCAUGUGUCUUGAGCACCCACUAUCCAAGAACCACUUAUCCUCCUUUAAGCCCUCAUCAAGAUCAUUUAUUGCCAUGAAGCACAUGUUUGCCACUUCUUUAUCCUUUUCUUCCUCGGAAGAUUCUUCACUCUCACUCCAAGUGGCCAUCAUUGCCUUCUUCAUUCUUCUCUUGACUUCAAUUUUGUAGAGAGGACAAUCAUAUUUAAUGUGUCCCGACUUUUUGCAUUUGAAGCAUAUCAAAUCUCCUUUCUCUUCCCAUUUUUCCUUGUCACCAUGUGAUAAGGAUUCCCUUCUUGAGGGAUUUCUUCUAGAAGUAAACUUUUUCCCUCUAAACCUUUCACCUCUCAUGUACUUGUUGAGCUUUCUUGUGAUGAGAGCUAAAUCAUCAUCUUCUUCACUUGGUUUUUCUUCUUCAACAUCUUCUUCAUCCUUGGUUGUGCCUUUGAGAGCUAUGCUUUUCUUCUUUUUGUCUUCACUCUCUUGUAGUUGCUUUGUCAAACUGAUUUCAUAAGUCAUUAAUGACCCUAAGAGUUCUUCCAUAGGUAGCUUGGUCAAAUCUUUAGCUUCUUGAAUAGCGGUGACCUUUGUAUGCCACUUUGAGGGGAGAGACCUCAAUAUCUUCAUCACCUUUUCGGAUUCAUUUAUGACCCUUCCCAAUGCUUCAAGGCCAUUGACAAUUUCAAUGAACCUAGUGAUCAUCUCAACAAUAGAUUCAGUUUCUUUCAUUGAAAACAAUUCAUAGUUGUGAACAAGUAUAUUAAUUUUUGACUCUUUCACUUGAUUAGUUCCUUCAUGAGUUAUUGCAAGUAAUCUCCAAAUUUCCUUAGCGGAUUUACAUUGACAUAUUCUAUUAUAUUCAUUCCUAUCCAUAGCACAUUGCAAAGUAAAAACGACUUUAGCAUUUAAUUGAAAAUUUCUUCUAUCAAGCUCAUUCCAUUCUUGCUUGGGUUUUGGAACCAAAAUUCCAUCAACUAAUUUAGUGGGUAAAGUUGGGCCAUCUUCAAUGGCAUCCCAUACAUCUAAAUCAGUUGAUUGUAAGUACCAAGUCAUUCUAGCUUUCCAAUAGGGAUAGUCGGUUCCCGUAAAGAAUGGAGCUCUAUGUUUUGAACAAUUUUCAGUUUGAGAUGAGCUUGAUGGAAUAGCCAUUUUCCUCUUAGAUGAUUAAGUCUUAAGCAAGAGGUCUAGCUCUGAUACCAAUUGAUAAAACAAAGGCUAUGAAUAAUUAAGGAAAAUACCCAAAAGGGGGGGUGAAUUGGGUUUUUCAAAAUCUUUUUCCACACAAUAAUAUAUACACAAAAUAAAUAAAGGAAAGAGAUAAAGUUAGAGAAUUCAAACUCAGGUUUAUAGUGGUUCGGCACUUCCUUGCCUAUGUCCACUCUCCUCAAUCUCCUAACCGAGUGAGAGUUCCACUAACUUGAAGCUUCAAUCAAGCUUUCAAUCUUCUUACACUUGGAUUCCGGCUCCAAUGGGCUCUUACACAAUCUCUUCAAGAUUUGAACCACUUGAAGGCUUUCACCUCAGUUUACACAAAGAUGAAACUCUCAACCUAGCUUAAGGAUGGCUCAAGUACAAGAGAAAGCUAGGAUGAUUUAUAAGAGUGCACUAAGAAUAUGCAAGUGAUGGUUUAAUGCACUAAGAAAGAAAUGAGAGUUUUUUUUAUCAAGAACAGGUAGGUAGGCUUUGAAUGCAAUUGUUCUCUUGGUCAUAAAUGAAGUGCAGCUCUCAAUUUAUAGGUUUCUAAGCUCGGGAGUCAAAAACAGCAAAAGGCAACCUCGUCCGGUCGAGCUAGUGGUCGACCGGUUCACUAGCCAUUGGAGCAUUUAAUGAUGACAGGUUACCGUUGCCUCAACUGGACCUCGACUGGACCUCGACCGGUAAAGGAAUCACCUCGACUGGGAAGAGAAGGCUACUGGGAGAGAGAAAAGGUUUUUAACCUUCCUCGAUCGGUUCUCGACCAGACGACCUCAGCCGGUCGACCAGUUCCUCAACCGGUUGACCGGUUGGCCUUAGCCUCGACCGGUUGAGCCUUUUUGGCCCCGAAAAACUUAGACACUCAUAGUUCCACUCUCCUUACAGUAUAAGAUUCUAAACUUUAGGAAUUUUAAUUUCUUGUUCAUUCUUGUUGUCUACGUUGCAUGUUAUUGGUAAGAUAAUGGUAGCUCCACACAAGAGGAAUGACAUGAGUAAGGUACAUGUUGCUACAAGGAUGAGAUGGAGACCAAAAAAUUUUGUCAUGAUUUGAAUUGUUGCCCAAAACAGGUUCUCUCAUUGCCAGGGUAUAACUCUCAAAUUAAGCUCAUUUGUAAUGUAUGGGAAAAUAAUAUGCUAAUAAUGUUCGAAAGCUGAUGGCUAGUGUGGUUUGUGUAUAUAUGAAUGUGCUUUUGAGUUUUGAAGCUUAAUUUACAAUCUAGAGAUUAAAUAUGGAAUCUUGUGUUUUCUAAAAAUGUUGGAGAUGUUACAAUACUAGAAUUGUUGAUUUUCUAUGAUGCCUUGAUGUCUUUUGAUAAACUUAGAAUGAAUUGUGGACUUGGGAAGGGAGGAUUUCAUCAAUAAGCAUGUAAGAAAACACCAUUAACACAUGUCAAUAUGAAAAUGACUAAACUGGGGCAUGAAUACCAAAAAAUGUUAACCUUGUACCUAUAGUAAAAUAAUGGAAGUUCAAACUCCGGAAAUCAUGUGUUUUUCCUUUUUAAACUGAUCCAUGCAUGGAAACAUGAAAAAGAUUGUUGAGGUUGUGGCCAUUAACAAUAUAUACCUAGAGGGAUAAAGCAACAUCAUAAAGAGAAAAUUUGGAAAAGGUACACCCUUGGGCUAACCUAGAUCUACAAGCUAGGACAAGAAUUGGUCAUAGCCAUGUACCUACAAAACCUACUUAUAAUUUCUAAGGAACUUCAGAGUGCAUACACGUGUGUGUGUAUACAUGUUUGGAUGUAUAUAUAUGUUUACAAGAUAAAAACAGAACCUUGUACUAGAUGUAGGCAAAGGUAUUCACUAGAUACAAAAAUUUCCUUGUGUCACUUGUUGAGACCAGAGAAAUACCUAUUUGGAUGUGGUGAUUAGAUUUCAACAUAGCCUUCUUGAUGGUUUGGUUCUUGAAUUAUGAGGCAGUGGUGUCUGUUGUACCCUUAAAUUUUACUCCGUAUGAAGUAAUUAAUUUAUGGAGGCAAAAAUUCCUUGUAUCAUGAAAGGAAUAGCAGUUUCUUGUUGAUACUAUUUUGUUUGGAUGUUGGGUUCCUAUAUUGUUCAAAAUGUGAUUUUGAUUGCCUGAUUGUUGCAACUCACAUUUCAUCCGUUGUUUGUAUUUUGCUUGUCGGGUAAUAUGAUACUAUCAGAUAUUGGAGUUGCUGAGAAGUGAAUAUAUCAUUCUACUCUCAAUGGUAAUUAUAACCUGCCUAGUGUAACAUAAUUGAUAAUAUCAUGGCCUUGCCCCCUAGUCCCAGUUGGUUUCUUUAGUUUUUGUCCAUGAAUGACACUUUAUUCAAAUAAGCAUUGGUGUGGUGUUACUCAUGUAAUCUUUUUUCUUAUUCAUAGAAAAAAUAACUAUUUAAAUAUGUUGUUCUAUGUCCUCAUGGAUCUCUGUUAACAAAACAUCAAAUCUCAAAGCUUUUUAGCCUUUCUUUUUUAGUUUCAAGUCAUUUUCUCAAUAUGUUGAUCUAAAAAAUCUCUGUUGUGUUCCUACAGGUUUGUUUUGUAGAUGCUAAUUGGGAUUCACCAUCUGUAUAUAUCCAUUAUAUGAUUCUAUUAUUUUUUUGCCGGAAAAAAGGUUUAUAAUAGAUAUCAUGUUUAGGAGAAGGAUUUUUGUUGACCUAUGAGUUUUGUAUUUCUCCAAAUUUUGGAAUAUUACCGUGAAGCUUUUGUGUCAAUCUUGAAGGGGUUAACCCUUUUUUUUCUGUUUACUCAAUCUACACUUGCUAUUGGUGUUGAAAGAGAUCCAGAAAAAAUUGUCAUUCAGUUAUGAGGUGGUUGGGAUAAGGUCAAGCUACUAUUGCAACAUGAAAUUGCAUGUAAUAUCAAAAGAAAGAUUAUGCUUACUCAAAUUCUUAGAAGAAAAAUGUUUCUGAUCCACACCAUUUUUAUAGUGUUUUGAAGGAUUUAUUGGGGAGCCUCACAAAUGAGCGUCACAAAAAAUUAAUAAUGAUAACUUAUAGUCGUGGCCAACUCCAAAAUGCAACUAUAUGCCAUUUAGCGGGGGCUAAAAACAAGAUGCAGUUGUAAGAACCAUUUGCUGCACUUUACUAUGGUUGCUACUAUUAAUUUAACUUGUGUUUACGGUCACUUUCACAACUGCAACUAUAAGAAAUUGUUGCACCACCUAUGGCUACACCAUGUAGCGGUCAGCUUGGUGUGCAACCAUAAUUUUUAGGCACACCAUUUCUGACCUCUAGUGAGGGUCACUAGCCGCUGCUAUAAGGCAUUAUUCCUGUAGUGCUCCCUCUUACUAUUUGGGCUUGGUUAAUAUCAUACUAGUUUGAAAAUUUUGGGUAUAUGGUUUUUAAAGAUGCAUUUGAAGUUCAUUUGUUAGAGAAUAUUUGAAUUUUGGGAGUUGGUAGUGGAGUAUUAAUUUUCCAAGGUUGAGAUUUGUUGGUUUUUGGUGUAAUUAGUAUUCGUUAGUUUAGGGAUUCCUUGUCCCACAUGGAUUAUGAAUUGGUUUGGUCAAUGCUUGGAGGCUUAUAUAUAAGCUAGCUUAGUGGCUUUAGCCAAUAUUAGUAUAAAGAAAGCUCUUUGCCAAGUAAGAGCCUCCUAGUUUGAUAUUCUUCCAAGUUUGUAAUUUUCUAAUUUAAAAGUUAAUGAAUUGAUUGCUAUUUCCCAAGGACAUAGGUAAGACACUCUUAUGGUACAUCAUAAAUAUUAUGUCCUUUCUUUUAUCUUUAUUAAUCUUAUUGCUUUUCUUUCUAUUUAGAGUUAGUUUACUUUGUUUUCUAUUAUAUAUAUUUUGUGUUAUUUAAGUCAUGUGAGGCUAUGCAAUACAACAAUAAUCAUUUGAGUACUAUGGAACUAGGCCUUAAAACAUUAAUUGAUAUUCCUGUUUGGUGCUAUUUGAAUCAUUUAGAACAUAGGUAAUAAUUAUUACAUGUUUAUAUGCUUGUUGCUAGGGUACCUUGCUAGGGUACCAUGUCAAUGCCUCAAGACAAUAUUACAUUAUAUGGACCUUGCAAGAGGAGUUAUAACCCAUACAUCUAAUCCAAAUUACAAACAUAUGAUAUCAUAGGAGAUAGCAUGCAAGUGGAAAAAUGCUAUGCUACUUUCCAUCUAAUGUAAUUGUACCCAUGGAAUUGCACAAGGAAAUUGGUGCUUCUAUUGGAUUGCUCAUAUGAUCCUCAACUAACAUUUCCUCAGAGUAUAGAGUAGGCUUCAGAGGCAUUUCUAAUAGCUCAACCUCUCCUUCCAACAUCUCUAAAGCUUUGCUCAUUGAAGGACGGUCUAUGGGCUUCAUCUGUAUACACCAUAGUGCAACUAUCACCAUUUUCCUAACAAGCUUCUUUUCAUCUUCAGUGGCAUCUCCCAAGUCUAUGUUAUCCUCUUGAUCAUAUCUGUCAUAAAUCCAUGAUGGAAAAUAUAUUUGACUCGAGUGCGCUGCAUUUGCAUUCACAUUCUUUCUUCUCCCCACCAUCUCCAUUAACAACAUUCCAAAACUAUAAACAUCAGCUUUGUAUGAGACACCUCCAAUAUUUUUAUAGAACAAUUCUAGAGCAAUAUAUCCCAAUGUUCCUCAUGCAGCAGUGAGAGACACCAUACUUUCAUCCGUUGAAUACAAUUUUGCAAGGGCAAAAUCUGAAACUUUUGGUGUAAAGUCUUCAUCAAGAAGAAUAUUGUGUGGCUUGAUAUCAAAAUGUAGAAUUUGCAUGUCACAACCUUGAUGUAAGUAUUCAAUCCCACGCCCCACUCCAAGUGCAACCUUAUACAACCUUUCCCAGCUUAAAAAAGUGUUAUUUUCUUCUUUAAGAAAAAUAAACUUAUCAAGAGAACCAUUGGGCAUGAAGUCAUAUAUAAGUGCCCAUUUUGAUCCCUGUACACAAAAUCCUACAAGUCUCACCACAUUAACAUGGUGAAUUCUUCCUAUUGUUGCAACCUCAUUGAUGAAAUCUUGUCCAUUAGCUUUUGACAUGACCAGCACUUUCACAACUACAAUGUGACCACUUCGAAGUUUUCCUUUAUAUACAGAGCCAAAACCUCCUUGACCUAAUUUAUUCGCAAAGUUAUGAGUCAUCUUCUUUAUGUCUGAAUACGAGUACUUGAUGGGUUGGAGAUUUUUUUGACUCCGUAAGAAUUCUUCAAUGCUAUCAUCCAAUGAUAGAUGUCUCCGGUGGAACUUGUAAAUCAAAUAGGCGAAUAGACACAACAUCCCGAGCAUAGUCCUUCCUAUGACUAAACACAAAUCAAAUGUAAAAAAAAUGAAUAUUUUAAUAAAAAGGAACAAGAUAUCAAAAACAAAGUUAAAUCCAACAAAUAUAGAUGGUAGAAAAAAUUAUUCUACCUUCAUAUAAAGUAAAACACUAAGUUGUUGUGUUGUUAGAGAGCCAUAUGAAAUAACUACUUUAACAAUCACUUUAUAGUGUACUAUUGCUUGGGGAGCAAUUUGACAGAAGUACUGGGGCCUUGGAUAAGAAGACUCUAGUUUCAAUUCCAUUGUUUUGAUUUCUUUACAUGUUAGAGGAGUUGAAUUACAUUUAAAUUUGGAAGAAAAUUUUGAAUUACAUCUAAUUGAUUUUGCUUUGUACAGUCAAACAAAGCAGAAUCAAUUUGAAGUUCACUGUACAACCUUCAAAAUGCAAGAAUUCCAAGAAUUUUCAUAUCAACUCUUUACAAUAUUGUUUUUACAAAAAAUUAGUAGUUGGAAUUUAGGAGGCUUACCAAUAAUACGCAGUAUCUAGCCGCCUAGUAAGAAAGAGAUGUAACAAAUUAAAAAUAUGGACCAAUAUAAGUGAGAGACAUAAAUAACAUUAGAAGAGGAGACAUGUAAGUGAAGAAAGCCUUACCAAUCAUCAAGGUGUUGCAGGGAUAGUAAAGUCUGCAAUUAAAAAGUUGUUCUUGAAGUCCUACAUCAAACCAUUCGUGCCAUGUUAGUCACAAGGAAGAAUGCCCUUGAUCGCCUAAAUUUUAAAUUUUUUGAGAAGCAAGAAAUGGAGAGAUUAAUUCAGAUGAAAGAACUCUAAAUAAAUCUUUUGUCUUAUUCUCAUGAGAAAAUAAUAAUUGCAAGUAGCAACCUUACCUCGGAAUUUUAAGGUUUUGGGAGAAAGCAACCCCCCUGUUAACAAUGAAAGUUUGAUUUGUAAAAAAUUAGGAAAAAUGACAAAAAUAAAGAUUUUAUUUAAAAGAAACUUCUAAUUGGAGCCUUACUAAUAAAGGGAAGGAAUAAAUCAUUGGUUAUAAACUUCCAAAGCCCUGCAAGAUUAAACCAAACAAGUGAAAUUAGGGAUAGAAAUAUUGAAGACUCACGCAAGGAAGAUAAGAUGGUUAGCAUAAUCAGAUUUUCAGGGAAUUAAUUUCCUAUAAAAUCGCGUUUCCUUGAUUGCAGGCACUGUAACCCCAACUCCAAAGAUCAAGUAUGAAAUCAGGCACUCUAAGAUUAUAAGAUGGUUAUCUUGUAAUUUCUUUACUCACAAUUUUUCUCUGAAGAUCGGUAGCAUCCAAAGCCGACAUUCCGACUGAAAUCUGUAUAGGAGGAGCAAUCCUGCCCUUUCAUUUCGCAUUGGCGGUCGCAGAAGAGAGGCAAAAAUGAAAGCUGAAGCCCCAGAAGCAUAUAAUUUUGCAAAUCUGACAUCGAAAGAUUGCUGGGCUCUUGAAGCGACUUCAACGGUUGAAUAAUAAUAGAUGUGCCGAUGGUGCAUGAAUACGGAAUAUCUCCCACCGACACAUAGUCUCCGACAACUGCAUAAGCGUAUGUUGGUGAGGAAGAGGAAGAGCCUCUAGUGUUGCAUGGAAUUAUAUGAAUGUAGUUGUCGUCCUUGAUUGACUGCUCACAGUUCAUCAAAACUAUUGUAUAGAUUUCCCAUUCAGGCAAAAAAUAUAGAGAUUCAUGAUUAAUGUAAUAUGCACCAAUGGAAUGAAGAGGACUGGAGAUCCAACAGUUGUCCUUCUUUCGCCCAGGAUCCACUACCCGAAUUGUAUAAUUAUGGUAGUUGAUCUGGGUAACUAAGUAUUUCCCACCAUAAAGGUUUAUCAUAGUACGAUUGUUUUCACAAAUCAAUUCAUACUCAGGGUAACCGCAGCUGGGGGGAUCGUCUUGUAAUCGAAAAGGGUAGGAAAUGUUCCUCAUAUCUCCGCAGGAAGAGGGGCUGCAUAUCUGGUACUUGUGAGGCUUAGCAACACAAACUGAAAGGAAGCAGGCAUGGAUGACUACUGUCAUGAGGCCUACUCCCACGAGUUGUGCCUCCCUUAACAUUAUCAACUUAGAGAGAGAGAGAGAGAGAUGCUCUGUUUUUGGGUUGUGAGUUCCACAGAGAGAGAGAGAGAUACUCUGUUUUAAUUGCAGCUUUCUUCAACAUAUUAUUCUUCCCCAAACUGUUUGAUUUUUCAACAUGGACCACACUUUCAUCCUAUCACAUCCAGCCAACUGUUAAAAAUGAUGCUUGAAGUUAUUAUGGUUUAUAUUGGAAUUGUUAAUGUUUUAAAUAUUACAUAAUUUUUAGGUCUCAACAAUGGGAAAAGGAUAAAGAAGUAUCAUCUUUAUCGUCUUUCUUUACUCAUACGGCAUGUUGGUAAAUACUGAUAAGACCAAUUUUCUACAAUUUUUUCAAGUAAAUUUUAUAUUCUGAGAUAAAACUAAAUUUUUAUUGUAGCAGUCCUCCAUCCUUUUUGUAUUCCCUAAAAGCACCUGCUUCCCUUUGUACAAAAUUUUCGAAUCUAAUUACAUAUAUAUAAAGUAGGGGAGAAGCAGUGCAAAUUAAAACUAUAGAGAUAAGCAGUUGCUUAAAAAUGGGCAUCUCUUUAUUCUUCUUCUUCUUGUUUAUGAGAUUGUUUGCAGAGAUUAAUGGAGGGAGCCAAGAUGAUGACUGCAAGGCGUCAAGGUGCAGUCACCAUGGUCCAGUCAUCCGCUUUCCGUUCAGGCUAAAACACCAGCCAGAACACUGUGGAUAUCCGGAGUUUGAGUUAUCAUGCUCAGAAGAGAAGCGGACCAUACUAGAGCUGCCCUCUUCAGGAAAGCUCUGGGUGAAGGAAAUAAAUUACAAUUCUCAGACGAUUAUUGUUCUCUGGUACCUGCGUUAUUGCCUUCCAAGGAAGAUUCUAAACUUUAAUUUAUCUGCCUUUCCCUUCCAGUUCACAGACGAGUACGGAUGGGGGUACGCAUUAGACAUCUCCUUCUUCAAUUGUUCAGAAAGUAAAGCAGAGUCAUACGAGCUUAGGUCCAUCCCUUGCAGUUUUCUCUCAAGUAACCCAGUUUAUGUCGCUCCUUCCUCUUACUCUCUCGCUAAAGGGAACUUAUCCUCUUGCCGGAAGAUUUUCAAAGCUACACUCCCAUAUUAUUAUAUAUAUGGAGGGGAAUACGGUACUUUUAUGAAUUGGUCAAAACCUAUGUGCGGAAACUGUGAAGCAAAAGGAAACAAGUGCCAACGGAAGAAGAAUAAUAGCACGGAACCUGAAAUCGAAUGCAUUGAUAAACCAGCAAAAGGUACCAAAUCCCGCUUCUUCAUUAUUUUCACCUUGCAGGCCCUUUCUUAUCUCCUACUAUGAUGUUAAUAUGCACAUGAAAUUUUCUAUGGUAUUUCUUAUGUAUUCUCUGUUUGCACCAUAAAAUUGGAUUGAACCCUUAUGGAUGUGAACCAAAUUAACUACUAUAUAUAGUAAUGGAUGUGAACAUGCAAUAUUAUUUAUUCAUUACAAGCUAGCUACAACAAUUAGGCUUAGCUAAAACAAUCGAACCUGUAGAAAGGACUGCAAAGGCCAAGGUUGAAAUCUAAAUACACCAAAAAUAAUUAUACUCAUGUUACAACGUCAUGUAAUCUACUAUGAUUUUACUAAUUAAAAGAAUACAAAAAGCUAAUAAGUUUACUAUUUUUUAUAGGUGCUCCAAUGGAUAAAAUGGUGCUUACAGGUGAUUUCCUAUUCAUAUUCUUUUCAAUAAUGAGGGUGACAUAAUGAUGAUGAUUCUUAGUUUGUUUGUUUUUUUUUUCUUUGUUUCAUUUACUUAUAGAAACUUUUCUUCCCCUAUGUGCAGAAGCAAUCCUUGGUUUCCUUCAUUUCACUUUUGGAAUCUUUAUAAUAUUUAUUGUCUAUCGCUCUAAUAAGUUGAAAAGAGAGCAUAGAAUAAAUAUUCAAAAGUUUUUGGAAGAUUAUAGAGCUCUCAAGCCAUCAAGGUACUCCUAUGCUGAUAUUAAAAAGAUCACAAAUAAUUUCAAGGACAAACUGGGUCAAGGAGGUUAUGGGAUCGUUUAUAAAGGAAAGCUCUCAAAUGAAGUUUUUGUUGCAGUAAAGAUCCUUGAUGAUUUCAAAGGAAACGGGGAAGAUUUCAUUAAUGAAGUAGGAACAAUGAGUACCAUUGAUAACCCGACUCUUGGUAGCUUGGCAUGUAAGGGUAUCAACAAAAUUUAUACCUAACGUCCUUACACUAAAGUAGCAAAGCUACUAUAGCAUAGUGGCUCUAGGAUCGAACACUGGGAAGGGUUUUUACUUUAACUGGUGAAGUUCGGAGGAUGGAGUGAACUUUUCUUAAUAAAAAUUAAGUUAAGAUGAAAACAUAUAGAGAUGAAGGUGUGUAAACUAAACUAACAUGAAAAUAGGUUAAAAGAUGGAAAAAGAAGUUUCUCAAAGCUUUGGAUAGCCAUGCUUAACUCACUAUGUAAAAAAUGGAGAUUUUGGGACUUUUCACCUCGAGUUGGGGAAGCAACUAAGGUGAUGCUUACUUCCCGAACCGGUAUGAGUUUAACAACUGAGUUUUAGUCCUUGAAAACUUACAAAAAGGGUAGUUGAACCUCAUAAAUGCUCUUUUAAUGAUAUAGGUCAUCUCCUCGACUUGCAAUACAAUGGCUCGUAGGAGAUAACUAAUGAACAUCAGUGGAUCUAACAAUAAGAAUCCACUGAGACCAAAAGCUUAUCAAGUAUUGGCCAUUCAAAGCAAGUCAGAGGGAUUAAAAGCUUUACUUUGAAUGAAAACAUUUAUGACGCUCAGCUACUUACAUUCAUGGCUUGGAAAUCUCCAUCCUGACACGGAAGCUUCACAUGGCAUCCAUUACUUCAAGAAACUAAAAGGUUUUAGCCUCUCAUCCUUGGGGAUUUCAUCCUCCAAGGAUGUUUGGCUACUAAGAAAAUGAGAAAGAAAAGAGAAAAAAAGCUUCUGAAAAAAAGUGCUCUUAUAACUUAUAAAGUUACAGGUUACAAGAUUCGAUCAUCUGAGGCUCUUCACCUCUAUUUAAAGACAAUAACAAGCUAAAUUACAAGAGCUAUUACAAAAGCAACCUAUUCAUUGGUUGAUUACAAGGGUAAAAUAGGUAUUUACAAAGCUAAAAAUCAAGCAAAAUAUCUUGGAGAACCGGUAGUGGAAUAACAUCAACAACGUCUCAAAACAGGGGAUUCAAAGGAAUUUCGCAAUGUGACUAAAUCCUCCUUGCGAAAUUUUCGCAAUGUGAAAUUCACAUUGUGAAAUGGCAAAAUUUCGCACCAUGAAGAAAAUCCCCUUGCGAAAUGGAAAAAUUUCGCACCAUGAAGAAAAUCUCCUUGCGAAAUUGGGCAUUUGACAUGAUGCAGUUACCUUCCAAAGGCCAUAUCUUCCUCAUUUCAGCUCCAAAUCAUACACGGUUUGAAGCGUUGGAUUCUUGACUUCCUAAGCUUUCAAAUGGUAUAUAGUAUGCAAAAAAUGGACUUCGGGAAGUGCUCCAAAAGUUCAAAGGAAGACUGCAGCUGUUUUCUUCACUCUGUUUUCCUCUUCUCCAUUGCUUGUGCUCGUGUUUCCACUUGAAAUUCAAGCCUAUAAACGUACAAAAUCCUUGCUUAACUCGCCCAAGUAGCUCCUCCAUCAAUUGGCAUGCUUGAAUCGAUUCAUAAGCUGAUAAAAACAUGUAAACUUGCCACAAAAUGGUUAAAACCAAUUACUAAGGACCUUAAUGAAUUAAUUGGGUUAAAUGAAUAUGAUUACUACUCAAAGGUGCUUAAAACCAUUAUUAUUAGGUCUACAAAAUAGCACUUUUUGGUAGUAAUCAACCAUACAUCAUGUUAACGUGGUUCGGUUGCUCGGGUUUUGUGCAGAUGGAUAUAAGCGAGCUUUGAUUUAUGAAUUUUUACCAAAUGAGUCACUAGACAAGUUCAUAUUUUUAGCAUUUGGCAAUAAUUAUUCUCUAGGUUAGCAUAAGCUUCAAGAUAUUGCUAUUGGCAUAGCUAAAGGUAUUGAGUAUCUUCACCAAGGUUGUGAUCAAAGAAUCCUUCAUUUGGAUAUCAAACCUCAUAAUAUUUUGCUUGAUCAUAACUUUAAUCCGAAGAUUUCUGAUUUUGGUUUAGCCAAAUUAUGCUCUAAGGAGAAAAGUGCAGUAUCUAUGACAGCAGCAAGGGGGACCAUGGGUUAUAUUGCACCAGAAAUGUUAUCAAGAAAUUUUGGGAAUGUGUCUUCUAAGUCAGAUGUUUAUAGUUUUGGUAUGUUGUUGAUUGAAAUGGUAGGGGGAAGGAAGAAUAUUAAUGCUACAGUAGAAAAUACUAGUCAAGUAUACUUCCCAGAAUGGUAUCCAAUAGAUCGUCCUUCCAUGAAAAUUGUGGUUGGAAUGUUGGAAGGAGAAGAAGACAAUUUAGUUAUGCCUCCUAAUCCUUUUACCUCCAUGGGACAAACAAGGACAAGUGUUAGAAGACGCAAAACAUCUAUCCAACCAGAGUUGACAGUCAUAUCAGAAACAGAAUAAAAAGUUGUCUAUUAUGAGUGUUUAAUUUGGGUAAUAAUCAUGUUGUAAUAAAUGGUGAUAAUGUAAUCUCCUUAUUUAUUGCUAUAGUUUAAUAAAAUAGGUUGCUUUUGAGGCUCCACCUUUAUUAAUUGUUUCUUUCCUUACACUAAUUGAGAUUUUCCAAUAAAGUUCGCAGAUGGAUUUUCAAAAAAUAAAAAUAUGGAAAACUCUUGUUCUCCAAAGAUAGUAGGCUUUGAGGUUAGGUAAGCAACUAUAAGGGAGCUUAUUAAACAACUAGCCUCAAACAAAUAACCUUAGUCAUUAUGUCUUGCUUUCUUGGGAGAAGCUUUAGUACUAUUAAGGUGGUUAGGAGGAGUUGAGAAAAAAAGGAAAAUUUUAUGUGGACAAGUUUUCAUCUUGGGAACUAGAGCUUUGCAUCAUGGAAAGAAUAAAAUAUUGAGAAGUUUUCAUAGAUUUGUUCUCAUGUGAUUUGUUGCCUUGUUACUUGCGAAAUCUCGCAACAUUAAUUUGCAUCUUGCAAAUUAGACCUGGGAAAUUGCAAGGUUAGGUUCUCACAAGAAAAUUUGAGGCAUGGUGGAUAAUAUUUUCAAAAAUAAUUUAAAAAAAUAGGUUUUUGAGAACAAUUCAUAAAAACAAUUUUACAUCAUUUUUAGGAAUAAAAUUCUAUUUGAAAUUCUAAAAAAUGGUUUUCUUUAUUAGUUCUUAGUGAAUGUAAUUUACCAUGCAAAAUGCAAUAAUAAAAAAACACAAAUCACUCUGUUUUCAUGAUAUUUUUAUUCUAAAAUCUAUUAGAUGCAUUUUUGAGGUUGGAAAUUUAUUUUUUAUUUUUUAAAUAAAAACUAAUUUUAAAAAUAUUUGCAAACAAACCUUCAGUGUGUUAGUUGAAAGUACGUCUUUCAUUAUCGAAAACCACUUAGAUUAGUUCUUUGGGGGUUAGGGUUUGUUAUUUAAAAGUUUCCUAACUCGACGAUGGAUAUAACUACAUUGUUGAAUCAUGUGAACCCUAUUCCUAUGUGUCUAUUUUCUUUUCUUUUCUUUUUUUGUAAAAAAAAAAACUUUAAAAUUUUUAAAUCAUUCCCACAAGCAUCAUCAUUUGAAGAAGUCCAUAAAUUUUUAUAAUCGACUAUUUCUCACUAAUGGUCGUGGACCAUGUAGUCCAUUGUAUGUAUGUGACCAAUGCCUCACUAUGUUUCAUUAUUUGUGUAGUCCGUUAUAUAUAGGGUCUAUUUUCAAUUUGUGUGGUUCAUAUGACUAUAUAGUCCAUUAUAUAUGUGUGACCAUUGUCUCACUAUGAUUCAUUCUUUGUGUGGUCCAUUGUAUAUGGGGUAUAUUUUCAAUUUGUGUGGCCCAUUGUAUAUAGAGGUACUCACCGAGUUCAUUUUUUUGGCACUAAAUGAAGAUUUGUCCUUGCACUUGGAGGGACUUGAUUCCUUUGCCUUUUGAAAUAUCCAAUGAGCAGGAUGAGAUAAAAGAAAGAACCUAUAAACCUCUCAAUUAUGAAUUUGUAUGAAAACAUAGGAAAUGAAUUUCAAGAAGAGGAUAAAUUAAUUGAUUUUUUUGGUUUUGUCUUGCUUGAUUGACAUUAAAGCCACCAAGCUAGUUCAUAAUAUAACUAAUUUUUUAUCUUUUAUUUUAUUUUUAGUAAUUACACAUCUUUAUGAUAUAUAUCCCAUCUUAGAGUAAUUAUAAUGAUUUCCUUUCCUUCUUCGUGUGUUUUCUUUCUAUAUCUUGCAUUUUCUAACCCAAGACCACACUUUUGUAUGUUAACCUUUAUCCAACUUACAAGGGUUUGGAAAUACUCAUGGGCACCAUAUUUUUCAAAACAAUUGAUUCAAACUUUAGUUUUACAAACAAAUCAUGACAACCUUCUUAUUUCUAUUUACUUUAUCUAAGGGUGCAUGCUAUGUUCUUAAGGUCAUAUUAACUUUAUUAAUUCUUUUUAUCAUAUCAGAAUUUAACAAUCUCAUGAAAAAAAUGGAAUCUACAUAUAUUUUGGAUAAUAAAUUUAUUUCUUAUAUUUAUUGGAUCUCUUAUAUAUUUCUUUCAAAAAAAUUUCAUGUUAAUCACUUUGAAUAACCAAAAUAAAAAAAAAAUCUAAUUUUAAAAUGAUAAAAUUUUGGUUCCAAAAAAGAAAAAAAAAACAUAUAUAUAUAUUAUCAUUCUUUCAUUAAUAUUUUGUCCUAGACUGUAAAUUAAAUAUGACCUUAAUUUACAAAAUUUCAUUAUUUACAUUUACAUGUGUUUAACAUUCAUAAGAAGAUUAUAAAUAACAUUUUGUGUUUUGACAAUGAUGGUGCAAACCAAGCAAAUUUAAAUAUUGAAUUUUCCUAGCUAGUUAAAGAAGCUGCCAAGGAACCUUUGCAAUCAAGAUUAAUUAAUAUCUUAUAUGGUCAGUCAAGCUCGAAAAAAUUAUUCAUCACCUUCUUGAAAUAUAUUACCCACUGUUGACCCCUUAUUUUGGCCAAGUAAGAGAGUUUUUCUUUUUAGGCCAGCUAGGGCUAUUAGGGAGUUGUGGAGAGGAUGUUCUCAUGGGCCCAAAUGAGUGACACAUGGCAAAGAAUAUCCUCCAGCAUAAGGGUUUUUUUUUUUUUUUUUUUUUGCUAUUAGAAGAGAUUACCUUUGGGGGGCAUUUUUAGAGGUGGUGCAAACACGUUUGCUAGGAGGAACCAAUAGAAGACACGUAGAGGAGGAUUCAGAUACCAUUGGGAAUGAGUUGGGGUAGCAUGAUCCAUUUGAGGAGUGGGGUUUUAGAGAGAGGAGAGAGAAAGUGUCCAGAGGGACGACAAGAAAAUUGAGAAGAUUGAGAAUAGAAACAAGGAAGCUAUAGAGAGCGUUUGGAAAUAGUAGAGAAGAUUGAGAAGGUUGUGAGAAAAUCCAUUUUUGAGAUAAAGAAAAGUAUAGAGAGAUGGUGAGCUGAGCAUAGAUAGAGGAGUGAGAUGUAAGGCUAAAGAAAGUGAGAUGAAUAGAAAAGAACCAUAGCAGAGGACAUGGAAGAGGAAGGAGGAUGGAGUCUUAUUGGUUUUGGAGUAAAAGAAAGUGUGAGAAGCUGACCAAGCUUUGAGAAACCUAGGUAUGGCCACUAUACAUUUCACCAUUUUCUUCCUCUGUGCUUGUUGCUUUUGAGUGUUAUUCGUUGAUUUGGGUGUGAAUAUUGUGAGGGGAUCCUCUCCACGUGUUCUUUUCAAGCUCAAGACCCCUUGGUCGUCUAAGGCAAUCAUCUUACCCAUCCGAGAUCAUUCCGUCUAGGCUAAGAUGAGUGUCGUCUGGCACCAAAAGUGAGAGGAUUCUCUUCUCCCACAAGGCCAGACGGAAUCGACAGCCUAGACUCCCAAACGAGAAGUAUUGUCCAAUCUAAUCUUUAAAACCUCUAGCAUGUGUGAUCAAUCACGCUUGACAUCCGAGUGGUCGACGAGACUCCAUUUAGCCCACAAGUCCAUAUCAAUUAAUUGUUGCACAUAAUCUCAGAUGUUGAUAGGCUAAAUGGACAGACAAUUGCACGGUCCACGAUCUUGGCACGUCAAUAGAUGGCACCUAUUAACCGUCCUUAACUGAGAUGAUUGUCCAACCGCCCUGGGGACAAUCAUCAUUACAGAAAGGGUCAGAGUGCACAGUCAGCACUACAGUGGCGGUGUUCUCAACUCUUUAUAAACCCUCCAAAAAGCACAAGCAAAGUAUGCACACAUAUAUGCUAACUGUCUCCCCCAAAAUAGUUAGAGUUACUCUUGUUUAACUUAAGCUUCAGAGGGGCAUGCCUGGACCACCCGUCCAGACAUCAUUUUAUGCAGGAAAGAAGUCUGUCUGCCUUCAGUUCAGCUAGAUGAAUUCUUCAAAAGGCACGAAGUAGGAAAGAAGUUCGUUUAACUUCAACGAAACUAGACGAAUUUGAUUCCAAUUGGCCUAACAUCAACAUUGGCGUCAUCUAUGGGAACGACUAAGGAUGUCAACACCCUCAAGACGCCCCUCAUCUGUUAUGGGCAGCGAAAGCUACUUUGACUGGCAUGAAAGUAUGAAAAGACACCAACGAGAGAGUGAUCGAUAGAUACAAUCUCUGCUCCAUCGAACAAGGCGACUCAAAGAAGAGAAUGAAGAGUUGCAUGCAUAAAUGUCAUUAGCGGGCUUUUCUCAAAGUCAGCAACCAUAAAGCCAGAGAACAACCUCAAGACAGACUAACAAGGCAUCUUUCCUCGAGAAUGUAAAGUUCCCCUCUGGCAGUCACACGACAUGAUCUGAGGAUGAGUUUUUUCCAGCUUACCAGGUAUAGUUGGACGAAGACACCGAUUUUACCCAAGUAUUAACGAAAAGGAGGCGCAAUAGAAGGUUACAUCUAUCAAAUGCAAUGCGAGCUUGAUUGGGACCUUAGAUGCUAGGCAUAUAGGGAAAAUCAGGCAUUAUAGAAACCCUGGAGGCCCGUCUAGGUCCCUCAGUUGCAACAAUUAUGUCAAAGUGACCUCCUCAUUCGCCAAGGCAACGACAAGCAAGGACCCCAAUUGAUCAAGCUCCAUCCAACUCUAUCAGUCGACGGUUGGAUGACACGCUCUCCACGUCGUUCAACCCUCAUAUUAUUAAUUAUGAACCAUCUUGGGGGUUCAUAGUGUCAAAUUUCACGACAUAUGAUAGAACAAAAGAUUUGUUUGAUCACAUCAUGCACUUCAAGCAGCUCAUGACCAUUGAUAUAGGGAAUGAUGCACUGUUGUGCAAAGUCUUUCCGACCAGCCUACACGACUAGGCUCUUUCUUAGUUCCAUCAUCUCCCGAAGAAUUCUGUAAAUAAUUUCCAGGAUUUAUCGGAGGCUUUUGUGGGCCACUACUUAUGUUUAGCUCGCCAUACCCCGAAUAUUGCACCAACCUAAAUGAUGUCUAUCUAAAUGAUAGUUUCCCCUUAUCCAGGAUAUAUCAUAUAGUCGAUGUCAUCAUCGGGCAUGAGAUGUUUUCCUUUAUAGACUUUCUCUAGAUACCACCAAAUCCCCAUGUUCCAACCGGAUGAGGAGAAGACAACCUUCAUUACACCACAUGGGUUGUAUUGCUACAAAGUCAUGUCGUUCAGGCUCAAGAAUGUUGAGACUACUUAUAAAAAAUUAAUGACGAAGACCUUCAAGCCCUUGAUAGGCCGAACUGUGGAAGUCUACAUUGACAACAUUGUUGUCAAAAUCGAAACCCGAGCUGAAAAUGUCUAGUACCUUGAAGAAACAUUCCGCCUAAUGCAGGCAUACAACAUGAAGCACAAUCCAGCAAAGUGCGCUUUUGGCGUCAGUGCAGGAAAGUUUCUAGGGUUUAUGGUGACCCAAAGAGGAAUUGAAGUUAAUUUGGAUCAAAUAAAAGUUGUCCUUGAAACACCUGCCCCAAGUAGCAAAAAGGAGUUGCAACUCCUCACAGGUCGUUUAAUAGUUUUAGGGCAUUUCAUAGCCCGCUUCACAAACAGGUUGAGACCUUUCUUCCUCAUGCUUAGGAGAGCAAACACAUUUUGCUAGAUGGAUGAAUGCAGGCCGAAAUUUUAACUAGUCAAGCGCUACCUCACUAAAUCGCUCAUUUUGAGCAAUCCUAAGUCUGAUGAACAACUCUACAUGUAUCUGACUGUAUUUGACUGUGCAGUUAGUGUUAUCCUGUUUCGGCACAUACAAGACAAAGAACAAAUGUCCGUCUACUAUGUGAGCAAAGCAAUGGUAGACACAAAGACUCAGUACUCUAGAAUAAAGAAGACAACCCUAGCCUUGAAAAGCACCGCCCAAAAGCUUUGCUCGUACUUCCAAGCUCACCAAGUGACCAUGCUCACAAAUCAACCACUCUAUAGUACCUUGCAUAAACCAGAUUUGUCUAGACGAAUGUUGAAACAGUUCAUCAAGUUGAGUGAAUAUGAAAUCAAAUACCACCCAAGGUUAGCACUAAAGGGACAAAUUAUGGUUGAUUUUAUAGCUAAACUCCCUCAAAAACCAGCACAUGCAGUUGAGUUCCUUGGAGAACAAUGGUGGACACUUUAUGUAGACAGAGCAUCUAAAGUGUCUGGAUUCGAAGUAGGUUUGAUCCUACAAUCACCAACCGAAGAACUGUUAGAGAAAGCCAUCUGUCUCAACUUUUCUAUCUCCAACAAUGAAGCAAAAUAUGAAGUCAUCCUAGCUGGGCUAAACCUUGCCAUAACAUUGUUUGCAACAAAACUGGAAAUCAAGAGCGACUUUUAGCUAAUUGUUAGGCAAAUUCAGAAAGAAUAUGAAGCAAAUGAUGAACGCAUGGCUCGCUACCUCACCAUGGUGAAAGAUCACUUGAAAAAGCUAGGCGAGCGGGUUAUUAGACAGAUACCCAGGAAGAAGAACUUGAAGGCGGACACACUGGCUAGAAUAGUUGGCACUCUCCUUGUAAGAAAUGCAAUAAUGCCGCCUAUUUAUCUCCAAGCCACACCCUCAAUCACACCAGAGCCAGUAUGUAGUGACAAUGAGGUGGACCCCGACUGGAUGCACAACAUCGUGAAUAACUCAAGACGGGAGAAUUACCAGAAAACGGGAAGCAUGCGCAUAGACUCCGUGUAUAGGCAACAUGCUUCACUUUGAUCAAUGACCACCUUUAUAGACAGUCAUUUGGAGGUUCGUACCUAAGAUGCUUUAGCAAUCUAGAAGCCAAGUAUGUCUUGGCCGAAUUCCAUGAAAGUGUGUGUGGCAAUCAUCCAAGCAGGUGAACCCUAGUGCAUCGCGCUCACAUACAAGGACACUAUUGGCCCACCAUGAAGCAAGAUGUUGAAAAACUAUGUUAAGAUAUGUGAUCGGUGUCAAAGAUAUGUUCCCAGUCCCCGUGUACCUUCUGAAACUCUCAACCCGGUCACAAGUCCUUGGUCGUUUGCACAGUGGGGGAUGGACAUAGUUGGCCCCUUACCCAUUGCAGCAGUGCAAAAUAAAUUUAUGCUUGUAGCAACCAAUUAUUUCAGCAAAUGGGUGAAAGUAGAAGCAUACGCCAACAUCAAAGACAUAGGACAUCUCCAAGUUUGUCUAGAAAAACAUCGUGUGUUGGUUUGGAGUCCCACGAGCGAUUGUGGCAGACAAUGAGCCACAAUUUGAUAGUAUCAUCUUCCGAACAUUCUGCUCAGAGUUAAACAUUAAGAACCUAUAUUCAAUGCCUCGCUAUCCUCAAAGCAACGAGUAAGUAGAGAUAACAAACAAAACCUUAUUGAUUACACUAAAGAAAAUGUUGGAAUGAACCAAAAGGAAAUGGGUAGACGAACUGUCCGAAGUCUUAUGGGCUUACCGAACAACAUCUAGAUAGCCAAUAGGAGCUUCUCCUUUCGCCCUUACUUAUAGAAUGAAGGUCGUUAUCCCAAUCGAAAUAGGCAUGCCUACCAUCAAAACGAUCGUACAAGGUCAAAGAGACAACGAUGAGGAACUUGUAAGACAUUUGGAUUGGGUAGAUGAAAUACGAGGAAACACGACUAUCCAGAUGGCUUCCUACCAUUUUAAAACAAUCGCUUAUUACAACAAAAAUGUGUAACCAUGAUUUUUCUGGAUAGGAACCCUAGUCCUUGAAGAGUCUUUGAAAACACAACUGAAUUAGGAACUGGAAAGCUUCAGGCUAAUUGGGAAGGGUCAUAUGUUGUGACUAAGGUUGGAGACUCAAGGGCAUACCAUUUUCAAACACUGGACGACGUAUCCUUGCUCCGCCAUUGGAAUGUAUCCAAUCUAAAGCAGUAUUAUCAAUAAAGUGUGUUUGUGGAAAUAAUAUGUGAGAAACAAACGAAUAAAAUAAACAUGUUCAAAUAUAUAGAAUAUACAAAUUUUUUCAUCUAGGCCACAUCUGGCCAAAAUAGGUAAAUACAAGAUCAAACACACCCGCUAAAGGGACCGACUCCAAAAGCAUCUCAUUCACCUCGGGUAAGGCCGCCUACAACUUCCUCCUCUUUGUUCGACGGAAAGCUAGGAGUGUCUUAGGAUACGUCAUGUUUCUUCAUACAACAUCAGUAGCUAUAGAAGAACAUGUUGUCCACUUGUUUCUGGUACUCAGUCUCCAACUCUUCCUUCUGAAUGGCAAACCCCGCCCGAAGCUCCUGCCUCAACCUUCUAGCCUCCUCAUCGGUUUUAUUAUUACCAGCCAUUAUCGCCUCCUUCUCCUCAGCUAGCCAGCGAACCUCAGCUUGAGCCGCUUCCUUCUCCUCCUCCGUCAUCCUCAACAAACCGACCCCUUCCUCGACAAGCUUUCGAGUAGCAACAACAUCACUCUUUAUAGUCUCCAACCUAGUGCGGAAGUCCUCACUGUCGUCCAUGUUAUGGGCAAUCUAUGCCAUCAUGGUCUUGCCCGCCUCCAGCUGGUAGAAGAGCUGAGCACACUGUCGUAUAAGGUUUUGGAUACCGGCUAUCACCUGAGGAGACAGUAAAGAAGUUGUUAAGAAACCAAAUACUAAGGCCAAAUAAACAGAAAGGAGAAACAACUUACCACUUCCAUCGUCUCGAAAGUCAUGUAGUCCUGCAUAAACAUGAUGCGAGAGAUGACAGUGUCCAGAGUGCCAUACGAGAGUCGUGUUGUGAAUGAUCGAUCGAGAUGAUUCUCUAUUUUAACCGAGCUCCACUGAGUGGCCGAAAAGAACACUCCCAUGUUUUGUACUGUCUCUCUCUUAGUGAAUGAUGGAAUCUGCCUCAACAGCUUAGCUACCUCCUCCCAACUGGAGACGUAAGAUGGCUUUGGACAUGAAGCCAUGCAAUCAAAUGACUCAUCGCUAAAAUGGUCCAGAUCAAUGGAAGGCCUUUUUGGCUCAUGAUAAGCAAUGUAUUCAGUGGAAGGAAACUUCUCGUUCGGUUCAAGAAUGAUCUCUGCAACAGUAGCCGAAUGCACUGGCACUGGUGUAGAAAUCGAAACAGGUUUCGAGCAGGCAGGCUUCGAAUAAGCUCUCUUUGAGAAAGUAGGGUUAACCGUGAUGGAUUCAGAUAGGCACUUGCGCUAGCUCUCCCAAAAUCCAGCCCUCAAGUUUGUAGUCAUGUCUCUGUCUUCUUUCUCUUUACAAACAAUGGGGGGCACCCUCCAGUCAACCCCUGUCUCUGGCUCAUUACUAGCAGUUGAAGAAGAUGAAAACGGAGAGAAUGAUGAAACUGAUGGAGAAGGCAGAGGUGCAUAUGGCAGAGUCCUUGCCCUCGGGAUGGACUGAAUAGCAAGUCCUUUCCUUUUUUUAGUUGGAGGCCAAACGGUGGGGCUAGAGGCUGGAUGACUUGUAGCCGAAGUUUGCCUUAGCAUCCCUUCCUAAUGAUUCUUCUCCCGCUUCUCUAGGUGGGCUUGGUGUGCCUCUGAGUCCGCCAAGCGGGCAACCGCGUAAAAAGACAAGUUCUUCAGCACGAAGUGCUUACCGGGCACUAGAAACGAGGGAGCCACGCGAGAGAAGACGGGCAUAAUAAAUGACUUAGGCUCAUUGAUCAAUGCCAAUAGAUUCUUGUCUAACAAAAAAACCUUAUGGUUCCGUUCAAACACUUCUAUCUCAAAUAGCUUGUUAAGCAGGGCGAAAAAAGCUUUUUCCACUCAUUCUAUAGGAUAACCCCGCCUGUCCUUACCUACACCACAAAUAGAAGAAUCAACAGUGAGUUCACAACGAUGAAAAAAUAAUUACAAAGUACGAACAAAAGUUACAAACAUGUAUCAUACUCGAAAUCUGCAACAAGCGUUGUGGAGUAAAGACUCUGUCUGGCCCCGCAAAUGGUCCACUCCAGGGACCAAAGAUAAGGACAUGCCCCUUUGCUCUACCUUUGCCCCAAUCUAGAAGCCCAGUCACCAGCUGGAGAAAAGGAAUAUGGGCAGCCAAGCUGAACCGUUCCUUCUAACUCAUUUUUAUUGUGUAGACGAACAAGACUUACAAUAGGGAAAAAUCCAGCUGGAAGAGCAUGUCCAGAACACUGCAUCCCAUCAACACUAGAACAACAUUUGGAUGGAAGAAGCCCGAAGGGAUCUGUGUGAAGUGAAUGAACUACUUAAAGAGAGAAAGGAGGGGCAGACAGAGCCUCGUAGCAAAUUGUUCUUUGCUGAAGUACGUUACGUUGUGGGGCUGUUUUUCGGAUGAUAGAGUCUCGCCAUCUACUAGAUGGAUAGAAAUUUUGUCUGGGAUAUGGAAGGGUGCCUGGAACUCCUGUUCGGAUAGAAGAUCAAUUGGACGCUCCAAUCUAAGGCGCAUGACUCUAGUGUCCUUUUGACCAUUUUUUUAAGGCCUACUACUUUUGUUAGUGGAAGCAACACCUCUUCUUGCUAACAUGUUGAAUAGUUCUAGGCUGUGUGGAAACCUGCGCGAGACAAUGCAAUUAUUAGAAUCAAUCACCCAGCCUAUCCUCCGUUCAGCGGUGCCUCAACUGUACAACAAGAAAUCUAGAUGGACUAAAAGUCUGAGUCUAAAAGGACCAUCUAAUAAGACUUGCAAAGCAAGCCUCUUGACAGAUAAUCGAAAGGAGAAUCGCCUCCAUCGUGCUAACACAACGGUGGCAGGACGAAACGCCUGAACUGACCCUUGAAGGUACUGACAAUGAGGAAGCAAAAAGGGAAAUUUGAAAAACCUUAGAUCCGACGAUCGAUACAAUCAUCUUCUCCAAAGUGAAAACACAAGAAAACCCUAGAAUCUAAAUGCCAAGAAAUCCAUUUUCCAUCUAAACUCAACAAUCGUUGGUGUGGUCCCAAAAUGAACACUAAAUAGAAAAAAUGGUGAAUGGCGGGAAGCUUAUUGGAGCUAAAGGUGAGUGCUCUCUGGCAAGAGGAAAUUCGCUUGAAAUAGGCUUAAGAAUGGCGGUGAGAAAGACGGAGAACGACCGACCACAAGCGCAACGACGACGAAGUUGCAUGAGCGGGAAAGAGAAAGCUCUAAAGCAAGAAAAACCAAAAAAUAACAUAAGGGGUGUGGGGGCCCUCUAUUUAGAGGGACCCAAAACCUAAAAGACAAGCCACCUGGAAACACAUCCCAAAGAGGCUCGCCGUUUGACAGUCAGCCUAGAUGAAUGCGACCCAUCAUUGCCAUUUCAAGUGACAUGUGUUCCAAGGCACCCAAGCAACUUGAGGAGACAGAUAACCCAUUCUACCUCUACUCGUCGGCUACUCGUUCGAACAUAGGUAGACGGGUUAAGGGGGCAUUGUGGGGAGAUCAUCUCCACGUGUCCCUUUCAAGCUCAAGACCCCUUGGCUGUCUAGGGCAAUUAUGUUACCCAUCUGGGAUCAUUCUUUCUAGGCUAAGAUGAGUGUCAUUUGGCACUAGAAGUGAGAGGGUUCCCUUCUUCCACAUGGCCUGACAGAAUCAACAGUCUGGACUCCUAAAUGGGAAAGACUGUCCAAUUGAGUUUUUAAGACCUUUGACAUGCGUGAUCUAUCAUGCUUGACAUCCGAGCGAUCGAAGAGACUCCAUUUAGCCCACAAGUCCAUGUCAAUUAAUUGUUGCACAUAAUCCCAGACGUUGACAAACUAAAUGGACAGACAGUUGCACAAUUUGAGAUCUUGGCAUGUCAACAAAUGGCACCUGCCAAUUGCCCUUAACUAAGAUGAUUGCCUAGUUGCCUUGGGGACAAUCAUCAUUACAAAAAGGGUCAAAGUGCAUAGUCAACACUAUAAUGACAGUGUCCUUAGCUCUAUAUAAACUUUUGAGGCUUCAUAUUUAUUAAAUUUGAAAUGUUGUUGGCACAUCAAUUUUUGUUUUUCUUGCAUCAAAGUAAGUCUUCAACUAAAGAACAGUUUGUAGACGAAUCUCGAAGACUCCAUUCUUUAAAGAGAAUAAGCUCUAGAGUUGAUAAGUAGGAGUUAAAAAAAAAUAUAUAUGGAAGAGUGCAGACUCUAAAUCGAUAAGCAACUAUAAGGCAACCUACUAAUUAAAUAACCUAUUGUGAGGUGUUUUGCAUUCCUAAAGUAAGCUUUAAUACUGACAAUGACAAAGGAUGAAGCUUUGGAGAAAGAGUUGAGAACAAAAGGAAAAUCUGUUUGGCUUGCCAUCUUGAGCUUUAUCUCAUAGGAGGAAGGAAGCAAAACAUGGAGAAGUUUUUAGAGGCUUGCUCUCAUCCGAACUACUGCUUUGUUACUUGUGAAGAACUUGUGAUAGAAACGAGUAUUAGGCCUCAAAACCUAUGGAGUUAGGGAUUGAUAUGAGAAUUUUGGGGUUUGUUUGACAACUUUUUUAAAGCAAGUUUUCAAAAAUCAGUUUUUGGAAACAAUUUGAAAAAUAGUGCAUUGUGGUUUGAAAGAAUAAAACUAUAUCUAGAAACACAAUUAUGAAAGACAGUUUUAUUGAUUAUUCUUUAUAAAGGCACUUCACUAUGCAUAAUGUAAUGUGUAUAUAUAUAUAUAUAUUAAAAUUAUAAAAAGUCAUCAUGUAUUAGAGUGUUUUUAUUUUAAAAUUCGACAAAUUUUUUAAGUUGAAAAACUAUUUCUUAUAAAGAACAAAAAACUAUUUUUUUAAAAUAAUUUUCAAACAAACUCUUGCUAUUUUGAUUAAAAGUAUUUCUUUCCUCACUUAAAACCACUUUGAUUAAUCCUUUGAAGGUUACGAUUUGUUAAAACUACAAAAAGACUUUUUUACGUACCUUGUUUCUCAUAAACAUUUAGUGGAAAUAUAUAGUUACACUGUCAAAUGGUGUAGAUCUUGUGUUCUUAUGCACAUGUUUACUUGCUUAUUUUUUUUAAAUUUAAUUUUUUUUAAUGGUCCCCCAACAAAAAUCACACCUCAAUAAUUCCAAAUUAGAUUGUGUUUUUGUAAUCGGCUACUGUGGUCAUAGAUCAUAUAGUACAUUUAUCAUGUUGAUUCAUACAAAAUAUAUUGUUAUCAUUGUAUUGCCCAAUCACUUUAACAUCAUGUUCUUGUGUGUUAAUUGUUUUUUUUUUUAUUGAAAAUAAAAAAAGAAAAGAAAUUGAAUUUUUUUAGAUAAUGCCCUACAAGCAUCAUAACUCGAUAAUUCCAAGGAGUUUAUACAAGGUCUUUUGUUAAUUUCUACUCAUUGAAUAUGACUCUUCAAGUAAUGGCAUCAACUUUUUAGCACUAAAUGUAUUUCACGAGACAAGUCAUUCAUUAUUAUUAUUAUUAUUAUUAUUUUGUUUUUGUCAUGCUUAACUAGCAUUAAACAAGUCUUAUCCCGAUGUGAUAUAUUUUUAAAUAAUAAAAUAAUGGAUGUCUUGACAUUUGGUAUAAAAAAAUAAAAUCUAUCUUAUAUUUAACAUUAUUUAGAGACUGAUAAAAUAAAGGCUAUGAAUAAUUAAGGAAAAUAUCCAAAAGGGGGGGGGGGGGGUGAAUUGGGUUUUUCAAAAUCUUUUUCCACACAAUAAUAUAUGCACAAAAUAAAUAAAGGAAAGAGAUAAAGUUAGAGAAUUCAAACUCGGGUUUAUAGUGGUUCGGCACUUCCUUGCCUAUGUCCACUCUCCUCAAUUUCCUAACUGUGUGAGGGUUCCACUAAUCUUGAAGCUUCAAUCAAGCUUUCAAUCUUCUUACACUUGGAUUCCGGCUCCAAUAGGCUCUUACACAAUCUCUUCAAGAUUUGAACCACUUGAAGGUUUUCACACUCAGUUUACACAAAGAUGAAACUCUCAACCUAGCUUAAGGAUGGCUCAAGUACAAGAGAAAGCUAGGAUGAUUUACAAGAGUGCACUAAGAAUAUGCAAGUGAUGGUUUUAAUGCACUAAGAAAGAAAUGAGAGUUUUUUUUUUAUCAAGAACAGGUAGUUGGGCUUUGAAUGCAAUUGUUCUCUUGGCUAUGAAUGAAGUGGAGCUCUCAAUUUAUAGGUUUCUAAGCCUGGGAGUCAAAAACAGCAAAAAGGCAACCUCGUCCAGUCGAGCUAGGGGUCGAUCAGUUCACUAGCCGUUGGAGCAUUUAAUGCAUGACAGGUUACCGUUGCCUCAACCGGACCUCGACCGGUAAAGGAAUCAUCUCGACCGGGAAGAGAAGGCUACUGGGAGAGAGAAAAUGUUUUUAACCUCCCUCGACCGGUCCUCGACCGGACGACCUCAGCCGGUCGACCGGUUCCUCAACCGGUUGACCGGUUGGCCUUAGCCUCGACCGGUUGAGCCUUUUGGCCCCAAAAACCUAUCCUUUUUUUAUUUCUUUCUUUUCCAAUACUUAGGCAAGGUCUUUAGGUGAGUUAAUAUGCCACUUUUGAAUCAAUUUGCCUAAGGUAUGUUUGAUAAAACUCGGGUUUUAAAGAAAAUCAAGUUUUAAAGAAUAAACCGAGUUUUCUAAGAUGUAUGAAAAGGUAUGAACAUCCUAAGUGCACUCAUGCUAUCAUCUUACAUUCAUUUCCUAUGAUCUCAAGUCUUCCAAGCGUCUCGAUCUUGUAUCCAUUUGGUCCUUUGAUGAAUUUUCGAGUUUAUACCUGAGAUUCUUAAACAUUAAACCAAUUAGUUACUUAACUAUGGUUUGUUAUCAUCAAAACCCGAUUAGGAGAACCCUUGGGCUAAUAGAGACCUACCCAUAAUUUAUUUUUAAAGUAUAAAUUUGAUAUUUUAUCAAUAAUUAAAACAACUAAAUUUUUAUAUAAUUAUAUUGUUUUAUUUCAUGAUACAUAUUAAGUUAUAACAUAAACUAAAUAUAUAAAAGCAAUUCAUAUGGAUGUGUUAGAUAUUAUACUCAAAGCUAAAAUUAUAUUAUAUUUAAUAAUAUUACAUAUUUAAAUUAUUUUAAUUUAUAUCAUAUGUAUAAAUAUAUUCUAAUUCUUCUUCUAAAUUAAAAUUUUAUUUUUUAAUUAAUUUUUUCUUGUUUCCUAGAAUGACUAACUUAUAAAAAAAAAAUUAAAAUCUUGAAAAUAAUGAAAAAGUAAAAAUAAUUUAUCAUCCAUUAGAUAUAUUGCCUCACAUCUUAUCUUCAUUUUAUGUUAUAUCCAAUAAAUUAAACAUAACUUCACGAGUAUAAUAUGUAUUUAAAUAAAGUUAAUAAGUGGUUGUUUCAACGAAACUUCCUAAAAGAGUUAUCAUGACUUGCUAGUAAAUCCAUGAAAUUAACUAAAAGUGAAAUAAAUUAUUUUCAAGUAACAUGAGGUUGAUUACUUUUUUAAAAGUCAUGCAUGUGAAUCAAGAUAUAGACAGGAAUUAAAUACAUAAAAGCAAUUGAAAGUCGAGGAAAAAAAUUAUUCAAAAAAAAAUAAAAAAAUAAAAAAAUGUACAAAUAUUUUUAAACACUACAAUAUCAAAAAAUUUAUACAUACAAAAAAAAUAAUAUCAAAUAUGUCGUCUAUUUUUUUAGUCAAAUUAAACACUAGUAUUAGUGAUAUGUUUUUUUUUAUUAAGAUAUUAAUUAAGUAGCAUGCUUCAUAAAUGACACGUCACACUCGCUAAUUUAUUUUAUUAUUUUAAAUUUUUUAUAUUAUAUCUUUCACACGUCACGCUCCAAUGCACUGCAUUUCAUUAUCUUAGUGUUUGUGAUUUUCAUACAUGGAGUAAUCCCACAUAAAUCUUGGAAUCAGAUGAAUGUCUGGCAUGCCACCCUUGUGCCGUCCGUUUCAUUAUUUUAAUAUUAAUAUAUAUAAAUAAUACUAUAUACAUAUAUUUAAUAUUCAUCAAUUCUUAUUGCUGGGUAAACAUGUUUUAUUUUUAUGUUGUAUUAUUUAGACCUUUGGGAAUAUGCAUGAGAAAAUUUUGUUAAUUUAUUAUUUUUAAACUUUUUUAUUUUCCUUUUUUCUUCUUUUAUUAUUUAUUUUCUUUUUAUUAACUUUCCAUUCGGUUUCUUUUUAUUUUUAAUUGAAACAUAAAAAUACCAAAAUGUAAAUAAUAAUAAUAACAAAAAAAAAGCAUUAAAUCCCUUUGAUAGCUUUCAUUUCUUUUAUUUUUUAUUUUUUAAUGUUAUUAUCAUUGACUUGCUUUUUUUUUUUCCUUUUUUGUUCUUUUGUUUUUUGGUUUUAGUAUUUGGCUUUAUUAUAAAUCAUAUUUAAAAAAAAACAAUAAUCUUUAAUAUGUUUUAAUUUAAUUUUAAAUUGUGUUUAUAAUAUUUUGUUGGAACGCUUUGUACCAUAAAUAAUAAACUUAUAGUUAGUAUAAAACAUAAUAAAUUAGCUCAAAGGUUCAAAUACGAAUCUUAAAAUAACUACUNNNNNNNNNNNNNNNNNNNNNNNNNNNNNNNNNNNNNNNNNNNNNNNNNNNNNNNNNNNNNNNNNNNNNNNNNNNNNNNNNNNNNNNNNNNNNNNNNNNNAAUAAUAACAAAAAAAAAGCAGUAAAUCCCCUUGAUAUCUUUCAUUUCUUUUAUUUUUUAUUUUUUAAUGUCAUUAUCAUUGACUUGCUUUUUUUUUUGCCAUUUUUUGUACUUUUGUUUUUUGGUUUUAGUAUUUGGCUUUAUUAUAAAUCAUAUUUAAAAAAAAACAAUAAUCUUUAAUAUGUUUUAAUUUAAUUUUAAAUUGUGUUUAUAAUAUUUUGUUGGAACGCUUUGUACCAUAAAUAAUAAACUUAUAGUUAGUAUAAAACAUAAUAAAUUAGCUCAAAGGUUCAAAUACGAAUCUUAAAAUAACUACUUUCAAGAAAAUUACUUUUAUGAUUUUCUUAAAUGUGAAUACAAUUUUAGAGGAUGAACUUUUUUCCAUUGCAAUUAUUUUCUUUUCUAAAAAGCAACUGCUUUCAUGAUUUUCUUGGAACUUUUCUUCAUUCCAACUUCCAUCUAAAAAAAUAUACAUGUGUGGAAGUAUUCUUUUCUAAAGUCAACAACAUGAACCAAGUGAUUUUUUCUUUGGUAGUGGGGUUAGGUGACAUGGGUUUAUAUAUAGGAAAUGAUUUGUCUUCUAGGCUAAUGCAUCAAUAAUAUUAGUCAAAUUAAACAUGACAUAAGAAAUAAUUUAUUUUUGUUAUUCAACAAAAAUAAGUAGAUAAAUAAACAUGUCACAUGUUGCUAUCAUUUUUUUUUUAUCAUAUAGAAAAAGGAAAUAGUUUGUUAUCUCUUCCCAUCAUGAAAGUGUUAUUUUUCCAAGUCAACGUAAACUAUAUGAUUUGUUAAUUUCAUAUGGACGUAAAUAACAUGAUAUUUCAUUGAUUGGGAGUGGGGUUGCACAAUAUAAUAUCAUUUUAUCUUGUCAACUAUGAAUAUUACAAUUAUUUUUUGGGUUGGCCGAUUUCCAAUGCAAUUACUUUCUUGUUAGAAAACAAACUACUUUUCAUAUUGUUUUCCUUUUGGAAUUUACUUCAUUUUUUUAAAUAAGAAUUUAUUUAACACAUCGCAAGAUGUAUGACACCUCAUCAACUCCUUAUAAAAUAUCUUUAUUGAGUAGAAAAUGAACGGGCUCUUUUCUUAAGUUAAGGUUGGCUUGAACCACACGGUUUGUUAGUUGGGAUUUAGGUUUUUCUCAAAUAUCACUUAGUUGUUCUAACUUCCAUCAUCUAAAAAAUAUAUAUAACAUGGGAAUUGUUCUUUCCAAAGUCAAAACUUUGAACUAGAUGGUGUUUUUCAUGGGUAGUGGGGUUAGGUGACAUGGUUUUUUUAUAGUGAGGUUAGUGGACACAAUAUUUUAUCUUCUAAAAACAAGCAAUAUGUUUCAACUUUAUAAUUAAUUUCCUUUCCUUAUACCAAACAUCGACUUAAUAAUUGAAUAUAAGAAAUAUGUUCAAUUCCAUGUUAUCAACAAGCAUUUUUUGACCACUAAAUAAUUUAAAAUCUAGAGCUAUCUAAGGUGAUAUAGACUUGUUUAUUUUCUUCUAGAAAUUAAGCAACAGAUUUUCAUAAUUUACCUUUGGAAUGGUGUCAUAGUUUUUCUAGGCAAUUACAUCUAUGUUAGUCAAGAAAAAGACAUAAGAAAUAAUUUAUUUUUAUCAUUAUACAAAACAAAAAAGUUAAAAGUAAUUAACAUAUCACAUGGAAAUGAUUUGUUAUCAUGAAAGUGAUUUUUUUCUAACUCAAGGGCCCUAAACCAUAUGUUUUGUUAACAUGGUGUUUGUUAAUUAAUGGAACUAGGGUUAGAUAACAUAAUAUUUUAUCUUCUAAAAUAUGUGUACAAUUUUUUUGAGAUGGGCUAAUUUCCUAUACAAUUAUUUUCUUGCUAGUAAACAAAUCACUAUGAUCGGAACCAACAAUUGCUCUUCCCCCGGUGAAGAGCAAACUAUAUUUUUCCUAAAAGCGACAUUUUCAACAAGCAGCCACAAAAACAAAAAAAUAAAAAUAAAUAAAUAAAAAACAUAAGAAAACAGAAAAAAGCAACAACAACAAUAAAUCAAAAAAGGUUCCCCUUUCCUGAAAGGAGUCCAUUUGCCCAACUCUACUCUGUUGAGGCCCUAUUCCAAUUGGGCCAAGGAAGCCUAGCCAUCAACAAAAACCUAUCUGGGCUUGCCCUCAAUUAAUAUUAAAUCAAGUUAUCUGGACCUAAUAGAAGAGCCCAAAUGGGUCUUUAUUUGUGAUACCAUGAGGAAUUAUGCCAUAGAUUCUGGUAUCCGGACUCUUCUUCCUUGGUAAGACAUUGAAUUUCCUCAUUAAGUGGUGAUGAACAAAAGGAAACAACUUAAGGUGGAAAAUGUAAAAGACAAGCCUUUCAAGAUCAUCUGGUCGGUUAACAAAUAAAAAGGAAAACUGUAAAACUCAGCAAAAUGGUACCACAAAUGGAGCAAUUGAAGUUCUCCUGCUGAUUUUUCUAUAACUGUCCUUGACAGUGGCUGUUGUUGCAGCAGCAAAGACUUUGUUCAGGAUUCAAUGUGGAGUUCAUUCAAGCUCAAAAUAAUCUAACACCGAUAAGUAACUCUUACUCAAAACAGCAACAAAAUUGUUCCAUUCCUUCUAGCUUUCUUACUUUUAGGUUCCCCUUUCUCGAAAGGAGUCCAUUUUCCAAUUGGGCCAACGAAGCAAUUCUAGGGAUCAACACAUAACUAUAUGGGCUAGCCAUUAACUAAUAUUAAAUGGCUAUAUUCUAGCAAGUUAUUUGGACCCAACGGAAGAGCCCAAAUGGGUCUUUAUUUGUGAUACCAUGAGAGAUUCGGCAUGCAUGGUACCAUAAUAAAGCUAACUAAUUCCUGAGUACUCUACUGCAUGUUCUACCUAGUGGGUAGAAGUUUCUUAGGAACCACCAUCAGAUCUUCAGACAUCAUUUUUUCCAGGUUCGGACCGAUUCAUACAGAAAUUAUCGAUGAAGUUACAGUGGGAAUUGUUCGAACUCAGUUAAGCUAAAUGUUGUAUUAGCUAUGUUUUGUUGAGAACAGUUUGGGGCCUCAUUAAGGGAAAUUGAUAUUCAAAACUCCAAUCUACUUUCUUUUCCUCCCUAAUUUGUCCAUAACAUCUCCCAUGUCCAUGUUUUCUCCUCUAUCAUAUCUGUAAUAAAUCCACAAUUAAUGAAAAGUAUAUUUGACUUGAGGAUGGUACAAAUGCAAUCACAUUCUUCUUUCUCUCUUAUAAUUCCAUCAACAACAUUCCAAAAAAUAUAAACAUUAAACUUAUAAAAGAUGCCCCCAAUGUUUUUGUAAGAUACUAAUGGAUUGAUAUAUACCAGUAUUCCUUGUGAUACAGUGGGACACAAUAAUUUUGUCUAUCAAACAUAAUUUCAUUUGGUAAAAGUUUAAAACUUUUGGUGUAAAGUCUUCAUGAGGAAGAAUAUUAUAGGCCUUGAUAUUAAACCAUAUAAUUUGCUCGUCAUAACCAUGAUGCAAAUAUUCGAUUCCUCUGGCCACUCCUAAUGCAAUCUUAUACAACAUUUGCAAGCCCAAAGAAAUAGAAUUUUCUCUUCCAAGAAAAAUGUACUUAUUAAGAGAUCCAAUAGGCACCAAAUCAUAUGUGAGAGGGCAUUUUGAUCCCUUCACGCAAAUCCAAUUAGGCGAACCACAAUAAGAUGAAACCAUCUAAUAGUAGUGAUUUCAUAUUGAUGAAAUCUAGCUCAUUAACUAUAGAAGUGACCAACACUUUUAUAGCUCACAAUGCUACUACCUCGAAAUUUCCUUUGUAUGUCAUGCCAAAACCUUCUAGUUAUAAUUUGUUCUUCAAAUGGUUAGUCAUCUUCUUUAUAUCCUAAUCAUAUAGACAUAGUCAUAAUAUGCACUAAUGAGAUUUUAAACUUUUUCUACUGCCUCGCUUUCCUCUUUUUCAAAAAAAAAAAGGUUUAGAUGAGCCCAAAAGGUAUCAUAAAUUGUGUUUUGGUACUAGUGCAUUUUUUUCAUCAAUUAUUCAAAGAAAAGAAUGAUAAUGACUUUCACGAAAAAAAAAAAAAAAAAGUUUCUUUUGGUAGGAAAUACGGAAAAAAAAAAAAAAAAACAAAGUUGCCUUUUGCAUUUGGCAUAUCUUUUAAUCAAUUAUUUGAACAUAAGAAAUAUGUCAAAUAAUGAUAAAACCAAAUCAAUUUGGAGGGGAUAUGAUAUCCAACUUUAGCACCAUUAAAUUGGACUAAAAUCUUAAAUUAUAUCUAUAUGCCAAACCUACCUCCAUAAGCAUAGUUGAUUUUGACAGCUAGCUGUACCACAAAUAUGAAAAGCACAUGUUGUGCAUAACUAUAAAGGUUUAAUUUCACUCACAUUUUUAGAAGUUUGGGUUAAAUACCCUUAGUUAUCAUUAGUUUGAAAUUCCAUCAAAUAGAUCCCUUACUUUGAAUCAAAGGGAUGUGGUUCACACUUUUUCCCAUUAAUGAGUUAUUUAACUCUAUAUGAUAGAUUCCAUAACCUUAUCACUAAGAACGUGUUUCACACCUUUUACCCUUUUUAAAAAAUAAAAAAAAUUUAAUAGACGAGCUUUAAGAGAAGUGUCAUAAAUAAUGUUUGAAUAGAGUCAUAAAUAAAAGCACCCACCCAACAAUGCUGAAAUCUAAAUGGCUGAGGUGGGCAACUUGUACAAAAUUGGAUACUGUUUUAGCAAAAUGAAUAUUGAACUUUUAUGAAAGGUAUGGUGUAUACGGUUAACUUGUUGUGAAAACAAAUAUGGAGAUGCAAUUGGCACAAAAGAGAGCCAAGUGACCAUAUUUUUUCCAUGCUCUACUCAAGUACUAGUACUAACUCCUACUCAUCCCUAUAACCGUGCCAUGACAUCUUUUUUAUCUUUUCACUUUACUUGUGUUCCUAAACAUGGGUAAACUACCUACAAAUAUUGUUGCUUGAUAUAGCAUGUGAUUUUGCGAAAGCUAAUAGGAAAUAGGGGUGGAAAUGGCAAGUCUAAGCACGUUGGGUAACCGUUUUCAAAAACAAUUUUUUUUGAAAAAAGAAGAAAGAAAAUAGUAGAAUACAUUUGAUAGUUGAAAAAUAAAAAAUAGUUUUCUAUUUGUAAAAACAGUGUUUUCAAAACAUAUUCUUUAAUUGUUUGAAAGCAUCCUUUAAUUGUUUUCAAUUUUUUUGAAGGUCUAUUUAAAAAAAUAAUUAUACAAACAUGGAGAAUGAUAAAAAAACAAUACAUUAAAUAUAAAAAUUAUUUUUAAACAUAUUUUAAAAUAUAAAAAAAUAGGUUAAUCUUAUACCUAUUUUGAGAGCCUCAAGUUGCAUGAUUAAACCCAAUGAAUUAACAAGUAAUAUUAGUUAUACAUGUUAAAAAAGCUUAUGCUAGCAAGCAAAAUAAAUUUAUAAAUCAAUUAAAAUAGGCAUUGAUCAUUUGUAUGUUUGGAAUAUAAUAUAUGGUAUUAUCAUCAUAGUUCAUUUGGUAUUAUGGCCCUAUCACAUCUAGCUGAUUGCACAUUUCUAAAGAUAAAGAAAUAGUCCUCUAAAUGUAAGGACCUAAUUCCUUUUGUGCCAAGAAAAUUGACUUGGUCAGUUCAUAUUUGAAAAGUCAUAUUCAAUCAAUAAAGUAUCACAAUUGACCAUAUGUAUAAUGGACCGUAGAAAUUAUUGAAAGAGUACAAUACUUGGAGACCAUUUUAAAAUUUUAAAUAUUCAUCUGCUCCUACAAUUUUAUACUUAUAAUGAAUUAUGAUAGUAGACAUAUGCCAAAGGAAGGUUUGAACUCUCAAAUUGUUCUUUGUUAAUUUUCUCUUUAUCAAAAUGCAACUUUUAAUUUGCAAGCAUGAUUUAAAGUGAGAAGAGUAAGAUCAGAGUCUUCGACAAGGAGUAGAAAUCUAAGAAUAGAGAAACCAAAGCAUCCAUUAAUCUAAAUAAAUGUACAUGGAAUGACGCAAUUCAAUGUCGAAGAAUGUUAUUGUAACCUUUGUAGAGGCCCAAAGAUACUUCUCUAAUAGAAACUAUUUGGAAUUAGUUAUAAUAGAAAUGUUGUAAUUGACAUUAUUGAUCUUUGAAAGCCUAGAUUAUUGUAGAUAACAAAUGCAUAACAAAAUAGGGAAAUCUAUUUGAUAAUUUUAAGAGCUUCAAAGAAGACAACUCAAACAUUCGAAAUGAUAUUUUAUUACCUAUACACAUACUCACUCAUAAGGAGCCAAGCUAUGGUUCAAGGAUGAAACUUUGUCUUAUUACAUAGACCAAUCUUAUAAAAACCUUAUACCUAAGAUUAUCACACAUUAUUAUUGGAUUACAUAAUAUGCAACUAGAUGGUGUAGCAGUACCUUCCAUUUAAGGUGAUUGUACCCAUGGAAUUGGAUGAUGAAAUUGGUACCACUACCAUGGAUUGCUCGUGAUUCUCAAUAGACCAUAGAAAUGGCUUAGGAGGCAUUUUCAAGAUUUCAACCUCUCUUUCAAGCAUCUCCAAUGCUUUGCUCAUUGAAGGACGAUCUACAGGCUUCAUUUGUAUACACCAUAGUGCAACUAUCACCAUUUUCCUCACAUACUUUUUUUCAUCCUUAGUGGCCUAUCCUAUUUCCAUGUCCUCUCCUUGAUCAUAUCGAUCAUAAAUCCAUGAUGGAAAGUAUAUUUGACUUGAGUGCUCAGCAAAUGCAUUCACAUUCUUCCUUCUCCCCACAAUUUCUAAGAAUAGCAUUCCAAAACUAUAAAUAUCAGUUUUAUAUGAAACUCCUCCAAUAUUUUUAUGGAACAACUCUGGAGCUAUAUAUCCCAAUGUUCCUCUAACAGUAGUGAAAGACACAAUACUUUCCUCUGUUGAAUGUAAUUUUGCAAGGCCAAAAUCUGAAACUUUUGUUGUAAAAUCUUCAUUAAGAAGAAUGUUGUGUGGCUUGAUAUCAAAAUGGAGAAUUUGCAUAUCACAUAAAGAUUAUAACUUAAAAAUAUACCAUUUGACAUGAAGUCAUAUACGAGAGCCCAUUUUGAUCCUUGUAUACAAAAUCCUUCAAGUCUCACCACAUUAACAUGAUGAAUUCUUCCAAUUGUAGCAAUUUCAUUGAUGAAAUCUUGUCCAUUAGCUUCUGACAUAACUAACAUUUUUACAGCUACAAUGCGACCACUUCAAAGUUUUCCUUUGUACACAGAACCAAAACCUUCUUCACCCAAUUUAUUCUUAAAAUUAUGAGUCAUCUUUUUUAUCUCUGAAUAUGAGUAUUUGAUUGGUUGAAGAUUUUUAUGGCUAUGUAAGAAUUCUUCAAUACCAUCAUCCAAUGAUAAGUGUCUUCGUCGAAACUUGUAAAUUAAAUAGACAAGCAGACACAACACACCAGGUACGGCCCUCGCAAUGAUGAUCAUGCCUAUAAAUCAUGUUAAAAAUAUGAAAAACAUCAUAGGAAUAUUUAUAAUCAUCUAUCUACAUUCAAUCAUCAAAUCCAACAAAUAGAAUUAGUUUUAAAAAGGCCAUUUCACUUAUCUAAUCACUUGUGUUUUGGAUUUCCACUCAAACAUGGUCAUGUAACUCUUUUUCUUUUGGGUGACAGUAUGGUAUAUAUAAAGGAUGGAAUGAUCAAUGGAGAAAAUUUGUUUGGUUGCACAAAAUUAAGGAAUGGAAUGAGAUGCCUAAUUCCAACUCUAUUUUUCAAUUUCCUUGUAACAAAUUUGGGAAUAAUUUGAAAUUAAAUGCAUCACAAAUUUAAAAAAAAAAAACAAUUUUACUUGAAAGAAAAUUUUGAAUUUCACAAAUUUGGAAUUUCAAUUUAUUAUUCAUUUUGUACAACCAAAUGUUUACAAAACUUGAUUGUAGUGUCUAAUCUUGAAUGAAAGGAUUCCAAAAGUGCAAAGCGAAAAGAGCUAUAAGAUGUGUGCAAUGAUCUACUUAUUGAGAUUUGGAAGCCUUACCCAUGAGUUGUAAUAUCAAGAUUGACCCAGCUGCAAAUAUGAGAGGAACAAAAAUUAUUAAGUUAAAGAAAAGAAAGAUUCACACAUAUGAUAGAUUUAAAAUGAGCAAAAAACAAAUAUAAAAGAUAUUAUUACUACUAUUCUUUUGAUUAAAAAUUAGGGAAAAAAUGGAUAGAAGCGAAAAGGUAAUAAUAAUAAUCAUCAUCAUUAUUGUUAUCAUCGUCAUUAUAGUUAUUAUUAAUUAAGUGGAUGAAAAAUCCAAUCAUUUAUUAUACUAUUGAUUAAUUUAAAUAUAUUUUCUUUAUUUAAUUAUGACCUCAAUCUCAAAUGCCUUAUAAUAUUUUUUAAAGUUUUAGAUAUUUAUUAUAUAUAUGUAAAUUAAAAAUAAAAUUAAGCAAAUAUAACAUAUUGACUAUUACGGGAUUGAAUGUGUAAUUUAAAAUAUUAGUUCUUUAUUUUAUUUAUUUAUAGUGAACUUCAAAAAUAAAUUAUCAUUUCAUUUUAUCAUCAAAUUAAUAAUUUUAAGGGACAUGGAGUCUAAGGGUCUCCAAAAAGCGCGUGGCCCGGCCCAGCGGGCUAAAGCCCGGCCCGAGCCCAUUUUUGGAUGGGCCGGGCCAUGGGCCCCAAUUUAGGCCCUACCUGGCCCGGCGGGCUGGCCCGCCCGUGGGCCCGCCACUUAAAAAUAUAUAUAUAUAUAAAAAAUAUAUUCAAGAAAUAGAAAAUGCUACAUUAAUAAAAAUAUUCAUUGCUAACUAUUUUAUUCAUUGAAUAUAUACAUUACAUUUGAAAAUAUGGGAAAAGUUUACAUCACUACAAAAUAAAUACAUCCCAACUAGGUUGGCACCUACUUAUUUGUCAAUUAUUUGUACUUUUCAACCACAAAAAUAAAAAUAAAAAUAUGACAUACAUUUAGUAAAAUAUUUUAAUCAUUAUCUCUUGGCGGUGAUGGAGAACUAUCGUAAAUCCAUGAAGAUCUUGAUGAUUUUAGUUUUUCCAUAUCGACAAGCAUAUUUUCUUCUUGAAUAGAAUCAAAUAUCAUUUUAUCUGCUAUUGCCCAGUCUUUCACACAUAUAUUUGCUUCAAUAGAAUCCGGCGCUAAGCUGCAUCUUUUAUCACUAACUAGUCUUCCACCUACACUAAAAGCAGCUUCUGAGGAUUAACAGCUCGUUGCAUUGUUCCCGUAAAAUCAUGAGUUUUCAUGAAAUUGAAAGGUUGUUCUGCUCUUAUUAUAUAACCAAUCAUUUCUUCACGACAAUAAGAUUCAUCAUAAGAAAAUGUUUUUAAAUUUCCACUUUCAUCUUUACCUAAUUGCAUAUAAUUUCUAAUAUCUACAUUAUUUUUAGUUUUACAAUUUUCAUGAUGCCUUUUUAAAUGACUUAUACCUGCAUUUGAGCCACCACUAAGAAGUUUGUUACAAAUUUUACAUUUUGCUUUUAUUUCUUUUUUAUUAUUUUCUAAAUUUAUUUCUAUUCUAUAAAAAAAAAUCCAUAUAUUUGAAGUAAAUUUUUUGCUAUCACAUGCAUUAAAUGAAGAACAAGAACCACUUGCCAUAAUUAUAAUUAUUGAUAAAAUAUUAUGCUAAAAAUAAUAAAUGUAAAAUUAAAAUGUAACAAAUAAAUAAAAGUAAAGGUGAAGUAUGUUACUAAAUUGGAGAACCGAAGCAGAAAUUCCUUCAAAUUUGAACUCUUUGAACCACCAAUGCUUAUUUUUCACCACCAAUAAUAUUGAAUAAUUUGAGACAAAAUGCAAUAGUCGAAAAUAUUGUGGAAUGGGAGAGAGCUUAAGAGUUGAGAGAAUAGAAAAAAAUUGAGGGUAUUUAAUAUUUCUAGGGAUUUAAAUAUUAGGAUUUAAUUUAAUUUUUUUUAAAAAUUUCAAGACCGUUCAACUGUCAUAUAUUUGAAAUUGAAUUAUGAGUGACAUGUUCAACGGUCAUGUGACCGUUGAACAACCGACUCACUUUUAUUUUUUUUCAAAAAUCAUACAACAUUUCUAAUAUAUAUAUAUAACUAAUGCAAAAUAGUUACACAAAAGAGGGUCAGUUCAAUUGGUGGCUAGCUCCCUUAUGGUUCCAUAAGGGAAGGGGAUUCGAACCCCUUCCCUUCAAAACUGAAAAUUAUUUUAAUUUUUACCCCGACCCGCCAGUACAGCCCGCAAGCCUGCCCAGCUUGAGGGCCCACGGGCUGGGCCACGGGCCUUAGAUAUAUCAAGGGCCCGGCCCGGCCCGUUGGAGACCCUUAAAUUGGAGUCUCCAUCUAUUAUUAUUAUUAUUAUUAUUAUUAUAAAGAACUUCUCAAAGCCUUACCGAGUAAAGUUGUUUUGCCUCCUCCAUAUAGAAGAAAUCCGAAGUCUGCAUGUUUAAAUUUAGUAAAUAUGGUCAAUGGUCAAUGGUAAAAGUAGAAGAAGCUUUUGCAUUUUGCUCUAUGUGACUGCUAACUAGACAAUGAUAUUAAGCAGCCCACAGGUAUCAUCUCGAAAUUAAUGGAAUGAAAAUAAAAAAUAAAUGAUUGUGACAUUUUGCUCUAUGUGACUGCCAACUAAACAAUAAUUUUCCUUUAUAUUUUCUUUUUCUUUCAUUUUCCCACAACCAAAUAUACCCUUAAGUUAUGUUUGGUUUCGAAAAGUUUAAAGAAAAAUACAAAUGAAUGAAAAAAAAAGAAGAGAAAAAGUAGAAAAAAAAAAGUAAAGGAAAAUAAAAAUAAUAAUAUAAAAAUAAUAAAUUAUUUUUAUAUACUAUUUUAAAUUUAUUUCACCUAUUUUUCUUUUUCUAUAUAAAGAUUAAAUAACUUAAAAAUAUAUAUAUAUUUUAAUUAAUUUUAAUUAUAUUUAAUUUUCUUUCUUAUUUUUUAUAAUGAAAGUAAAUAUAAGAAAAUUAUUUUCUUUACCAUUUUUUUUUCUUUUUUUAGUAAUUUCUGGAACCAAACAUGGCCUUAAUGUUUGGAACAUUAAUUGCGCAUUCCAUCAAUGGCCUUCCAUUAUUUCUUUGGGUCAUUUUUCUCCUUACCAAGUCUCACUGUGGGUGGACCUUGUAAUGAGAUUUAAUAAACCCAAAACUCAGGCCCAAGGUCGGCCCAAACAACUCCGGCCUUUAAUAAAAAAAUAUAAAGCCCAGUGGCUGCCAUUUGGACCACCCUCAUCCUAUAUAGCCCAUCACAAUCGUCUUCAUUCUUUUUCCGUCUAUAUUAGAGUUCUGAUACAAAGUAUGGAAAUUGAUAGCAUGAAUUUUGACAAGAAAAAGCUCCAUGUUCACUGCUCAGGAUUACAAUGGAGAUCGGGUUCCCUACUAGACAACUAGACAAAAUGGCAAUAAUUUCAGAAUUAGAGUAAAAAUAAUUGUCUACAUGUUCAAAUUAUUAUGAAUGUAUAAUUUGAUAAAAAUUCAUCAUCAUAGCAUUUCUAUUUAUAUUUGUGUUAAUUGAACAAAUGAUUGUGCAAAAUGAUUAUACCAGAACCGAUGUUAGAUUCCAAAAGUUCUUGUUCCCACGUAAUGUAUUUCUCAUGUAUGAUAUUUUAAUGAAUAUGUCCAAGAAUAUUCUCACAACCCAAGUUAUAGUUCAAGUACACACGACUCUAAUUAACACGACUUUAAUUCAAAAUUGAGCCUAAAAGUAGUCUAUUGUAAAAAUAUCUCAUUGAUCAUGAACCAUUAAUUACAACAUUUGCUAACCAUACAUUCAUAAAUAAUAAUAAAAAAGAAUUUUAUUUUUUCACUCUAAUUAUAAGAUGAUUGUAAAAUUAACUUGUAACUCUAAUUAUAGAAUUUUUUUUUUUAAUAGAUUUUUCCUUCUUUCUGUGUUUGUUUGUUUGUUUGUUUGUUUGUUUUUUUUUUUUUUUUAAUAACGAGUAUGAAUGUGGCAUGUCUACUUUUAAUAGCAUUUUUCAAAAAUGAAUUUUGAGAAUAGUCAUAAUAAUAGUUCUUUAUUAUUUUUAAGAAAAAAAAAAAUAUUUGCAAACUUAAUUUGACCUAUACUUUGUGUGUUUUCUUUCUAUAUCUUGCAUUUUCUAAUCCAAGACCACGCUUUUGUAUGUUAACCUUUCAUCCAACUUACAAGGCUUUGGAAAUACUCAUGGGCACCAUAUUUUUCAAAAUAAUUGAUUCAAACUUUAGUUUUACAAGCAAAUCAUGAUAGCCUUCUUAUUUUUGUGUUUACUUUAUCUAAGGGUGCAUGCUAUGCUCUUAAGGUCAUAUUAGCUUUAUUAAUUCUCUUUAUCAUAUCGAAAUUUAACAAUCUCAUGAAAAAAAAUGGAAUCUACAUAUAUUUUGGACAAUAUAAUUACUUCUUGUAUUUAUUAGAUCUCUUAGAUAUUUCUUUCAAAAAAAAUUCAUGUUAAUCACUUUGAAUAACCAAAAUAAAAAAUAAAAAAUAAAAGCAUAUAUAUAUUAAUUAUCAUAUUUCAUUAAUAUUUUGUCCUAGUCUAGACCGUAAAUUAAACAUGACCUUAAUUUACAUAAUUUCAUCAUUUACAUUUACAUGUGUUUAACAUUCAUAAGAAGAUUAUAGAUAACAUUUUAUGUUUUUUGACAAUGAUAGUGCAAACCAAGCAAAUUUAAAUAUUGAAGUUUCCUAGCUACUUAAAGAAGCUGCCAAGGAACCUUUGCAAUCAAGAUUAAUUAAUGUCUUAUUUGGUCAGUCAAGCAAGACAAAACCAAAAAAAUUAUUCAUCACCUUCUUGAAAUAUACUACCCACUUUUCCACUAAAAUCCAUAUUUGAAAAGUUCAUAGAUCCUUCCCUCGGUCAUAUUUCUUAAGGCAAAGGAGUCAAAGUCUUCCAAGUCAAGGUUCAUAGAUCCAUUUAUUGCUAAGAAAAUUCAUUGGUAGACAUUUUUUUUUUGAAAUUGAGACAUGCAUAGUGGACCAUAUGACUUAUGACAAUAUAGUGGUCAUUGUUAACAAAACCAGUCUUGUUGGAGUAGUUGAAGGAAUAUGUUGCUAUCCAUUUAUUGCUAAAAAAAUUCAUUGGUAGGCCAUUGUUUGAAAUUGACACAUGCAUAAUGGACUAUAUGAUUUAUGACAAUGUGGUGGCCAAGAUCAACAAAGCUGCCUUAUUUGAAUUAUUGAAGGAAUAUGAUGCUUGAAAGGGACCAACUAAGAAUUUUGAUCCAUGUACAAGGGUUGUUGAUGUAGUAAUGGGCAUUUAUAUUCUUCAAAAUAAUUGAUUUACAUUUUAGUUUUAUUUGCAAAUCAUAAUAACCUUUUUAUUUUAUUUUUUUAUUUUUGUUUGCUUUAUCUAAGAUAGAUGCUAUGCUCUUAAGAUCAUAUCAACUUUAUUUUAUGUUUGGUUGAAAAAUAGAUAAGAAAAAUGAUUAUUCAUUUUAUUUAUCAUAUCCCUUUAUAUGAGAUUUAAUAAUCUCACAAAAAAACAUGCAAUAUAGAUGUCUUUUAUAAAAAGAAGAAAAAUCUCAAAUAAAGAAAAAUAAAAUUUUUAUUACAAAAAGAAGAAAAAUAAAAGCAUCUUUAUAUUAUAAUACAAAUUUAAAUUAUGUAUAUAUAUAUAUAUAUAUAUAUGAAAUACAAAUUAAUAUUUUAUCCUAGUUUAAACCCUCAAUUGAAUAUAAUCUUAAUUUAUAUAAUUUCACCACUUUGUAUUUGGUUAACAUUCAUAAGAUAGUGGUACAUGAUAUUUGGCUUUUUCUUACUACUUGGGGAAGUUGCCAAGACACCUUCAUAGUAAAGAUCAAUCAAUAUCUUAUUUGGUUAGUCAAGCAAGACAAAACUCAAAAAAUUAUUUGGUUAUUCAAGCAAGACAAAACCCAAAAAAUUAAUUGUCGGCUUUUUGAAAUAUAUCACCCACUUUUCCACAAGAAUCCAUAUUUGAAAAUUUCAAAGAUUCUUCCUCUAUCACAUGUCUUACAGUCUGGCAAGGGCUAAUAUCCAUUUAUUGUUGAGAGAUUCACUCGGUAGGCCAUUGUUUGAAGUUGGUACAUGUAUAAUGGACCAUAUGAUACAUGAUUUAUGACAAUAUAGUAGUCAAAGUCUUAUUGGAGGGCUAUGAUUUAUGACAAUAUUGAAUUUAACAAUCUCAUGAAGAAAAAUGGAAUAUAUAUACUUAUAUUUUGGAUAGUAAAUUUAUUUCUCAUAUUCGUUGGAUCACUAAAAUAUUUCUUUUCGAAAUAUUUCAUGUUAAUCACUUUGAAUAAAAAAAAUUUAAAAAUCUAAUUUUAAAAAGAUAAAAUUUUGGUUUCAAAAAGAAAAAAAAGUAUAUUUAUAUGAUAAUAUAAAUUAAAAUAUCACACACACAUAUAGAUUUCAUUAAUAUUUUAUCCUAGUCUAGACCAUCAAUUAAAUAUGACAUUAUUUUAUGUAAUUUCAUAAUUUGCAUCUACUUAAUAUUUAUAAGAAGAUGAUAAAUAACAUUUACCUUUUUCUUGCAAUGAUAGUACAAACUAAGCAAUUUUAAAGAGAACUUUCCUGGCUACUUGAAGGAGCUAUCAAGGCACCUUCAUAAUAAAGAUCAAUCAAUAUUUUAUUUGGUUAGUCAAGCAAGACAAAACAAAAAAGAUUAUUUGUUGCAAAUUAUUCUGCAAUCACAUGUCUUCCUGCAAAGAUGUUAAAGUAUUCCAAGGUGAGGACAAAUAUCCAUUUAUUGGUAAGAAAAUUCAUUGGUAGGCUAUUGUUUGAAAUUGGCACAUGUAUAAUGGACUAUACAAUUGAGAUUAUUUGUCGCAAAUUAUUCUGCAAUCACAUGUCUUCCUGCAAAGAUGUUAAAGUAUUCCAAGGUGAGGACAAAUAUCCAUUUAUUGGUAAGAAAAUUCAUUGGUAGGCUAUUGUUUGAAAUUGGCACAUGUAUAAUGGACUAUACAAUUGAUGACACUAUAAUAGUCACCAUCAAUAGUCUUAUUGGAAUUAUUGAAGGACUAUGAUGCUUGAAAGGGAUCAACUAAGAUUUUUUAUGGAAUUUAUAUUCACUCCUUCAAUUUUACACUAAAAAUGAAUAAUAACGAUAGACAUGUACUAUAAGGUGGCAUGAAUUCUUAAACUAUCAAUUGAAAGACAUUCACUAGACCAGCAUGUUUUUGUUUAGGUGUUAGCCUAUGCAAUCUGCUAAGGGUUGGUGAUAAAAAGACAAUAAUCAAAUAAAAUCAGUUGAGUAGGUCAUCUCUUCAUAAAAGUAAUUUAUUUAAUUAUUUGUAUGAUUUGAGUUGUGAAAAUGGAAAAUUUAAUAAUAUGAUGUUGUUUUAAACAUUAGUCCAUUUCAGCCAGAACAUUAACAUAAAAGGCUUGUAAACGAGUUUAUCAACUCUUGGCUAUUUCAUUUAGUUCCAAAAUGCCUUCCAGAGGAGCAAGCCCAAUAAUAGGCUCAUGGGGUAAGCCUAGUGAUCAGCCCAUACACAACUAGGCUAUUUUAUUCGAUUCCAAAAUGCCAUUACUCCACUGGUGGACCCAAGGUCCCUAGCCUUGGGAUUUUGGUUUCUGGGUUUUGGGCGACAAGGUAACAUGGGACCCUAACGUUAUGUUUACCAUUUGCCCUCCACGUGAUUCACAUGCAAUCAACAAUAGUUGUUACAAAGUUAGUAGAUUGUCCAUUCGGUUGUUGGCCUUUGAGAUUCUCUAAUCCACCCAAAUGACCAAACUACGUCUCACAAAAACCCCCAUCCGCAGCCAUCGAGCAUGAGCAUUUUGGUCCAAUUGAAAUUCCUUUUGUUAUUGUGAUCAUUAUUAGGUGAAUACUACUAGUCAUGCAAAGUACACAUCUGGAAUUUCAUUUUUGUUUUGUUUUAUUUUUAUUUAUUUAUUUGUGCUGGUCUGUUGUUAUGCUUCGCUUGCAAAUUGUUUGAAAUCUGGACCGUGACAAAGGCCCACGUCCCCACCGUUGGUAGUGGUUCUGUGACUAUAGGAGUACCUGUUGUACAUGUAUGGGGUAGCAUGCCACGCCGGUGACUCAGAUUCUGAAUUGACAAGCCAAUGCCACUUCAUGGUAAAAAAAAAGAAAAUAGCGUGAUUGGGCCGUCACUUGAGCAAACAAAUCAGAGCUGUGAUCGAGUUGAUUGAUGGAUGGUUCGUUCAGAAAUGAAUUAUUGAGUGAAAAGAACGGUGCCCGUAAGUUUACCACCUCCCUCACAGUGCCCAUACACAACGACACAGGCCAAUUUCUACCUAUAGUGAUACUCUAUCUAACAUGUUAACAUUUCUACUUGAUCAAGAAGCAACAAGACCAUGGCUUCUUAAUUAUCAUGCUUUUUACUUGACUGACUACAUAGCAUGGUGGGCCAUAAAAGCACUGUAUGGAAUUAUCACUCACUAUAGCCUGGUUGAUCAUCGCAUCGAUCAUCGUGGACCCUAUUUCAACAUUGAUUGAAAUCAAAUGAACCACACAGAAAAAUGUAAAUUGUCUGAAGGAAAUGCUAUACUAUAAAUGAUUAAAAUCCUUGAGGCUUGUACAACCUAUUGCCAAUACAAUCUAAGUGAAGAGCCUACCAUUUUUUAAUCAUUUUAAUAAAUAAAAAAAUUCGUCAAAGUCACCAUCAAAGUGAAUGGAUACAUUAUAUAUGAAUAUUUCCAAAAGCACAUAAUCAAAAUAUUCAAUAUCUUGAAGUUGUAAACAAAGAAUUCCCCUAGUAAAAUUGCAUAGAAAAUGGGAAAUUUUUCAUAGGCUCUCCAAAAGCAAAAAUGUAAACAUCAUACAUUUUUUGUAAUUCCAAUGACUGAUUUUGUUUCCAUAUGGUCAAUCAUACACAUGUGAACUCAUUUCAAUUCACAUUUUUGUGUGGUUCAAUGUUCAUACAUAUGGCCCACUAUUAAUUUAUAGUGAUGCAAUCUAUACAUAUGUCUUUUGAAAUGAAGACCCUCUUGUAGCAUCAUACAUCUUUGGUAAUUCCAAUGACUAUUUUUGUUUUCAUAUGGUCAAUCAUAUACAUGUGAACUCAUUGCAAUUCACAUUUUUGUGUGGCUCAAUGUUCUUACACAUGGGCGACUAUUAAUUUAUAGUAAUGGAAUCUAUACAUAUAUGUUUUUUUAAAUGAAAACCACCUUGUAGCAUCAUACAUCUUUGGUAAUUCCAAUGACGGUUUUUGCUUCCAUAUGGUCAAUCAUAUACAUGUGAACUCUACAAUUCAUAUUUUUUGUGUGGUUCGAUGUUCUUACAUAUGGGCCACUAUUAAUUUAUGGUGAUGGAAUCUAUACAUAUAUGACUUUUGAAAAGAAGACCCCCUGGUCAAUCUUGGCAUUAUAUUGAGGUUUGUCCUUACAUUUGGAGUAUUUGAUUCCUUUGCCUUUGGAUAUGUGCAAUGAGAUAGAUGGGAAAGGGUGAAAACUUCUUAAUGGUGGAUUUUUUUUUGUAGAAAAGUAGAUGAACUAGAUGUGAUAGAUGGAAGGUGAGAACUUCCUAAUGGUGGAUUUUUCAUGGAAAAGUAGAUGAGCAAGAUGUGAUAGAUGGAAGAUGGUGAGAAGCAAGUCAGUUUCGUUUUGUCUUACUUCACUUUUCAACAUUGGCAUCCUUUAUGGCCUAUCGAGCACGCGGUACAAUAAAUUAACUUGACCCCAAAAAUCCAUGGUUGAGAAAUUCACACAUUUCUUAUAUCACAUCAAGCUCAUUACACAUUUGUAAGGAGAUGACAAAUUUUCAUUUAAAAAGAUAAAAUUUUGGUUUCAAAAAGAAAAAAGAAAGUAUAUUUAUAUCAUUAUAUAAAUUAAACUAUUACACAUACACAUAUAGAUUUCAUUAAUAUUUUAUCCUAGUCUAGACCAUCAACUAAAUAUCACCUUAGUUAUGUAUGUAUAUAUAUAUAUAUAUAUAUUUCGAUUUUAUUUAAGUUUUAAGUCCACCAGGUCAUUUGCACAAGGAAGAUGAUUACAUAUAGUGUACUUGGGACGCGUGUACUAUUCCCAUCCCGGGGUGAAUGAUCAUAAUUGUACCUCACCAGCCUGAGAAGGCAGAGGGGUCGACAAAGCCAGCUCAUGCAGACAAAACGGUCAGCAAUUGUGGGCCAUCCGACCUAACGACAAACUUGAUGAUGAAACGAACCUGAACUCACUCAUGCCACGUUUCCACAUUUCAUUGGGUUGACUUGUAAAACUCAAAAAGUUUGGUCAGCCUAGCCAAUUAAUACUCAAUUCUGAGCUCGGACCCCAUCACUCGCAGCUAUGGCAGAGAUCUCUGUGCCCCUAAUCUCUUUACCACCUUCACACCCAUUUGAUUUUUUUCAUCUGAAUUUCACAUUUUCUCGCUUAUCAUUCUGGAGCUUCAUCAAUAUAAUCUGUAAAGUUUAGAUUUCCACAAAGUCCUCUCUUUUUAAGCGUGCUUAAGCUCAUCUAAAAGUGCUUUUAUGAUAAUCACUUAUCAACUAUUUCUUUAAAAAAACAAAUACUAUAAAGAAUUUUUCAAAAUUUUAAAAAUAUCUCAUAAAUUUUGUUAAACCCUUUUUUUUUUUUUAUAAAAAAAAAAAGACACUUUCAUGCUAAAAGCACUUGCUAAAAUUAUUACCAAACAGACUUUUAGUAUUGUUUCAUAGCACAUAUUGUGGCUAAAUUAUAUUGGAUAUAUUGGAAUGCUAUAGAACGAUCUAUGUAUAUAUUCUUAUCCUCUUCUAUUUGUACCCAAUCUCAAAUGCAGCACAUUAAUAAUAUUGAUUCCCAUUUAUUGGAGAAGAGGUUCCAUAUCAGGGUGCAAAGGAAUAUGGCAUGGGCUAAUAUUGUGUAGCACGUACCUUUUUCUGGCUUCUUUAUGCACUCAAUUUCAUAUUACAUGCCAUUACUCAUCUUCAGCCUGCAUUUCCCACCUUUUGCUUCACAAUUCUCACACACAGGUUUUGACCAAUUCAUGGAAAAUCUAGAUUCCCCAUAUUCUAUAUUUAAUGGGAGUGGAGCUUCGGAAAUCUAGCAAACAAAAUAUAUUCAUAAAUAAAUUAAAAUAGACAUUACUCAUAGAUACGUACUGGAAUACAAUGUAUGGUAUUAUCGGCAUAAUUCAUGUAGUAUUGUGGUCCUAUCACAUCUAGCACAUUUCACAUUUCUAAAGAUAAAAGAAAUAGAGUCCUUUAAAUAUAAGAACCAACUUACUUUUAGUGUCAAGAAAAUUGACUCAAUGGUUUUAUUUGAAAAGUCAUAUUCAAUAAAUAAAGCAUCAAAAUUGACCACAUGUACAAUGGUCCACAAAAAUUAUUGAAAGGGUGUGAGUUGUAGGAGACCAUUUUAAAAUUUUGAAUAUUUAUUUGCUCUUACAAUUUUAUGCUCAUAAUGAAUUAUAGUAAUAGACAUAUACCAAGGAAAGGUUUGAGCUCUCAAAUUGUUCCUUCUUUGUUAAUUCUUUCUCUAUUAAAAUGCAACUUUUGAUUUGAGAGCCUGAUUUAAAGUGUGAAGGGUAAGAUCAAAGUCCUAAUUAAAUUUCAACAAGGAGUAGAAAUCUAUGAAUGGAGAAAUCAAAGUGUCCACUAAUUUGAAGAACCAUAUAUGGAAUGGUGCAAUCCAAUGUCCAAGAAUGUAAUUGUAACCUUUAGAGGGCCCAAGGACACUUCUCUAACAAAAACCACAUGGAAUUACUUACAAAAGAAAUGUUUUAAUUGGCACUAUUGUUCCUUGAAAGCCCAGAUUACUACUAGCAACAAGUUAUAACAAAAUAACUUACUUGAACAUCUACAACCCUAAUAAUUAUUUUUGUAGAAUAUUUGAAAAAAAAAAAGAAAAGAACUUCAAAGGAAAUGGAGGAUUUUCUUUGAUAAUUUUACGGGCAAGCAAGAACACUAUUCAAACAUCUAAAAUGAUAUUUUAUUACUUGUACAUAACCUUUCUUACAAGGAACCAAACUAUUGUUUGAAGUAGAAACUUUAUUUUAUUACAUACACUGAUCUCAUAGAAACCUUACACAUAAGACACAAUCACACAUUAUUAUUGGAUUACAAAAUAAGCAACUAGAUGGAGUAGGACUACCUUCCAUUUAAGCUGAUUGUACCCAUGGAAUUGGAUGAUGAAAUUGGUACCUCUACCAUGGAUUGCUCAUGAUUCUCGAUAGACCAUAGAGUUGGCUUAGGAGGCAUUUUCAAUAGUUCAAUCUCUCCUUCAAGCAUCUCCAAUGUUUUGCUCAUUGAAGGACGAUCCAUAGGCUUCAUUUGUACACACCAUAGCGCAACUAUCACCAUUUUCCUUACAUACUUUUUUUCAUCCUCAGUGGCAUCUCCCAUUUCCAUGUCCUCUCCUUGAUCAUAUCUAUCAUAAAUCCAUGAUGGGAAAUAUAUUUGACUUGAAUGCUCUGCAAAUGCAUUCACAUUCUUCCUUUUCCCCACCAUUUUCAAUAACAACAUUCCAAAACUAUAAACAUCAGCCUUAAAUGAUACACCUCCAAUGUUUUUGUAGAACAAUUCAGGAGCAAUGUAGCCUAAGGUUCCUCUAGCAGCAGUGACUGAUACAAUACUUUCAUCUGUUGAGUAUAAUUUUGCAAGACCGAAAUCUGAAACUUUUGGUGUGAAGUCUUCAUCGAGAAGAAUGUUGUGUGGCUUGAUAUCAAAAUGAAGAAUUUGCAUAUCACACCCUUGAUGUAAGUAUUUGAUCCCACGUCCUACUCCAAGUGCAAUCUUGUAUAAUCUUUCCCAACUCAAAGGAAUGUUGUUUCCUUGAUCAAGAAAAACAAACUUAUCAAGAGAUCCAUUGGGCAUGUAGUCAUAUAUAAGGGCCCAUUUUGACCUCUGUAUGCAAAAUCCAACAAGUCUCACCACAUUAACAUGAUGAAUUCUUCCAAUUGUAGCAACUUCAUUGAUAAAAUCUUGCCCAUUAGCCUUUGACAUAACCAACAUUUUUACAGCUACAAUGCGGCCACUUCGGAGUUUUCCUUGUACACAGAGCCAAAACCUCCUUGACCCAAUUUAUGCUUAAAAUUAUAAGUCAUCUUUUUUAUGUCUGAAUAUGUGUAUUUGAUUGGUCGAAGAUUUUGGUAGUUAUGUAGGAAUUCUUCAAUAUCAUCAUCUAAUGAUAAGUGUCUCCGUCGAAACUUGUAAAUUAAAUAGGCAAAGAGGCACAAAAUACCAAUCACAGCUCGUCCGAUGAUGAUCAUGACUACAUAUAAAUCACAUGUUAAAGAUAUGAAAAACGUCAGAGGAAGAUUUAUAAUCAUCUAACCACAUUCAAUCAUCAAAUGCAACAAAUGAAAAGGUCAUUUCACCUAUAUCUUAGGUUUUGGAUUUCCACUCAAACAUAGUCAUGUGACUCUUUUGCUUUUGGGUGACAGCAUGAUAUACAUAAAGGAUGGAAUAAUCAAUUGAGAAAAUUUGUUUUGUUGUACAAAAUUAAGGAAUGAAAUUAGAUGCCAAAUUCCAACUCUAUUCUUCAAUUUCCUUGUACUCUAACAAAUCUGGGAAUAAUUUGAAAUCAAAUACAUCACAAAUUUUUUUAAAAAUAAUAAUAAUUUUAUUUGAUAGAAAAUUUAUGAAUUUCACAAAUUGGAAUUUCAAUUUAUGAUUCAUUUUGUACAACCAAAUGCAUUGCCAAACUUGAUUGUCGGCUUUUAUCUUGAAUGAAAGGAUUCCAAAAGUGCCAGGCAAAAAGAGGUAUAAGACGUGUGCAAUUAUAGACUUAUUGAGAUCUGGAAGCCUUACCCAUGAGUUGAAAUAUCAAGAUUGCCCCAACUGCAAAUAUGAGAGGAACAAAAAUUAUUAAGUUCAAGAAAAGAAAGAUUCAUACAUAUGAUAGAUUUAAAAUGAGCAGGAAACAAAUAGAAGAGAAAUAUUAUUACUGCUAUUGGUUUUGAUUAAAAAUUAGGAAGAGAUGGAUAGGAUAGAAGAGAAAGGGUAAUAUUAAUAAUAAUAAUCAUCCUCAUAGUUAUUAUUAUAAUCAUCAUCAUUGAUGAUAAAAUAAAUUAUCAUUUCAUUUUAUCAUCAAAUUAAUAAUUUUAAGGGACAUGGAGUCUCCAUCUAUUAUUAUUACUAUUAUUAUUGUUAUUGUUAUUGUUAUUAUUAUAAAGAACUUCUGAAAGCCUUACCAGCUAAAGUUGUUCCGCCUCCAUCCGAAAGAUAUCCGAAGUCUGCAGGUUGAAAUUCAGUAAAUAUGGUCAAUGGUAAAAGUAGAAGAAGCUUUUGCAUUUUGGUCUAUGUGACUGCCAACUAGACAAUGAUAUUAAGCAGCCCACAGGUACCAUCUUGAAAUUAAUGGAAUGAAAGUAAAAAACUAUAUAAAAAAAAAAAUUCACUAUCUUUCUUCUGCAACAAAUGGAACUAAUAAGCCUUACAUUCGACAAAACGGUCCACACCUAAUAUAUCUCCUGUUAACAGAAAAACAACAUAAAUUGAAUUUAACAUGAGAAAGAUAAUAGAAGUAAAAAUGAACAUGAAAGAUAAUAAAAGUAAACUCCCAAAGUCUCACUGAUAUAGAGAAAGAACCAUGUCAGAAAGUUCCGAGCUGCAAGAUCAAACCAAUUAAGCAAAUAUUAUUAGUUAUAAAAUGUUGAAGGGACUUAUGCUUGCAAGCAAAAUAAAUGCAUGAAUGGAUAAAAAUAAACAUUGCUCAUACGUUUGGUGCACUGUACGGUAUAAUUGCUAUAAUUCCGCUCGCAGUUUAGCCCUUUCACCUCGCAUUCGCUUUUGCAGCGGAAGCGCAAAAAUGAAAGAUCAAGCCCCAGAAGCAGCACUUCUUGCAAAUCUGACAUUGAAAGAUUGUCGUGCUUCAAGAAUCGAGUAGCAAUAGUCCUGAGGAUGGUGCAUGAAUACUUAAUAUCAUGCACCCGCAGGAGUUCUCCUCCGACUAGUGCAUAAACAUAUGUUUGUGAGGAAGAUGAUGUCACAUUGCUUCUGUUGCAAGGAGUGAUAGGAAUAUAGUUGCCAUCACUUAUUGGCUGCUCGCAGUUCAUCAAAACCGUUGUAUUGGUCACUCCCAGUACCCAAUAAUAAUAUGAAUGAAAGCUGUAAUAUGACAAGGAAUACAGAGGAGUUGAGAGACAGUUGCCCUUUUCGACCCCAGGAUCCACUACCCGAAUGGUAUAGUGAUCGUAGUUGAUAUCAGCAACAUAGUAUUUCUCACCCUCCCGGACGUUUACCAUAGUACGAUUGUUUUCGCAGACCAAUUCAUAGUCAGGAUCACCACACCCAAAUGGAUCACCUUUCAAUCGGAAAGGGUUGCUGAUGUUUUGAAUCUCUCCACAAGAAGAGGGUCUGCAAGUCUGGUUUCCAUUAGCAGCACAAAUUGCAAGCAAGAAAGUGUGGAAGAGCGCUAACGCCACAAGUUGUGCUUCUCUAAACAUCAUAACAUUUGAGAGAGAUACGGAGUUGGAAUUCUUCUGCUUUUAUGUUUAAUUUAAGAGAGAGAGAUCAAAUUAUCCCCCAACAGGCUUGCGGUCCCAAUUUUCCUGCAACGUGAAAAGAGUGUGAAAUGAGCCUUAUUGACUGUUAUAGUCAACUACUUUGAUUUUUCUAUGUAUGGAUAACUUCACAUUGAAGAAACGCAUACCCACCCUCUGUUCAUGAUCAGGUUCAAUCAUUAGAGGCUUCUGAAUUAGCAUAAUGAAAAUGAAAAUCAAGAAUCACUAUAUUUGAAAUUAACUUUUUUUUUUAAAAAAAAAGGAUCUUACUUCUGAAUUAGCAACUUUCCUCGACAUGGGCCAUAAUGUAUACCAAAUUAACCUUGUACAAAUAAUGAAUUAUGUACUGUAUCAUGCUAAGUUACCAUUUUUCCAAUAAUUUAAACUUCUAUAUGUUUUAUAUAGUUUUUUAUUAUUUGUAUUUUAAGUUUUAUUUCUUCUAAUCAAAUGCCUACUUUAAAUCAAAAUUUGAUUUUUAAAAAACAUACAAAAUAAAUUAAGGAGGACGGUCCAUUUAGAUUUAAAUUAUAAUAAAUGAAGUAUUAUUAAAUUUUAGAGUAGGUAAUGUGACUUACAUAAAAAUGUUUAUAUGUAUAAAUUAAAUGGAAUACUUACAUUUUGAAAGAGACAAAAUAAACAUAUACAUGUGAUACAGGGUGAAAGGACAUUGUUAUAAACUGAAAAUCUAUUAGUAAAAUGUACCACCGCAGUAAUCCUCCUUCCUACAAUUCUUCUCUAUAAAUUUUCAGGCUAAUCUCCUCGCGAUAUUUGUAUCUCCCUUUCCACUUUCUUUCCUAUCCCAGAGACUUCUGUCCUUGGCAAAAAUCACAAAUUCCUUCCAUAAAAAUGGAUCCAUAUCUCUGUUUGUUUUUGUUCUUGUUUCUGACCUUGUUUGUGGAGAUGAGAGGGGGCCGAGAUGAGUGCAUGAAAUCAAAUCGUUGUGGCGACCAGGGUCCACUCAUCCAGUUCCCUUUCCGUCUACAAGGCCAGCCACCCCACUGUGGAUACCCGGGAUUUAAUUUAUCUUGCACUGAGAAUAAUCAGACCAUGCUAGAGCUGCCAGGUUCGGUAAAGCUCUUGGUGAAGGAUAUAACUUACAAAUCCCGGGAAAUCAUUGUCCAGGACCCGGAUAAUUGCCUUGCGAGACAGCUUGGAAACCUCAAUUUAUCUGCCUCCCCCUUCCAGUUCAAUUUUGGGGAGGAGAAUACCUUCUUCGAUUGUUCCUCAGAUAAAACAGAUGCAUAUUUUUAUCAGCCCAUCCCUUGCCUUUCUAUCCCUGGUAACCCAGUUUAUGCUGUUCAUUCCUCCGAACUUGUCCAAUAUUUGAACCUAUCCUCUUGCCGCAGGCUUUACAGCGCUUCAGCUCCAGGUAAUCAAGCUUAUCGGGAUUAUAUAUUCAAUGGAAGUGCGUUUUCUUUAAAGUGGUCAAAUUCAAAAAUAUGCAGAUUGAAGAAGAGUGAUAGCACAGAAACUGAAUGUAUUAAAGGUAAAGGGACUCUAUGCAUCUUAAUUCCCCAUUCAUCUUCUUUUCAUCUUUCAUGCUCACCUCAUAUCCUCUACUAUGAUUUAAUAUACAAAUGCUCCAUUUUGGAAUUAAAAAAACCUUUGUAAAGGAUAUGAGCUGAUAAAUUCUGCUGAUUGAAUUUGCGUUUUAUUGGGAUUUUGAAAAUCUGAAAAAAAAAAGAAAAAAAAAAAAGAGAAUAAUUUGAUUACAAGGGAUAAAAUAAUCUCUAAAUCUGAAAAAAUAAUUUGAAAUAAUUAGUGAAAAUAUUUUUUUUACAUUUUAAAACUCCUGUUAGAUGAAUUUUUGGGUAAAGUAAUAUAUUGUUUUUCUUACAUUUCACCUCAAAACAUUGAGCUAAACUAAUGGAUCCAAACUAAGGCCUUUUCUUUUCUUUCUUCAAAUUUUUAGAGCUCAAUAAAAUUAAGGGAAAUAAUUGAACAAAGAGUUAAAUGUUUAUUUUGGAUUUAGUUUUUUGAAAAAUUAAAGAAAUAAAAGAAAAUUGUUAAAAGUUCUUUUAUAUUGCAUUCUUUCCUAGCUACUUACAAUUAAUAUUUUUCUUUAUUUUCUUUUUAUGUUUCCAAGGAUGUGAACCUAAAAAUACAAAGUAAUACAAUUGACAUUCAAGUAUUCCUUUUCGAUAACGAAAUAUUUAAUAACAAAAAAUUACUAAGAUUGUUGAAUAUUGUUGAUUUUCUUUUUUCUUUUUUUCAUAUCCAAAUGGACCAUACUAACCCUUAAUUUUCCAAGUAAUUCAUCUUUAUUUCAACUCUCAAUAAUUACAAUUGUGUAAAAAACUCCAUAAACAUCAUUUUUCUAGUUUUAAUGGUUAUCCACAUAGAUGACUUUUCCCUUAUACCUAACAUGAGAAGUUCGAUGUUAAUGGUUAAUCGAAUCACCAAGUGUCAUCGUACCUACCAAUUGGAUCACUGUAUAUAAUGGUAUAGAAUAAGGAUAGAGAUUUCUGCACAUUCCUUUUACAUGGAGUUUUAUUUUUAUUUUUAUUUUUAUUUUUGUCAUAAAAUUGGAUGAAUUUGUGUUUAGGGAGUCAUGAAGACAAUACGGUAUUAUGAAACAUAAAACUAUGAUACAUAAUAGGGAUUAGAAGGGUAUGUUUUAAUUUCCACUACAAGUUAGGAUAGAGUUAGUAGCAAAAUUGGUACUGCCUCAAAAAUGAACCAUAGAAUACAAGAAAGGGACCCAAAAAGAUAAGGUUGAAGCCUAGAAUAAAAUUAAUUAGAUUAAAAUCAUAUCACAUGAGCAUGUAAUUUAGCAUGUUUUUAUUAAUUCCAAGAGCAUAACAAGCUAAUUACUUUUUUUUUCUUAAUUUUUUAUAGGUGUAUCGAAGAAAAUAAUUGUGACAGGUAAUAUUCUAUUUAUACAUAUUUUAUUAUAGAGAUAAAGAUUCUUUAUUUGGUUAUUUUACCUAUUUAUUUAAAUAAAAAGUUUAAGUUUUCUUCUUUUUAUUUAUGCAGGUGCAAUCUUUGGUUUCUUUCUUCUCAUGUUAGUAAUUGUUGUGCCUUAUCGUGUCUAUAGCUCAAAUAAAGUAGAAAGAGAUAAUAAAGUAAAGGUUAAAAAGUUUCUAGAAGACUAUGAAGCUCUCAAGCCCUCAAGAUACUCCUAUGCUGAUAUUAAAAGGAUUACAAGUCAAUUCAAAGAUAAAUUAGGGGAAGGAGGAUAUGGAACCGUGUACAAAGGAAAGCUUUCAGAUGAAGUUUUUGUUGCAGUAAAAAUCCUUAACAAUUCUCAAGGAAAUGGGGAAGAGUUCAUUAAUGAAGUAGCAACAAUGGGUACAAUCCACCAUGUUAAUAUAGUUCGUUUAGUUGGAUUUUGUGCUGAUAGAUUUAAUCGAGCUCUAAUUUAUGAGUACUUACCAAAUGAGUCAUUGGAGAAGUUCAUAUUUUCAAAAGUUGUCAAGAACUAUUCACUUAGUUGGAAGAAACUUCAAGAAAUUGCUAUAGGUAUAGCAAAAGGAAUUGAGUAUCUUCAUCAAGGUUGUGAUCAAAGAAUCCUUCAUUUUGAUAUCAAACCUCAUAAUAUUUUACUUGACCACAACUUUAAUCCAAAGAUUUCUGACUUUGGUUUAGCCAAAUUGUGCUCCAAGGAACAAAGUGCAGUCUCUAUGACAAUUGUAAGGGGAACAAUGGGCUAUAUCGCUCCAGAAGUGUUAUCUAGGAAUUUUGGGAAUGUGUCUUAUAAGUCAGAUGUUUAUAGUUUUGGAAUGUUGUUACUUGAAAUGGUUGGAGGAAGGAAGAACAUUGAUGUUAGUGUGGAGAGUACUAGCCAAGUAUAUUUCCCAGAAUGGAUUUAUAAUCAUUUGGAUAUAGGGGAAGAAUUGCAUAUUCGAAUUGAAGAAGAAGGAGAUGUUGAGAUUGCAAAGAAAUUAGCAAUUGUGGGACUUUCAUGUAUUCAGUGGUGUCCAGUGGAUCGUCCUUCCAUGAAAAUUGUGGUUCAAAUGUUGGAAGGAGAAGGAGACAAGUUAACCAUGCCUCCUAACCCUUUUGCUUCAACAGUUCCAACAAACUUGAGCAAGCCAAGUAGAGUUUUUCAACAAGAGUUGACAAUAAUUUCAGAACUAGAGUAAAAAUAAUUGUCUAUAUGUUCAACUUAUUAUGAAUGUAUAGUUUAAUAAAAACUCAUAUUGUAGUUGUUCAUCAUCAUAGCAUCUUUAUUUAUAUUUCUGUUAAUUGAACAAAUGAUUGUAUAAAAUGAUUAUACCAGUGGCUCAAUUGAUGUUAGAUUCCAAAAGUUCUUAUUCCCAUAUAAUGUAUUUCUUGUGUAUUAAAUUUUAAUGAAUAUGUCCAAGAAUAUUCUCGCAACCCAAUUUAUAGUUUAGCUACACACAACUCUAUAGAUCACCUUUCAAUCAAGUAAGAGUAACUAAUGUCCAUCACAUUCAAGAUAGAAAGUAUUGCACGAAAUAGUAAUAGAAUUAGAUCUAGGAAACUUGAAAAUAAGAGUCCCAUCCACUACACCCAUAUAGGAUUUCUUUUGUUUCUUUUUUCUUUUUUCUUUUUCUUUUUUUUUUCUUUUUUGCCUUUACCAUUUUUUUAUUGGACUGAAAAGUAAGACUAAUUAGUUAUGUAAUGAGUAAAUUAUACUGAAUGGUGAUGGCUUGUUGGAGAACUUUGCAUUGAAUAAAAUGGAGAUCGAUUUCGAUGUAUUUACUCCUUGCAUGCAACACUGGAUUUGCUGCUAGCUAAGUAGCACUUUGGUUAUGACACCAUAUCAAUGGUGAAGAUAGGGCAGGUAUCCUAACAAUAAAGGAGUUAGAGAGUUAGGUGAAGGCUUGAUCUUGAACUUUAUUGAUACAAAUUACCAAUGGACCAUAUGUACUAGACCACGAAAAAUAAUAGCUUGUGGGAGAAAUGAACCAUAUGAUAUGUGACCAUGUAGUAAUCAUUGAGAAAGGAAAAAAACAUGGACUCAAUAGAUUAUGUAAUAAUAAUAAUAAUAAUAAUAAUAAUAAUAAUAAUAAUAAUAAUAAUAAUAAUAAACUCAAACUCUCUCAAUAUAUGGUAUUGUGGACCCUACAUUUCGGCUCAUGCGCUUCCACUCGAUGGCGAGCUCGAUUUUUAAUUUGAAAAAUGAUUUAUUUGUUAGAAAAUGACUUGGAAUCGUCACUUAUUUUUGUUUUAUUUUUAAAGGGUAAACAAAAUAAGAAAGAAAACCCUAAGUGUGACUCCUUAUUUUGGAAAAUGUGGUCUGUGAAAAAGCAGAUAGGGUUCGGGGGUCAAGUUACUUAUCGGGAAGGUACGGUAAAGACCGUAGCACCCCUCUAAGUCCCUAAAGUCGGGUCUUUACUAAUAAAAUGCAGAAAUCAUGACAAUAAGUAAGGAAAACGAUGGAUACCCAGAACAAACAUGCACAUGCGAGAAUCAAAACGCUCAAUAAAGAAUGGCCAGAGUGAGAACGGGUGCGUACCUUGGUAACGAGCCACCAUGCGCUAUCAAGAAAUGAGGUUAGUGUACAAUAAAUGAACAUAAAACAUGACUCACAUGCCACUAAACCAUAUACGAAAUCAUCAAUGGCACACAUGACACUUCACUCAACUUUAUUUUUAGAGGAAUCAUCACCCAUGUUGGGCCCCCAUCAAAGCCCAUUUAUUUUUGCAUGAAUUAAUUCCAAAAAUUCCAUUAUUUGGAAUUAUGAUAUUAAAUUCAUGUUUAUUUUAAAACAUUUUUAAAAAUCAAAGAAGAUGUGAAAGUGGCUUGCCAGAAAGAAAAUGACAGCCAAAUUUUAUUAAAAAGCGGGUUUUUGGAACCUAAGAAAAAUAUUAAGGAUGAAAAAAAAAAUUUGGAGAUUUGAAAUUAAUUAAAAACCAGAAUUGAAGAAUUUAUUCACAAAAUGGGGUUUAGGAAAAUUAUUUUCAAAAUAAAAAAUGAUGAAAUGAGAUAUGGCACGUGGCAUAAAGGUGGCCAUGCUAAAGGUAUCCAUGUAACUGGACACACAAAUGCGUGGGCCCAGGGAUGUCGUUGGAGUUGCUCUGUUGGCGCGCCAUUCUUGGGCAAUUGUGUCAUAAUAGCAACCAGGGUAUUGAGGAUCAAAAAUCAUAUGUUCUGGGUACUUGUCAUUCCCUUGUGCAACCUGAUCCCGAUUAGAAAUGCUCUCUGUCAAUCCACUCUCAGUUGCAGUUCCCACAACCUCAUUUUCCUUCUACUGACCCUGAGCUUGAAUAGUAGGCUGAACAGAUGAAGUAUAUGACUCCAGUCAGCACCAUUCUUAGGCAAUUGUGUCAUAAUACCAACCUGGGUAUUGAGGAUCAAAAAACCACAUGUUCUGGGUAUUUGUCAUUCCCUUGUGAGAGAUUGUUCCAAUUAGAAACGUUCUCAGUGAUCCCAAUCUCAGUUACAGUUCCCAGAACAGACUGAGAAGUUUGCUGUAAAUAAGAGACCUCUGAUUUCCCAUCCAAAGCAACACAAUCAAUAACUGAAUUAGUCUCAGUGUCCUGUUGAACAUUGGUUGUCACACCAUAACCAUCCACUUGAUAUCAUUGUCCAGAACUCGAGUCAUACCUCCACCCUGGAUAGGUGUUUUCCUGAUACUGACUAUAAUUCAGAUCUCGCCCACCAGUGUUUUGUUCCAUUAUCCCUUCAUGGGAUUAGCCAUCUUGAUAUUGUACAUAGUUAACCGAAUUUUCAGCAUUAUAAGCUCUAUGUCCUUCAUGACCAGAUGCAAUCCUUGCUUCAUUAUUCAAAUUCUCCCCGCUCCUUCUCUAACACCACUUCUGGUUCUGCAAUAUGACGCCUUCAUUCAGGUGCUUUCAUGUCAUUCAAUGAUUUGGUGCCUGAUUCAGUUUUGCAAGCAACCAUUCCUCCAAAACCAUAAAUCCGUGGGUAAUCCUCAUGAAGAAAAUGACUGCAACUAGCAACUCUGCUUGCAGCAGCAUGGUUUGAAAGACCAGAUUUCAUAAGUUUUCCAAAAGACAAAACCUAUGCAGCAUCGUAUCUCACACCGAGUAGUGGCCAUGAUUAUUUGGUUUAACUAUCUGGAAUACAAAAAGCACGCUAAGUGACAUUUAUCAAACAAAAGAUCCUUUCCGACCACCCAACGUGUUGAGAAAAGUAUCCAGGAUGUUAUAAAGCCUCUCAAUUGCAAGCCAAACUUGCCAAUAUAUUCGACCUUGGGCAACGGAAAUUUUCAAAUCCACGAAGCUUGCAUUCAACCGCGUGGUAGUGUCGGAGAGAGAAGGGGGAUUCAGUCCAGCAUUAUCGGUAUCUGGAUACCUAGAAAACAUCAGGACAGAGGCCUGCUUUCCUCAUUAUCUGCAUGAUUCUCUUCAUCUGCUCUGCAUUUCCUAGCAUGUCAUACAAAUGGCCUUGGCUAGUGGGAGUUUAGGUACGUGGGAGAUAAAACCAAGCGGGUUUUAUGAAGGUUUGAUGGAAUGGUUUGGCUCGAUGGGUAGUGAGAGGAGUGUCUCGGUGGGUAUCUAUGAAAAAUGGGUAUGAAUAUGGAUAGGAAGAUGCAGGCAUGAAAUGGGUAUGAGCGAGAAUGGAAGAGAGUUCAAGUGGAGGAAGUGGUGAGGAAAAAUGGUGUGGUGGUGGAGCGAGUGUGCAUGAGGGGUGGAAAGAUUGGUGGAAUAUAUAGGUAUGGAAGUGGGUGUAUUCAUGCAUGGAAAGUGGAAAGGUGAUGAGAUCGGCGAGUAUGAAGGUUAGAAAGGAUGGGUAUGGGCUGUUGACAAAUGGGUGUGAAGGAUGGUAAGAGAGAAGGGGAAUUAUUGAUGAUGGGUGGUAUGGUGGAAUGUGAGGUGAUUAGUGGGGGUACGCCAAUAAUAGGGUGUGAAGAAAGAGGAACCGUUUGGAAGGAUUUGAGAUGACAGAUAUGUGGGAUAGAGGAGUGAGGAAAGUGGUGAGCAUGGACGGUGAUGGGCAGUGGAUUUGGGAUGAUGAGAAUAUCAAGGAAACUUGAUAAUUUCAAACAAGUGCCAACUCAAGUCUAGCUAUCACCAUGAACAUUACUAGAUUUUGUGUCUUCCUAUCUUUGUAAAUAUUGCUUUUAAUUGUGAUUGUAAAUUUACUUUUCUGUUACAUAUUUUUUAAUGCCUAAAAUUAGGCCUCUCGGGUUGUGUAAAGACAUAGAACAUGAAUAGAAAAAAAAUAUAGUGUAUUUGUAGACCCUCAAUUUUGUCCCUUUAGCACAUGUCUUCAAGUUCGUUUUCAGUGCUUCAAAAUAGUUCCUUGGUGGCCCAUGGCUACUCAUACCACUUACCUUUUUUCUGAGUCACCUCGGAGACUUUGGUUAAGGGAUUAUCUGACCCUUUAUUGUGACCCUUGGCAGCCCUAACUUAGACUUAGACUUUUCUUGUUUUUUAGGAUAGCUUUUAGAUACACUUGGCCCAUUCGGAUAUUUUCAGCGUGACUUGUAUGACUUGCAUGGUUACAUGGCUUUUGGGCUCGACUUUUGUUUAUUGGUUUAUUUAUUUUAUUUUAUUUUAUUUAUUUUAUUAUUUUUAUUUUGUUUUGUUUUAUUUUAUUUUACUUUUACCGUUUCCUAAUUUAUUUACUUGCUUAUCUGCUCACUCAAUUAUUUAACUUAGAAAAUUUUUAUGUUUUUGCAAGGAAACUUACUAUUGGAGUUUAAGGAAGGCGGGACUCUCCUUGGAAGGUUUGGGAGAGGAAUUUGAAAUUAUGAAGAUUGCUUUUGAAUUGGAAGAUUUAAAAAAAGGAUAAGGAGAAAAGAAGAGAAAAAAUAGGGGAUUGUUUCCUUUCGGGAACAGAUUAGGGAUUUAGGAGGUGAUAUAUAUAUGUGAGAAAAGAAAUUCUGAAGGGAGAGAUUCGGAGGGGAGCAGCACGCAUUGGAGAAUUUUUGAGGGAGAAGAACAGAGGAAACGGAGAAGAGCAAUUGCAACCAAGAUUGUCCAGGUACGCUUCUAGUUACUCUCGGUGUUUUUAUCCAUAUUCAAUCUCUCCAUUUGGUUUUUUUUUUUCUAAAAAUUCAAUGUGUUGUUGAUUGGUGUGGACGAAAAGGGCCACAAUUUGUUUUGUUGAGAUUGGUUGCUUGCUUGUUCGCCUUGUUUUAAUUUUUGGUGUCAUUGAUGUCUUCGGAAGUAUAUAACUCUAUGCCUGAAUGUGAUCACGUUCUGUUUUUCGACUGAAUCGUUCUGCAUUUUUUUCUCUGUUCUUAGCCCAUGGAUUAACACAUGAAGUGGGGGCUAUUUAUGCUUACUGACCAAUAUCCUCUGUUCUUUCCUUCUCCGAGUUUUACUUCAUUUUAUUUUAUUUUAUUUUUUAUCUAUAUUCUUUUCCUCGCAUGGUGUUCGAACCCGGGCUCUUGUAUUCGGGUAUAUGUUGAGGAAUGAUGUAAGUGGCGAUAUGAGGAGUGAACUGUGCAGCAAUCAGUGGAUUGUGGAGAUUGGAGGUAGCGUCUUANNNNNNNNNNNNNNNNNNNNNNNNNNNNNNNNNNNNNNNNNNNNNNNNNNNNNNNNNNNNNNNNNNNNNNNNNNNNNNNNNNNNNNNNNNNNNNNNNNNNNNNNNNNNNNNNNNNNNNNNNNNNNNNNNNNNNNNNNNNNNNNNNNNNNNNNNNNNNNNNNNNNNNNNNNNNNNNNNNNNNNNNNNNNNNNNNNNNNNNNNNNNNNNNNNNNNNNNNNNNNNNNNNNNNNNNNNNNNNNNNNNNNNNNNNNNNNNNNNNNNNNNNNNNNNNNNNNNNNNNNNNNNNNNNNNNNNNNNNNNNNNNNNNNNNNNNNNNNNNNNNNNNNNNNNNNNNNNNNNNNNNNNNNNNNNNNNNNNNNNNNNNNNNNNNNNNNNNNNNNNNNNNNNNNNNNNNNNNNNNNNNNNNNNNNNNNNNNNNNNNNNNNNNNNNNNNNNNNNNNNNNNNNNNNNNNNNNNNNNNNNNNNNNNNNNNNNNNNNNNNNNNNNNNNNNNNNNNNNNNNNNNNNNNNNNNNNNNNNNNNNNNNNNNNNNNNNNNNNNNNNNNNNNNNNNNNNNNNNNNNNNNNNNNNNNNNNNNNNNNNNNNNNNNNNNNNNNNNNNNNNNNNNNNNNNNNNNNNNNNNNNNNNNNNNNNNNNNNNNNNNNNNNNNNNNNNNNNNNNNNNNNNNNNNNNNNNNNNNNNNNNNNNNNNNNNNNNNNNNNNNNNNNNNNNNNNNNNNNNNNNNNNNNNNNNNNNNNNNNNNNNNNNNNNNNNNNNNNNNNNNNNNNNNNNNNNNNNNNNNNNNNNNNNNNNNNNNNNNNNNNNNNNNNNNNNNNNNNNNNNNNNNNNNNNNNNNNNNNNNNNNNNNNNNNNNNNNNNNNNNNNNNNNNNNNNNNNNNNNNNNNNNNNNNNNNNNNNNNNNNNNNNNNNNNNNNNNNNNNNNNNNNNNNNNNNNNNNNNNNNNNNNNNNNNNNNNNNNNNNNNNNNNNNNNNNNNNNNNNNNNNNNNNNNNNNNNNNNNNNNNNNNNNNNNNNNNNNNNNNNNNNNNNNNNNNNNNNNNNNNNNNNNNNNNNNNNNNNNNNNNNNNNNNNNNNNNNNNNNNNNNNNNNNNNNNNNNNNNNNNNNNNNNNNNNNNNNNNNNNNNNNNNNNNNNNNNNNNNNNNNNNNNNNNNNNNNNNNNNNNNNNNNNNNNNNNNNNNNNNNNNNNNNNNNNNNNNNNNNNNNNNNNNNNNNNNNNNNNNNNNNNNNNNNNNNNNNNNNNNNNNNNNNNNNNNNNNNNNNNNNNNNNNNNNNNNNNNNNNNNNNNNNNNNNNNNNNNNNNNNNNNNNNNNNNNNNNNNNNNNNNNNNNNNNNNNNNNNNNNNNNNNNNNNNNNNNNNNNNNNNNNNNNNNNNNNNNNNNNNNNNNNNNNNNNNNNNNNNNNNNNNNNNNNNNNNNNNNNNNNNNNNNNNNNNNNNNNNNNNNNNNNNNNNNNNNNNNNNNNNNNNNNNNNNNNNNNNNNNNNNNNNNNNNNNNNNNNNNNNNNNNNNNNNNNNNNNNNNNNNNNNNNNNNNNNNNNNNNNNNNNNNNNNNNNNNNNNNNNNNNNNNNNNNNNNNNNNNNNNNNNNNNNNNNNNNNNNNNNNNNNNNNNNNNNNNNNNNNNNNNNNNNNNNNNNNNNNNNNNNNNNNNNNNNNNNNNNNNNNNNNNNNNNNNNNNNNNNNNNNNNNNNNNNNNNNNNNNNNNNNNNNNNNNNNNNNNNNNNNNNNNNNNNNNNNNNNNNNNNNNNNNNNNNNNNNNNNNNNNNNNNNNNNNNNNNNNNNNNNNNNNNNNNNNNNNNNNNNNNNNNNNNNNNNNNNNNNNNNNNNNNNNNNNNNNNNNNNNNNNNNNNNNNNNNNNNNNNNNNNNNNNNNNNNNNNNNNNNNNNNNNNNNNNNNNNNNNNNNNNNNNNNNNNNNNNNNNNNNNNNNNNNNNNNNNNNNNNNNNNNNNNNNNNNNNNNNNNNNNNNNNNNNNNNNNNNNNNNNNNNNNNNNNNNNNNNNNNNNNNNNNNNNNNNNNNNNNNNNNNNNNNNNNNNNNNNNNNNNNNNNNNNNNNNNNNNNNNNNNNNNNNNNNNNNNNNNNNNNNNNNNNNNNNNNNNNNNNNNNNNNNNNNNNNNNNNNNNNNNNNNNNNNNNNNNNNNNNNNNNNNNNNNNNNNNNNNNNNNNNNNNNNNNNNNNNNNNNNNNNNNNNNNNNNNNNNNNNNNNNNNNNNNNNNNNNNNNNNNNNNNNNNNNNNNNNNNNNNNNNNNNNNNNNNNNNNNNNNNNNNNNNNNNNNNNNNNNNNNNNNNNNNNNNNNNNNNNNNNNNNNNNNNNNNNNNNNNNNNNNNNNNNNNNNNNNNNNNNNNNNNNNNNNNNNNNNNNNNNNNNNNNNNNNNNNNNNNNNNNNNNNNNNNNNNNNNNNNNNNNNNNNNNNNNNNNNNNNNNNNNNNNNNNNNNNNNNNNNNNNNNNNNNNNNNNNNNNNNNNNNNNNNNNNNNNNNNNNNNNNNNNNNNNNNNNNNNNNNNNNNNNNNNNNNNNNNNNNNNNNNNNNNNNNNNNNNNNNNNNNNNNNNNNNNNNNNNNNNNNNNNNNNNNNNNNNNNNNNNNNNNNNNNNNNNNNNNNNNNNNNNNNNNNNNNNNNNNNNNNNNNNNNNNNNNNNNNNNNNNNNNNNNNNNNNNNNNNNNNNNNNNNNNNNNNNNNNNNNNNNNNNNNNNNNNNNNNNNNNNNNNNNNNNNNNNNNNNNNNNNNNNNNNNNNNNNNNNNNNNNNNNNNNNNNNNNNNNNNNNNNNNNNNNNNNNNNNNNNNNNNNNNNNNNNNNNNNNNNNNNNNNNNNNNNNNNNNNNNNNNNNNNNNNNNNNNNNNNNNNNAAGACGAAUUCCCCAUAGACUUCCAAAAAUAGACUUAAGGAUAAGAAGAGAGGUGAAAGAGAAAUAGUGGCUAAAGAGACAAUUCAGAUUAGUAAUGGUCUAGAAAGUGGGGUAUUUCUAAUAAGGUUUAUCUUGGAGGUGCAACCGAGUUCUGCGCGUCUCAUCCUGUAACAGUUCGUAAGGGACAGUCUGGAAUUUCAUGAGAUUGUCCCCAGUAGCUCAGUUUCCAGCAGUUCGUCUCUCACUAGAGUUUUAAUUCUUCCGGUAAAUCUCAGUAGUAAGAAUGAUUGGUUGGCUACCAUGGCUACAGAGAAAGUGUCAGUUACCGAAUUUGAGCAACAUAUCACAUCAGGCAGUUCUAGUAAAGGUCCUGAGAGAUUUGACUCUACGGAUCCGCCUUAUUCUGAAGAUGAGAUCCCUUAAGGAGCCGAAUCAGGUUUUUCUUGAUAAAGGAAUUCAGUUGGAAGACCCUAACACUUCUCCCGGCGAAAUGAAGAGUGAGCAACAGGCUACUCCCGUUGUCUUAAUCAAGUUGACUAUGGGAAAUUCAUCAAAAAAGCAUCUUUGAUGACGGACGUGGAUGGGAAUCCCCUUGAGAGUCUUUGCAAAAUUUUGUCUUUUUCUACUUCAUCCUCAGAUCAAAAGGGAAAAUGUUGCACAACUCUGCUUUGCUUUGUUUAAAUAUUCUGAAAAUUCGAGCUUCACCAAUGGUCUCUGAGUGCAUAAAACCCCUUGUAUUGCUGAUGCAAUCUGAGAACAGCACAGCUGUAGAAUCUGGUGUUUAUGUUUUUUUGAGAGAUUGUUGGAUGAGGAUACAGCUUCAGGGGACACAACAGCAGAUAAUUUGAUUCAGAAAACAAUAAGAGGACAAACAAGCAAAUGCACAAUCCAUAGUCAUCUUUGCAUCUUAGAUGCCUCGACCCCAUAUUCAGAUUGAAUUACUGAGCAAGAAGCCAAGCGAAAUGCAAAUAAUGCAGGACUUCCUAAAGCAUGUCCUUAUAUAUAUGCUCUAAAGGAUAGAAACAGGACUAAUAUUGAACACAUGGCAGCAAGGUAUUUACGAUCUUGUAAGUGAAGCUACAGGAAUCAGUUUGUUUAACCUAUUGGUAAUAUGAGAAUCCAGAAUUCAAUUAAAUGCUGGGUGGGAAGGUUCAAAUGAAGAAGUACGUGGUUCCUCUGAAUGUCGUGAGAAAUUAAUCUAGUUGACAAACACAGUUUUCCGGAAUACGUCAUCCACUUCAGAAUAGCAAUAUAUAGCCAGCUUUGUCAAGAUGACAUGCUAAUGGUGAAGAGAUCUGCUGCAUCAAAUCUGGGAAAGUUUGCUGCUACCGUUGAAGCUGCUCAUUCAAAGGCUGACAUCUCAAAAGCAGCCUAGACACUAAUCCAGCUUGGUCGCCUUGCCUCACAUCGUACUCCUCCUAUUGUUCCUUCUCCUUCAUUUUGUGAUCUUAUACAUCUUAAAUCUGGAUUUCAAAAUCUUUUUCCAUCAAAAUAACUUUGGUUUUCUUUAAAGUUCCUUAGGAGCUUCUAGGUAUAAAUUCCAAAUUUUAACAUGCUAUUUGCUGCCACUUUCCUUUGGGCAUGCACUUUCAUUGUUUUAUUCGAUUCUCAACCGAUUUUCUUGAUUUUCUCGAUUUUUCAACAAGCAUGAAUACACUUCAUGAUUCCAAACAAUGGAAUUCAUAGAACAAACUCAUGCAAAAUCAACUAGGGCUUUGGUGGGGGCCCGACAUUCAUAGCACUCACUGUAAUGCUAUUUGCUUGAUAUAUUGAUUUUCGAUUCUUCUUGAUGACAUAUAUGAAUCCGUUUUAUAUUUAUUGUUGAGAUAUCCUUGCUUCCCAUAGAGAUGUGGAUGCUUGCUAAUCAGGUACGCUCCUUCUACCCUCCAACUAUAAAAUUCUAUGAAUGUGCAUGUUAUUCUGAGCCACGUCCACGUUUGAUGACAUACUUGAUUGCCUUGAUGUUUGUUUGAUCAUCCUUGACAAAAAUGCAUGUUAUGUGUCAUAUGUUCAAACUAACUUUCAUGUUUUAUGAUAGCGCUUGAGAAGCCGUUCAGGUAUGCAUUUCGACUCUAUCUUGUGGUUUGUUUUCUUGUUAGGCAUGCAAUAUGUGAAAUCACCUAGCCUACUUAGGUACCUAUAAUUAACCGAUUAAUGGCCACACUUCCCUUAACUUAGUCAGUAGAGACCUUUUUAGGGCUUAAAGGGGUGCUACCUCCUAGAGGUACCUUCCCAAUAAGUAACCUGAUCCCCGGACUUAGACUCGGGUUUUUCAAAGACACGCUUUUCCGAAAAUUAUGGAGUCAUUUUUAGGGUUUUAUUUCUUGUUUUAUUUUCCCUUUUAAAAAAUAAAAUAAAAUAAGUGGCGACUCCAACUUUUUUUCCAAAAAUCAAUUUUUCACAAAAACAAAUAAAAAGCGAGUCUCGCCGAUCGAGUGGGGACGCACGUGAAAAAUGCGGGUCCACAGUAUUCUCUUUUAUGGUAUCAGAGCAGAGCCAAACCUCUAACAAGUAUCUUUCCUUUUUUGCUUCCUGAGACAUGGCUGCUAUCUCUGCAUCUACCACUGAUUCACCUAUCAUCACCAUCAAUGCUUCCACUACCAUCAACGAAAAACUCACCCCCUCUACCUUUCCCCAGUGGAGGGCUCAAUUUGAAGCCUUGCUCAUUGGCUAUGAUCUCAUUGACUUUGUCACAAGUGUAAAAAAAUGCCCUGCCAUUGAUGCAACAAAUUCCGCUACCUCCAAAGCCGCGAACUCCCACUGGGUUCGCCAAGAUAAACUUAUCCUCCACACCAUCCUUGCUUCCAUCUCCACCACUAUUACCCCUCUUCUUGUUGCCUACAAAACAUCCCAUGAGGCUUGGACAACACUUAACCGUUUAUACGCGGGAAAAUCACGGAUGCUUGCGAUGCAGCUCAAGGAAGAUUUGACCUUGAGCACUCGUGGAACUCGCACUGUCACUGAGUUCCUUCACGGAAUCAAAGUGAUUGCCGAUGAACUCGCAAUCAUUAAUCAUCCGAUUUCGGAUGAUGAUUUAACCCUUUACAUUCUCAAUGGAUGAGGUCCUGAAUUUAGGGAAAUUGCGGCACCCAUUUGUGCUCGUGAGACCUCUUUGAAAUUUAAGGAAAUUCAUGAUCUUCUUGUAGGUCAUGAGAGUUACCUCCGACGGCUGGAAAAUCAAUCGGCAGCAACAUUUGUUCCCACCGCUCAUUACUCUCAUCAGCAAGGAGGUGCUUCUGGACAACAUAAACCGAGCCCUAAGUCUUCCUCCAACAAGACUCGCAACAACAAUUAGCAUCACAAAAAUGGGCCCUCCAAUUUAGGCCAUAGGAAAUUUAAACCGAAAUGCCAAUGGUGUGAUCAAAUGGGACAUACGGACAAAAAUUGCCCAAAAAUGUCUUCCCCUGACUUCACUGCAAAUUGUGCAGCAUCCUCCUAAGGAAAAAAUCACAAGUGGCUAGUUGACUUGGCGACAUCUCACAAUAUGAUAACCGACCUCUCUAAUAUGUCGAUUAAUUAUGAAUAUGAUGGUAUUGAUGAGGUGGUAAUUGGUGAUGGAUUGGGUUUGCCUGUGUCUCAUAUUGGUUCAUUAUCUCUUGCAUCGUCUAAUCGUGCCUUUCAUUUACAUGAUACCCUUUGUGUUCCCACAAUUCAAAAAAAUCUUAUUUCUGUUCACCACUUUACCAAGCAUAAUAAUGUUUACCUUGAAUUUUAUCCUACUUAUUUUUUGGUGAAGGAUCGGAUCACGAGGGCGAUACUACUUAAAGGCGAAUGUGAAGAUGGAGUGUACCCAUUUCCGGAGCAUCUACCACCAAACUCCAAAAAUGUCGUUGCCUACGUUCAUGAACGUACUACACCCGAUGGAUGGCACAAACAACUUGGUCAUCCAUCGUCAAAAUUGGUCAACCAUUUAAUUCAUGUUUUUCUUUACCCACCAAUAAAAAUGGCCAUUUAUCUCUUUGUACUUCAUGUUCUUAAAAUAAAGCUCAUCACCAAACUUUUAAUACUCAUGGUCUUACUAGCACUGCUCCCAUGGAAUUGAUUUACACGGAUGUUUGGGGUCCAUCUCAUGAUAUUGGUAUUGAUGGUUCAAAAUAUUAUGUUAUUUUUGUUUACCACUAUACCAAGUACAUUUGGCUCUAUCCCAUGACUCAUAAAUCAAAUGUUCAAACAAUUUUUCCCUAAUUCUGAAAUCUUGUGGAAAAUAAGUUUAACACAAAAAUAAAAAGUCUCUACUCCGAUAAUGGUGGGGAAUAUAUUGGCCUCAAAUCCUAUCUUUCCGUUCAUGGGAUUAGUCAUUACACAACCGCUCCACACACUCCACAACAAAAUGGUAUGUCUGAAAAACGACAUCGCCAUCUAGUCGAGACUGGUCUGACCUUACUCACGGAUGCUCACAUGCCUCUCUCAUUUUGGCCAUAUGCAUUUCAAACUGCUGUCUAUCUUAUAAAUCGAAUGCCCACCUCAACUUUGAACAAUCAAUCUCCGUUUGAAAAAUUGUUCAAACAAGUGCCAAAUUAUCUCAAGCUCAAACAGUUUGGUUGCCUAUGUUAUCCAUUAACUAGGCCUUAUAAUAAACACAAACUUGAGCCCAAGGCCCAACCAUGCACAUUCAUUGGUUAUAGCCUCUCCCAAAAUGCAUAUCUAUGUUUUGAGCCCACUACUCGAAAGCUUUUCACUUCUCGGCAUGUCAUAUUUCACGAAAGGACUUUCCAUUUUUCAAACCCUAAAAAUCUCGACUCUCCUUCAUCUGCUGUCGAAGACCAGUCUGUCACGAUCUCAUUGCCGCAACUCCUCUUGGUUCCACGUGGCACUACUGAAUCUCCGGACAUGGGUAUUGAAGUCUCGCCAUCACUUGAGAAUGGGUCAUCCCUUGCAUCGACUCCUCUCCAGGUAAGUACUCUCUCUUCUUCUCCCUUGAUUUCGAGCCCAUUCCUUUCAGUAGAAGUGCAUGACCCUGUUGUCUCUAAUAAUGAAGUGUGCACCCACCGAAUGAAUACCCGAUCCAUGAAUGAUAUCUAUAAGCCAAAAAAAUUGCUUUUUGUCACUAAACACCCUUUUUCCAUCCUCCUUGGAACGCACUAGUGUUACUGAAGCACUCACCGAUUCUCAAUGGCGUGACGCUAUGUCUUCUAAAUUGACUGCGUUAAUGCGUCACAAUACAUGGCAACUCGUACCACCUCCGAAUGAUUGUAAUAUUGUUGGCUGUAAGUGGGUGUUUCAGAUUAAGAGACAUGAUGAUGGAUCUGUUGAUCGGUUCAAGGCCAGACUUGUGGCCAAAGGAUUCAAUCAGAGACCAGGAAUAGAUUACAAAGAAACAUUCAGUCCUGUCGUCAAACUGAUCACAAUACGCACUGUCUUAACUCUUGUUAUUAUGCAAGGUUGGUCUCUAAGGCAAUUAGACGUCAAUAACGCCUUUCUUCAUGGGCAUCUCACAAAAAAAGUGUAUAUGAAGUAACCACCUGGCUUCAGGAGUCCGGAAAAACCAGAUCAUGUUUGUUGCCUUACAAAGGCAAUCUAUGGACUAAAACAAGCACCCCGUGCUUGGUACUCUGCUCUUAAAUGGGCACCGUUAGAAUUUGGUUUCAUCAAUGCUAAAUCUGACUCUUCUCUAUUUUUGUUUCAUGAUGGUUCCAUACUUGUCUAUUGCUUAGUUUAUGUCGAUGAUUUGAUUCUCACUGGCAACAAUUCAACUUUUGUUGCAAGUAUUAUUGAUCAACUUGGACAAAAAUUCUCCAUCAAAGACUUGGGUCCCUACAUUUUUUCCUCGGUGUUGAGGUCAUUCCUACCAAAGACGGCCUGUUUCUAACUCAGCAUAAGUAUAUCCGAGAUAUCCUUGCCAAGACAAGUAUGGAUGGAGCUAAGGAUGUCACAACUCCUCUCUCUACAUUGGUUUCUCUCCAAUUGGCAAAUGGUUUGCCAUCUGUUGAUUCAACCGAAUAUCGUAAAGUGAUUGGAGCACUACAAUACUUGUCCUUAACUCAACCUGAUAUAAGCUUUGCUGUCAACAAACUCUCACAGUUUAUGCAUUGCCCCACACAAACUCACUAGAUCGCAACUAAAAGGUUGUUGCGAUACUUGAAGAACACCAUUUUUCAUGGCAUUAAUAUCAAAAAAACCUCAAGCCCAACACUCACAAGCUUCUCAGAUGCUGAUUGGGCUGGCAGCUUGGAUGACAAAAAAUCAACUUCAGCUUAUGUCCUCUUCCUUGGUCACACACCCAUUUCAUGGAGCUCUAAAAAGCAAAGUGCAAUUGCACGAUCAUCAACUGAAGCUGAGUAUAGGGCUUUAGCAAUGGCUGUAGCAGAGUCCAUGUGGCUGCUAUCUCUAUUCCAAGAAAUGAAGUUUACAUUACCACAACCACCUCUACUCUUGUGUGAUAAUUUGGGUGCAACCCAACUAAGUUUCAAUCCUGUCCAACAUUCAAGGAUGAAGCAUAUCCAAAGACAUUCACUUUGUGCGAGAUUUGGUUGAAAAAAAAUUUCUUAAUGUUUGGCAUGUUCACACUAAUGACCAGCUCGCUGAUUUACUCACCAAGCCACUUUCCAGACAAAGGACAGACUAUCUACGAGACAAGAUCGAACUAUCCGAUGGUAGCCCGUUCUUGCGGGGGCGUAUCAAGGAAACUGAUAAUUUCAAACAAGUGCCAACUCAAGUCUAGCUGUCACCAUGAACAUUACCAGAUUUUGUGCCUUCCUAUCUUUGUAAAUAUUGCUUUUAAUUGUGAUUGUAAAUUUACUUUUCUGUUCCAUAUUUUUGAAUGCCUAAAAUUAGGCCUCUCGUGUUGUAUAAAGAUAUAGAACAUGAAUAGAAAAAAAUACAGUGAAUUCUCUUUUAGAGAAAGACAGUAAGAGAAAUAGGUUAAUGGGUAUAAAAAAAAUGAUUAUAUGCAUGGGGGCAUGAGGGGCGAAUAUGGAAAUAAGUGUGAGAAGGUGGGCAGUGGGUAUGAUGGAAUGUGGGAGAUGGAAUAGAUUCUCACAGCUACUACCAAGGACCUGAUCACUUUUCUUCAUGAUUUCAGCAAUUCUAACCUGUGCAAGGCUAACUGCAGCAGCCCGUACAGCCUACAAUUCAAUAUUGACCUCAGUUUUGGUUCUUGAGAGAGUGGGAGGUAUAGAUGGAUUAUUUUGCCUUACUGAAAAUGAUGCAGAAGCCAAUAUCUGGUGAGAAAUGAAUGGCACAAACUAUUUAUCUUCCAUAGCUUUGACUGAAAUAUCAGGCGAAUUGUUUCGGUCAGCCAAAUCCACCUCUUCAGCACAAAGAAGGCAAGCUUAAAUCUCUUCUUCACUAGACGUGCAUUUGUCACCCCUGUUUAACUCCACGCCCAACACACUGCCCGUUUUAGAUGAUAAAUUUCUUUCAAUUAAGUUUCUCUGUGUUGAUCGCGGGCCUUGAAGGUUGAAAUUUCUUUGUUGGUGAGGCAUGGUUGCAUAAAAGCUCCAAAAUCCGACAUGUGGAAACCAGUCAGUAGGAGCAAGAUUGAUAGCUUCGGCACAAUUUAAACCAAAAUUGAAACAACCAUGAUGAAAUCUAGGAAAGACGAUGACUAAGGUGGUGUUUGUUUUUUUACUUAAUUCUAAAUAGAACCUUAAUACUUAAUAGUAUUAAAUAUUAGGUUGUUUGUUUUUGUAGUAUUUUAUUUCUAUUAAGUAUUAAAAAGUAAAAAAAAAAUCAUUGUGUUAUUUUUUCUAUUUAGAAAAAGCCACAUAUUUUAGCUUUUUCUAUUUAGUAAAAAGUUUAUAAUAAGUCAUGAAAAAGUAAAAAAACAAACAACCUAAAUUCUAAAACUAAAUGGUUUUCUGCAAAAAACCAAAAAAACAAACACCACCUAAGUCUCUAGGUUCCUGAAGUACACUAUAGACAGAGACUCCUUUUUCUUACAACAUAGGUGGGUUCAGCAUGGCCACAAGCUGAAAGAGCAGAUCCGGUUAGGCAUCAAAUGGAUCAGGAGGACAGUUCCAUAUAACCUUCAGGGAAAGCAUGAAGUACUGCCCUGGCUUGAACGCGAACUCAUUUUUAGACCUUGAUGAAUACUGUUUUCAAACAACUCUAAUAAAAUACCCUGAUGAGGCUACUGCAUUUAUCGUAGUGUUUCUGGUGCACAUAGUUCAUCAAAACCCGAUGAAGCUUUUGCCAAGUCUGAACACGUUUGCCAACAGAAUCAAAGACAGUUUUACAUUUCUCACCAUAUAGGACAUCGAGAAGAGCAUUCUUCCUAUUUAUUUUACAUGAAGGUCCAGGCAAAGAGUCCGUCAUUUACUGUACAGAGUCCUUCUGUUAUGAGUCUAUUUCAUUCUCACCCAUGCUUAUCCCAAUCCCAAGCAAGGACCUCUUGAAUCCCAAAAGCUGUUGAUACCUCAUACGGACGUUGUCAAAUUCAAAUUCUAUAGUUGCCAAUCUUCCUCUUCAUAUCACCAUCAUUCUCCGUCAAUCAACCUCUCCAGAUUCCCAGUCUUAAAGCCUGACGGUCUCUUUCAAGGGAAAACAGAGGAGCAAGGGAAUAGAAAGGGGAACAGAGCAUAGAACAUUUAACAAAUAUGCUAAACCCAUUUCACUAUUUCAUCCAUGAAUCUAACAAUCAGUGGGCUAAGAUAGGAAGCGUUUGCCAGAAUAGAGCAUAAGAUGCAACAAACUCUUCAAAUAUUGAAUCAAAAAUCACCAAACCACAGCAACUCAACAAACAAGAUUAAAAUUACAGAGACUGGGCAGGAGAAAUAUGAAGGAUGAGAAUAUAUGGGAAAACCAUAAAUGGCCAUACCUGAAAGUCUCUUUCUCGCUCUGGUAGCUACUAGGCUCCUUUCACAAAGAAAAUCCAAUUGAUUUCCCACACUUCUCUUGCCCACAACCUCAUCAAGCUUCACUCUCUGGCUCUUUUUCAAGCUAAGCUCUCAAAAUCUCUCUGUAACUUACUGAAAAAUAUCCCUACUCCCUCACUCAAAACGUCUCCUAUCAUUCCCUCUGUUUUUUUCUCUCUAGCAGCUUGCUUCCCCCAAGAGAAAAUCCUCUCUAGCCCAUAUCUCUUGCCGGUUACCCCCCAAAAAACCCCCUUUCCCCAGACAACAGCCUGCUGCCUAUAACCGAAAACACACUCCCUCUCGUUCUCCUUGACAGGUGUCACAUUCUUAUUGCAUCCCAAAACCACUUUUGUGAUUCCCUGAAAACCAAUCCCGGGGCAGCACAUGGCUCUCAAGGAGCUCUCCACCUGGCAAAACAAGCUGCAUGAAAAUGAGCCCCCCAAAUGGGGUCUACAGGUAUAUAUUGUUUAACCUAAACAACAAAAAGCCCAGUGGCCGAGGACCUUGAUGCAAACAAGCUUGUCUUAGUCGAGAGGUCUAAGGGUUCCUCCAUGUGUUUAAGAUUAACUGCAUUUAGGCCAGAACAUCAAAUCAAUGGAACAAUCUACUCUGUUUCACUAGGCCAAGCCCAAUGGUAGGUCCAUAGGUAGAGCUUGGAUCAUGUGCUAGUCAGGCUGGGUUAGACCUGAUACAGACCUAAUUUGAUCAUGGCAGCCCAAUAAGAUAAUUAUUUUCCUUGUUUUGUGUUUUUCUAAUUUUUUUUGUUUGUAGUAAUUAAUUAUAUUAUAAUCAUAGCAAUCAUUAUAACUAUUUUUGUUAUUAAAUUUUUUUAUUCCAUUAUUUCAGAAUUUCUAAUUUUAUUUGAUAAAUUAAUUCUUCUUUAUCAUCUAUUGAAUCUUUACUUAAACUUAUUUUAUUAUAAGUUUAUUUAUCUAUUUUUCUUCCAUUUUGUUCUUACAACUUUCGUGUCCUUAUUUAUGUUUUCCAUAAAUAUAACAAUAAUUUAAACAAAAAAUAAUAAUUGCUUGGAGAUAUACCAAACAAAACGUACACUUCUUCAAUGAAAAAAGUGACACAAAAUUAAAAUAUAAAUUCUAAAGAAUUAAGACUAAAUUAAAACAAAUUUAGAAUUGUAGGAUUUUAAAAAAAAAUUAAUUGAUAAAUUUUAGCUUUUUAAGCUAUUAAAGUAAAAUGAGGGUUUAUCCCUUAUUCUUUAAUAAUAUAUGAAAAAUUAUUUAUAUAAUAAUGAAAAAAACUUUGGAACAUUUUCUUAGUUCUUUUAAAAAAUUUCUAGUUGAAAACUAUUAAGAUAAUAAUGAAAACUAUAAAUUAUCAUUCUUUCUUCUUCUUCUUCUUCUUUACCCUACCACAAAUUCUUUAUCUCCAUAUCUAAUAAGUCAAUUCUUUUGAAGGUUUUUCCUUGCAUUUCAAGGACUCUAAUUCUUUUGCAACGAGUCAUGUGAAAUAGGCUAGAUGUGGGAAGAGGUCAUGACCUUCUCAACUAAGCUUCAUCUUUAUGGAAAAGUAGGUAGCGUAUUUCCAGGAAGGGAGAAGGAAAUUUUUUUUGGUUUUGUCUUGCUUAACUGACCAUAAAGGCCAUCAAAUUAAAAAAUGAAGCACUAUGUUUGAUGAUGCAUGUAAUGCCACUAGUUUACAGGAAAAGGAUAAUAGGGAAUUAAGCUAAAUUUAUCAAAAAUUAUAUUCAAAGGUUAAAUCCCGAAUAUCAUGUCUUUAUCUUCGUGUAGGAAAGGAAAAAUAUGUAAAAUGAAUUUAAAAUAACAUAUAAAUAUAAUUUAUUAAUUUUAACUUUUUUUUUCUCUAUUUUCUUUUCAUUGUGUUCUCUCAAAUUUUCUAAGAACUAAAUAUUGCUUUAGUUUUAGGAGUUUCUAACUUCAGUUUUUAUCCAAAAACCUCAGAAGAAAUUGAGCACAUGAAAUAAUGUUUUUCUUAAAAAUUCGUCAUAUAUACUAUGUGGUCAUCAUAGAAAAUAAACUAUGACUUGUAACUGAAGCAUAAGCAUUCCAACAGUAGAAAUGAGCAAAAGAGGGGGACGGAAAUUCCCAACCCCAUUCUCCCCACAGAAAAAAGAAACAAUAACAAUUGUUCAAUUGCUUCCUCCUUUCUUACUUUUAGGUUCUGCCUUUCCUGAAAGGACUCCAUUUGCAGACAAGAUUUUCAGUUUUUAAGGACAGGGUCUCUAGAGUUAAAAUGCAAUAUUUGGUCCUUAAAGACCCAACAGACCAUGGGCUAGAUGGUAGGGCAGGGCUAGCCAGCUUGGAUUUGGGCUAGCCCAGCACGUUUGAGGCUUAGCAUCAUCAGAGCCCAAUUUGGCCGAGGAGGCAACUUUCGGGCCAACACAAACACAUCUGGGCUACCCUUAAACUAAAAUUAAAUGGCUAGGACACAAAGGGAGGCCUCAAAUGGGUCUAUAUUUGCCAUAACAUGAGGAAUAUAUCAGUCAGUGCUAUGUGAUAUAUUGGAAUAGAUGCGAUAACAAAGAAUCCACUAGUGAUCAUGUAUUCACAAUGGGCCACAUAAAAUUAAUACCCUUGAACCAAGGGAAGGAAACAAAAGUAGUUGGGUCAUGGGUGGGAGGAAAGUGCAUGGGGAGCGGUGAUGUUGUUAAAGGGUUACAAGAGGACAUGGCCAUGGCCCUUUACCUCAAUCAUAUCACCCCCCAUAUGGACCUUUCCCCAUCUCCUAUGUCCUAUACCCACAUGAUUUGUCAGUCCUUUGAUACAUUGAUCCCGACCCUUUAAUUAGGUGGGCCCCAACCACUUUCUUGGUUAAAGAUCAAGGCUAACUCCUUGGCACUAAAGCUACACUUUACAACCCAUAUGGUGCAUCACCCACUUUGAUGAAACAAGGAAGCAUUGUGGCAAUGGCUUUUCUCAUCUUCUUUGCUCUAUAUACAUUUUAUGUACUACACUGCUAUAUGGCGUUGCCCAAAUCAUUCACAAGAGCCAUCAUUUGGUGCAUACGAGCACACAGUUAUUUUGAGAAAAAUAUGACAUGUUUUUUAAAUUGUCUAUUCAAUUAUAGUACUUGAAAAUUUGUUUUCAAAGUUAUUACUAUUUAUGAGGAGUUAAAUAUGAAAUUAUCUCUAAUUUUAUACUAAAAUUGUUUCUUUAAUAUAUAGUUUUAAUAUAACUUCACUAUACUUCAGUUAUCUCACGGACAAUUGGCUUUCUUAGAAGUCUUGUGCCAUAUUAUUGAAAACGUAUGGACUAAUAAGUAAAAUCAAAUAGAAAUUAAAUUGAUAAAUAAAAUUGAUCAAGAUUAAAGUUUGAUUCUGUGUUUAAUAAAUGAUAUACACAUGGGCCACAUAAAAUUCUUAUGUUCUCCCACUUGGCCCAUGUGAUAUACUUUCACUUCAUGGUUUAAUAAAUAAAACAUAAUGCGUUAAAUAUCAAACUAAAACAUUCUUACAUAAGAUAUAAUCUAUUAGUGUUUUUUUUUUUUUUUUGAGUCAUUCAUAACUUAGUUGCCCUUGUAAACCUAGAUCUUGGGAUCUCUAGUCAACUAGGUUGGGAUACAAUGUUCUUUGACCACGGACAUGAAUCUCAUUCUUUUAGAUAAACAAUUUACUUUAUGUUUUGACAACCUCUAGGAAAUGGAUCUAUAAGGUUAUCCUUUGUUUUGAAAUAAUCAAUGAAUUUAUUCCAUUUGAAAGUAAUUGCCUCACAAUAUUAUAUCUUUGACGUAUAUAUCAAGAUUUAUUAUUGUCUAUGUGAAUUUUAUACUCUUCCAAUAGCUAAUUGAUUAUCAAUGUAUAUACUUAUUUUAAGCAUUGAUUUUUAGUCGGCAUGGUAUGCACUCUUGGAAAUUACAAAAUCAUUCCACUUCUUCUCUUGCUUUGUGUAAUGCUAUCAAUUAAAAUCCCAUGGUGGAUCUAGGAAUUCACCUUUGUUUUAAGGACUUCAUGAUAUGAUUCCUCUUCCCACUGUGAACACAUAGCUACUAGUGGGGGGUGUGCGUUAUGGGAUGAAUCUUCUUCCCAUUGUGAAUACAUGAUCACUAGCGGAUUAUUUCUCUUAUACAAGCAACUAUAUUUUUUCAUUUUUCUCACUAGGUAAAUAGAUUAUAAAUUAAGACAUAAUUAAUAAUUUAAAAUUUUUAAUGAAUUUUUUAAUUUUUAAGAAUAAUUUGAAAUUUAAAAAUUGAUCCAAUAAAUUACAAAUUAAAUCAAAACUUUAUAGAAUAUUAUGUUCAUAAUCGAAUACUAAAUGUGUACAUAUAAUGAAAAUUUUGAUUUAUUUACAUGUUAAAAAGCUAAAUUUUAUUCAUUAUUCAUUUAAAAAAAAUGUAAAGAUGUCAAUAUCCUUAUAUUUCUAAUAUAUAUUAAAAUAGAGUAUUUUUUAAUAGAAAAAUAUAACUUAUGAUUUUAUCAUAAUAUUACUAUUUAUGUUCUACUAAAAACUAUUCAGUUUUAAUUUAUUUAUAAUUACAAAACUAUUUUUAUUUUUAAUAAGAUUUGAAUUAAAUUUAAUUAAUAUUAUAUAAAUUGAAUUUACAAGGUUUUUAUAAAAUUAAAACAAAAAAAAUAUUUUAAAAAACAAUUUAUCCAAACAAGCUUUUUGUUUUUUAAAAUUUAUGAAGAUGCCAAUAUCUUUAUGUUUCCAACAUAUAUUAAAAUAAUGUGUUUUUUAACAAAAAAAAAUAUAACUUACAAGUUUAUUAUAAUAUUACUAUUUAUGUUCUACUAAAAACUAUUCUUUUUUUAUUUUAUUUGUAAUUAUAAAAUUAUUUUCAUUUUUAAUAAGAUUUAAAUUAAAAUUAAUUAAUAAUAUAUAAAUUAAAUUUACAAUGCUUUUAUAAAAUCAAAAACACAAUUCAUUCAAACAAGUUUUUUUUUUUUUUAAUUUACGAAGAUGUUAAUAUUCUUUUGUUUCUAACAUAUAUUAAAAUAGUGUAUUUUUUCAAUAAAAAAAAUAUAACUUAUGAUUUUAUUAUUAUAUUACUAUUUAUGUUCUACUAAAAACUAUUCAUUUUGUAAUUUAUUUGUAACGAAAAAAACUAUUUUAUUUUUAAUAAGAUUUGAGUUAAAUUUAAUUAAUAUUAUAUAAAUUGAAUUUACAAUAUUUUUAUAAAGUCAAAACAAAAAAAUUAUUUUUAAAAACAAUUUAUCCAAACAAGUUUUUUGUUUUUAAAAAUUUACGAAAAUAGUAAUAUCCUUAUGUUUUUAACAUAUAUUGAAAUAUAUAUUUUUUAAUAAAAAAUAUAACUUAUUAUUUUAUUAUACUAUUACUAUUUAUGUUCUACUAAAAACUACUCAUAUUUUAAUUUAUUUGUAAUUACAAAACUAUUUUCAUUUUUAAUAAGAUUUGAAUUAAGUUUAAUUAUUAUUAUAUAAUAAUGUUUUUAUAAAAGUAAAACAGAAAAAUUAUUUUUAAAAACAACUUAUCCAAACAAGUUUUUAUUUUUAAUUUUUAAAAACUAUUUUUUGGUGUGUUUGAACAACAACUAGUUUGUGAAAACAAGCUCUAAAGUUCACCUGAUCAAUCAAAGCUUACGCUAGCACAACACAACCUUCUAUUUCUAUUUUCUCUUCAUUUAAAACAUUCAAAAGAAUGAAGCAAACAUAAAGAGAAACAAAAGACUGCCAGAAUUCUUCAUUAAAACAAAACACUGCCAUAAAAUGCUUCCAUGUGUUGCAUUUUUCCCUUUCUUAUGCAUGAAACCACUUUGAAACAGAGAAACCAAAUUUAAUGGUAGAAAAAACCAAGAAACUAACACAAUCAAAGAGAUAUAUAUAGGAGGAACCACUUGGUACGAAGUAAUAGAAACUGGAAGGCAAAAGCCUAAGUGAAACAACAAACAAAUAUUUCCGGCUGAUGUUUUUCCCUCCAAGGAUUGCUUUUUAAUUUUCCAUGCAUACCUACUUGGUAAAAAUAUGCCAUCAGAGGCUUUGUUGAUCUUUGACCAUCAGGGUUGCAGGAAAAAGAUGCAUAACAAAACAAAAUUUUGCUUGAAAAGAAAGGGAGAGAUUUACUUUGUAAUUUGAAGGGAAAGCAAGAAGACAACUCCAACAUCAAGAUUAUCGUACAUAUUAUACCUAUACAUGCUUUGCUUUCAGAGUACCAAGCCAUUGUCUUAAAACAAAACAUUAGCUGUUAUAAUGGUCAUUGCAUCUUAGCCAAUCAAACAUAUAGUCCAGUAUGCAAGUGGAUAUAAUUACAUUACCUUCCAUCCAAGGUAAUUGUACCCAUGGAAUGACACGUGGAAAUUGGCAACCUAAAUGGAUCGCUCCUGUGAUCCUCAACUGGCAUUUCCAUAGAGUAUAGAGUAGGCUUAGGAGGCAUUUGCAAAAGUUCAACAUCCCCUUCCAACAUUUCCAAUGCUUUGCUCAUCGAAGGACGAUCAAUAGGCUUCAUUUGUAUACACCAUAAUGCAACUAUCACCAUUUUUCUUACAAAUUUCUUUUCAUCCUCGGUGGCAUCUCCCAUUUCCAUGUCCUCUCCUCGAUCAUAUUGAUCAUAAAUCCAUGAUGGAAAGUAUAUUUGACUCGAGUGCUCUGCAAAUGCAUUCACAUUUUUCCUUUUCCCCGCCAUUUCUAACAACAGCAUUCCAAAACUAUAAACAUCAGCUUUAUAUGAAACUCCUCCGAUAUUUUUAUAGAACAGCUCUGGAGCUAUAUAUCCCAAUGUUCCUCUAGCAGCAGUGAGAGACACAAUACUUUCAUCUGUUGAAUGUAAUUUUGCAAGGCCAAAAUCUGAAACUUUUGGGGUAAAAUCUUCAUCAAGAAGAAUGUUGUGUGGCUUAAUAUCAAAAUGUAGAAUUUGCAUGUCACAGCCUUGAUGUAAGUAUUCAAUCCCACGUCCUACUCCAAGUGCAAUCUUGUAUAAUCUUUCCCAACUCAAAGGAAUGUUGUUUCCUCGAUCAAGAAAAACAAACUUAUCAAGAGACCCAUUUGGCAUGAAGUCAUAUACAAGAGCCCAUUUUGAUCCUUGUAUACAAAAUCCAAUAAGUCUCACCACAUUAACAUGAUGAAUUCUUCCGAUUGUAGCAACUUCAUUGACGAAAUCUUGCCCAUUAGCUUUUGACAUAACUAACAUUUUUACAGCUACAAUGUGACCACUUCGGAGUCUUCCUUUGUACACAGAGCCAAAACCGCCUUGACCUAAUUUAUUCUUAAAAUUAUGAGUCAUCUUUUUAACCUCCGAAUAUGAGUAUUUGAUUAGCUGAAGAUUGUUGUGGCUAUGUAAGAAUUCUUCAAUAUCAUCGUCUAAUGAUAAGUGUCUCCGUUGAAAUUUGUAGAUUAAAUAAACAAGCAAACACAAUAUGCCAAGUGCAGUCCUCCCGAUGAUGAUGAUCAUGACUAUAAAUCACACGUUAAAAAAAUUAACAAAAAAAAAUCCAUUAGAGGAAGGUGCAUCAUCAUCUGAAUUCAAUUAUCGAAUCCAAAUUAAAUAGUCAAUUUAAAAAGUUAUUUCAUCUAUAUAAUUGCUUGUUGGUUGAGUCAAUAGAAAGAUGUUUUUAGGUUUGCAAUCAAAUGUAGUCAUGUUUCUUUUCAUUUUCUAAAUUCAAAAUGAUAGAGAUAGGACAGAAUGAAAGAGAGAAAUUGUUUUGACACUCAAUUUUCAAUUUGGUUGUACUCUUAACAAAUUUAAAAUUCAAUACAUAACAAAUUUACAAAAAUAUAUAAUUUUAUUUGAAAUUAAAAUUCUGAAGUUUAUAGAAAUAGAAUUCCAAUUUAUAUUUGUACAACCAAAUGUAGAACAAUAAAACUAGGCACAUCUAUGCAAUCUUCUUUGAAAAAACUUUUAAAAGACUAAGGCAAAUUGAGCUGUAAAAAAAGCAUUGUAUCCUUUGCAAUUUAUUGAGAUAUGAAAGACUUACGGAUGGAUCUCAUUAGCCAACCUGCAAAACAAAGAUUAAAAAAUAAUUAAAUUAAAAAAAAGAUUCACAUACAUUUCAUAUUUAAGAUGAGCAAUUGAAUAGUCUAAGAAAGUUAUUUUAUUAUUUUUAUUAUUAUUUAUUGAUUGAAAAGCAAGAGAGAUAGGUAUAAAAGAAAAAUUAUUACUAUUAUUAUAGCUAUUUAAAACUCAUCUUAGACUAUUGUUAAAGGGCAUAUAAAUUAUGUAAAUUAUUAAUUAUCAAGUUGACUGGGGAUUCUCUCCUUCAUAUAAACAUUUAUUAUACUAACGAUUAAUAAUAAAAAUAACAAUCUCAAUUAUAUAUAUACAUGGGAUUAAAUAUGUAAUUGAACAUAAUAGGUCUUUUUCAUUUUUAUUACUAUUACCCAAUUUAUGAAAAUUAGAUAAUAAUAGAAACUCUGGAAGCCUUACCAACUAAAAUUGCAGAUACAUAAUAGUAGUAAUAAUAAUGUUCUCUCCAGCCUGCAUGAUGAAAUCAAGUAAUUAAAUUACGUUAGUGGUAAAAGUUGUAGAAUCUUAUGCAUUUUGUCUUCAAAUCCUGCAUGUUGACCAACUAGAUAAUGAUAUUUGAUCUCAAAAAAGGAACAAAAUAAAAUAGAGAAUCGACAAUGGUAAUCACCAACUAACUAAACCACAUAAUUGCACCCACUUGGCAUGAUAGGAGUGCUACUUUUUAAUAAUUUCACUCCUUAAUUGUUUCCCAAAUUGGAAAAUGCAGUUUAAUGGCACGCUUUAUUGAAAUUCAAUUUUAUACUACCAAAGCAAUGCAUCAUUCAAACAAGAGUUAAGUAGGCCUCACCUUUGAUUGAAUAUGUGCCCGGAUCUGUUAAUUAAUAUAAGAAAAAAAACAAAUUAAAUUUAACAUGAAAAAGACAUUUAGGACAAUAAAAGAUGAAAUUUAUCAGGAAAUAAAAAAUGAAAGAUAAAAACUUGACUCGACUCCCAAAGUCUCACCUAUUAAAGACUGCAAAAAGUCAGAGAACCAAUCCACAAACCAGUGCCCUGCAACAUUAAGCCAAUUAAGCAAGUCAUAUUAGUUACCAAGUUGAACAGCCUUUUUGUAGCAAGCAAAAUAAUCAAAUAAAUAAAUAAAAAUAAACAUUUUUCAUAUUUACCGCAUUUUACAGCAUUCUUGGCGAAAUCUGGAGAGCAGGAUGGCCAUUUCUUACCGCAUUUGCUUUUGCAACGGAAGCGCAAGAAUGAAAGAUCAACCCCCAGAAGUAGCAUUUCUUGCAAAUCUGACAUUGAAAGAUUGCCGGGCUUCAUGAAUCGAGUAACAAUAGUCGGGAGGAUGGUGCAUGAAUACAUAAUAUCAUUCACCAGCAGGGAGUCUCCUCCGCCGACUAGUGCAUAAACAUAUGCUUGUGAGGAAGAUGAAGUCUCAUUGCUUCUGUUGCAAGGAGUGAUAGGAAUAUAGUUGCCAUCACUUAUUGGCUGCUCGCAGUUCAUCAAAACCGUUGUAUUAGUCGCUUCAUACGGAUUCAAAUAAUAUGCACUGUCAAAAAAACUGUCGAAUUGGUCUACUGUCAAGGAACGGAGAGGAGUGGAGAAACAGUUGCCCUUUUCGACCCCAGGAUCCACUACCCGAAUGGUAGAGUGAUCGUAGUUGAUAUCAGCAACAUAGUAUUUCCCAUACUCCAGGUUUACCAUGGUAUGAUUGUUUUCGCAAACCAAUUCAUACUCAGGAUCACCACACCAGAACGGAUCACCUUUCAAUCGGAAAGGGUAGCUGAUGUUUUGAAUAUCCCCACAAGAAGAGGGCCGGCAUGUCUGGUUUCCAUUAGCAACACAAAUUGCAAGCAACAAAGUGUGGAAGACUGCCAAUGCCACAAGUUUAGCUUCUCUGAACAUCAUGACAUUUGGGAGGGAUACGGGUCUGGAAUUCUUCUGCUUUUGUGUUUCAUUUAAGAAAGAGAUAUAAAAUUAUUCCCCCAACAAGCUUGCGGUCUCAAUUUUCCUGCAACUUGAAAGGAGUGUGAAAUGAGCCUUAUUGACUGUUGUAGUCAACUACCUUGAUUUUUCUGUAUAUGGAUAACUUCACAUUGAAGAAACCCAUGCCCACCCAUGAUGUAUACCAAAUAUUAAUAUACAGGAUCAAUCACAUCAACUAUAUAUAUAUAUAAAUUAAAUGAAAUACUUAAAUUUUGAAAGAGAGAAAAUAACCAUAUACAUGUGAUACAGGGUGAAAGAACAUUGUUACAUAGUGUAAAUCUAUUAGUAAAAGUGCUUAAAUAAUUGACUGAAAAUGUACGACCGCAUUAAUCCUCCUUCCUAGAAUUCUUCUCUAUAAAUUUUCAGGCUAAUCUCUUCUCGAUGUUUGUAUCUCCCUUUCCACUUUCUUUCCUAUCCCAGAGACUUCUGUCCUUGGCAAAAGUCACAAAUUCCUUCCAUAAAAAUGGAUCGAUAUCUCUGUUUGUUUUUGUUCUUGUUUCUGACCUUGUUUGUGAAGAUGAGAGGGGGCCGAGAUGAGUGCAUGACAUCAAAUCCUUGUGGCGACCAGGGUCCACUGAUCCAGUUCCCUUUCCGUCUAAAAGACCAGCCACGCCACUGUGGAUACCCGGGAUUUGAGUUGUCUUGCACUGAGAAUAAUCAGACCAUGCUAGAGUUGCCAGUUUCGGUAAAGCUCUUGGUGAAGAAAAUAACUUACAAAUCCCGGGAAAUCAUUGUCCAGGACCCGGAUCAUUGCCUUGCGAGACAGCUUCGAAACCUCAAUUUAGCUGCCUCCCCCUUCCACUUCAAAUUUGAACUGGACUUCACCUUCUUCACUUGUUCCUCAUAUAAAACUGCAGCACCCUUAUUGAGGGCUUAUACUUUUUUUGAGCACAUCCCUUGCCUUUCUGUCCCAGGCAACUUAGU
rnacentral:lncRNA from 1 species